rnacentral:lncRNA from 1 species
UGAUCAUAAAUGUUCUUCCUUGAGCUGCGUCACCCCGCUGUAGUCCGUAAUGGACUGGCCUGAGGUCUUGUUACAAACAAGCGGCUGCUGGAAGAGAGUAGGUGAGUUGUGUUUAGUCUCUUUGCUAAAGAAAUGAGUCAAAGUUAAAAAGAUGUUUGGUGUCUAGUACUAUGGCUGUGACCCUAUAUGUCCUGUUGAUGAAGUUAGGUGCUGUUCUGAGCAUUAUUUGUGGCUAUAGAGUGGCGUUUUGGUUGAGCGUGUGGUUCUCUGUAUUACUAUCCUGCGGUCGUUACUAAAGUUGGUAUAACUAGAGAAGCAAGCUGUUUGCAACAUUCAUCUCUCGACAGAGUGUCUAAUUCGGUGUCACGGUGUGUUUGACCCUAAAUUAAUUUUACACCAGAAUAUCCCUUUAGGUUGAUUCAAAGCCUUUCAAAUUAAAAGCGAUUACACUUGGAGGUACGUACUUUUACCUAAGACAAAAAUACAAAACGGGAUGACCACUUCAAACAAACCGGAGCGCCGUUCCUCUCAGUGGAGGUCCGCAGUCAGACCGCUCUAAAAGUGUUGGCCCGUUAAAUGACCCAAAAAUCACCUUUAAUAAGAUGCAAACAGAGCGUCACCACUGCAGGCAAGACUUCCCAUCCAGCCCCUGCAACUCACAUGCAACCAAAACACACUGGCUACCUCGUGUACUUCCUAAAACCCACAGCUUACACUCACAGAACUGUAAAACAAAAUAGAAGUGUUUUGUAGUGUGUAACUCUUGUCAAAGCGCUGGUGGGUUUUGGCCUCCAGGCUUGCCGUAGGCUCCUUCUUUGAGCUGAGUUUUUGCUGUUUAGUCUCUGCACUCGUCCUCUAAAAGUGCUGUACAUUUCUUCAGCUCAGGCAGAAAUUAUUGAUUAUUUGGGCCAAAAAUCCUGCCAAGAGCCGGACCAAAACAGAACAGUCUGUUUUUUUUUUUUUACCCCCUGUUACUUAAAAUUCGGCCGAACAUUGCAUCUUCCAGAAGUGAGCACAACUUCUGAAGAAAGCGUUUGUUCAUGUAUUUUUAACAACUUCUACUUUUUUAUCUCUACAUAUUAUAUCUGUCUUUGUUUUAUCGCUGUUUGAUAUUGUUUUUAAGUUCGCAGGAUGACUGAGAGGUUGUGAAAUUUUACGUUUGAGCUUCGUCGAGCUUGAUCACUCUCUGUGUAACUCACGGUUUUAUGGAACAAAUAAACUAUUCAGUCCAACAUUGAUCAACAGAAACAAGCCGAUCGAUGUAGGAGGAUCACAGAGAAAUGCAAACAACAGCAAAACACAAACAGAAUCUCAAAUUCAGAAAGGAGGCAACAUAAAAGCUUCAGUGGAGGAGAUGUGCAAAAUAAAUCCACAUCCAAAAAUCCUGUUCAUGACGUUUGUGUUGGAGCUCGUCUGUGCAGAUCUUUUUAGGUCUAUAAGUGGAUCUGAAUCUUUAUAAACUGUCAGGAUUCAGCCUGCUUACCAGAGGUGGGGGCUUGAAGACUCGACUUGAGACUCGACUUGGACUAGAGUCCCGUUUUUGACUUCCUUGAUGAAAUCAAGAAAAAAGUCUUUUCAAGUCACUUAAUACCUUACAGCCCAAACCGUUUAAAAAGUGUCGCAUCAACUAAUAGUCAGGAAUGACGGCCGUUGGUAACACCGUGUUGUGUUGCCAUGUCUGCUUAUUCCCCUCAAAAAAAAAUUUGCUUGUUUUUGUCUUGUUUCUGGAGGUCUGUUAACUUAUUUCUCUCACCAAACUUGGCAACACUGUCUCAAACUCUAGCCUCCCUCAUAACGACAACACCGGGAGGACUGAACAUAAAUCGCUCGCUGGUAUUGCCCGCCUGUUUCCACGUGUUUCCUCGUGUCUCUCUUUUGUUUUGUUUUGGAACAGUGAAUUAGAGAAUCAGUUUAAUGUUUAAUUGUAUUUGAGUCUUCCUUAUUUUUGUGCACAUUGUUUAAGUUUCCAGUUAUUGAAGUUUAUCUGAUUAUUUUUUGUAUGACAUGUAAAAUAGUUUGGUUAAAGCUGCACUAUGUAACUUAACACAAACAAGAACCCUUGUUUAAUAAUAAAUGCAAAUAGGGAAAAAUGCUCAUGAUUUAUGUAAAUCUUUACAAAUAACAAAUGGUUUAUGGCUUUGAUAUGACUUAUUUUUGACUUGAAAGAAACAGUAAGGACUUGGUUGGGACUCGAAACAAAAAGUUCAAGACUUGGACUUGACUUGAAACUUGUCUGUGUUGACUUGGACUUGACUGGAGACUUGAGAGCAAAGACUUGAGACUUGACUUGGACUUACAACAUAAGGACUUUCCCCCACCUCUGCUGCUUACUGUAAUUUAAGUCUCCAUCAUAUAAGUGAGUCCACAACCUCAAAGGUGAAUCAGAGGUGGAGAGGACUGUGAAGGAGGCGUGAGAGAAAAUGAUGGGCCGGAGCAAACACGCCAUGACUUCUGGAAAUAAAGCAGCAGUGUUAUAUUUUCCUUAAAAUAAAACAGAGAAUAGAAAAUGGGUUUAAGUUAAUGUAAAAAAAAUGCAGAACAGACCAGAGGGGAGAUAAAGACAAAGAAAAAAGAUGUGCUGCAAUAAUAAAAUAAACCAACGUUUGUACACAUGCAUUAUUUGUUAAUGGGAUCCAAUAUUAUGUCGACUGCUAUUCAGGGCGCUCCACAGUUCGUUUUAAUCCUGCAGGUGCUUCCUAUGACUGUAACUGCGCGGCUUCAAUCCGCUGAUCGUCUUUGGAGGAACAAAAAUAGUCCAGCGUCAACCCAGCAGUGGUGUAAUGUUAAAAUGAGCUCUCUCUAAGAGGCUGUUUCAGCCUGUCUUAUGACUCUGAUUUUCUCUGAUGUGACUGUGAAGUGCUCUGUGAUGGGAGUUCAGCGGCUCAUUUCGCUCUUACCGUUUCUGAAUGUUUGCUCAUUUAACGCCGUUUCCUGCUUUAGUCGUUCUGACGAAUCACAGUAAGCAUCGCUCUUACCCUGAUAACUCACCUGCAGUUUGUUUUCUAACUCCUGUUUCCAUGCAAUAAAUAAAGUCGAGCUCUCAUAUUUCUGUCAGGUCUUCCACAGAAAUGAGUUCAGGUGCAAGGCCUUUUUUUUUGUUUUGUUUGUUUUAGCAUCUUCAUCAUGUUUGGAUAAAGUAUUUUACUGUUUCCAGGCUUUUUGCAUGAGGUACUUCUGCAGCCAUGAACCAAAUCUCCCAUCACCUGUGCCUCCCCUGUAGCUUUUAUCCUGCAAAAUAUUUUAUAUGUAAAUAUGAGUAAAAGUGGCCGAGAGAUAAACUCUGAACUAUCAUCCCCACUCUGAUUCAGUGCUGCUGCAACUGCAAGAAACACUGGAGGGCAGCAGCAGCCUGUGCAUGAAAGAGAGCAGCUUCAAAAUCUGAGACUCAGACCAGGAGGAGUGGAGUUCAGGUUUUUCUCUCCAGGGUCUUCUUACAGACACAGAUGGGGGGUUUGACAGGUAACAGGUCUUUACCAAUCAGUGAUCAAUCAGCCAAGAUAAUUCUGCAUCUGAAAAUACUCCAGUGAAAAAAACAGAUUGUGAGGGAAGAGAAAGGUGCAUCAUUCCCCGUGUUUAUGAUAGAGAGGGAAUUUUUAACAGGGAAUUUGGAGCACAAGGUGGACAAUCAUCAUCAUCAUCCUCAUCAUCAUCAUCAUCAUCAUCAUCAUCAUCAUCAUCAUCAUCAUCAUCAUCUUCAUCAUCAUCAUAAUGGUUUGGUGAUCAUCAUCAUCCUCUUCAUCAUACUGAAUAUCAUCAUCAUCAUACUGAUCAUUAUUUUCAUCCUAAUCAUUAUCAUCAUCAUCAUCAUCAUCAUCAUCAUCAUCAUCAUCAUCAUCAUCAUCAUCAUAUUGAUCAUUGUCAUCAUCCUCUCCAUCACUAUCAUCCUCAUCAUCCUACUAAUCAUUAUUUUCAUCCUAAAAAUUAUCAUCAUCAUCAUUCUCUUCAUCUUCUUCAUCAUCAUCAUAAUCAUAUUGAUCAUUUUCAUCAUCCUUAUAAUUAUCCUCAUCAUCAAACUGAUUAUUAUUAUUAUUAUUAUUAUUAUUAUUAUUAUUAUUAUUAUCCUAAUCAUUAUCAUCAACAUUCUCUUCAUCCUCAUCUUCAUACUGAUCAUAAUCAUCAUCCUCUUCAUCAUCCUCAUUUUGUUUAUCCUCCUCCUCAUCAUCAUACUGAUCAUUAUCAUCAUUAUCAUCAUCCUCAUAAUCAUCAUCUUCAUCAUCAUACUGAUCACUAUUAUCACUCUAAUUGUUACCAUCAUCAUCAUUCUCUUUAUCUCCUUCAUCAUACUGAUCAUUAUCAUCAUCAUCACCCUCAUCAUCAUAUCAAUCAUCAUCCUCAUCCUCAUAAUAAAUAUCCUCAUCAUCCUAAUAAAUAUCAUCCUCCUCAUCAUCACUAUACUUAUCAUUAUAAUCAUCAUAAUUAUCAUUAAAAUCAUCAUCCUACUAAUCAUUAUUUUCACCCUAAUAAUUAUCAUCAUCAUCAUUCUCUUCAUCUUCUUCUUCAUCAUCAUAAUCAUAUUGAUCAUUAUCAUCACCCUUAUAAUUAUCCUCAUCAUCAAACUGAUUAUUAUUAUUAUUAUUAUUAUUAUUAUUAUUAUUAUUAUUAUUAUUAUUAUUAUUAUCAUCAACAUUCUCUUCAUCCUCAUCUUCAUACUGAUCAUAAUCAUCAUCCUCUUCAUCAUCCUCAUUAAUAUCAUCAUCAUCAUCAUUCUCUUUAUCCCCUUCAUCAUACUGAUCAUUAUCAUCAUCAUCACCCUCAUCAUCAUAUCAAUCAUCAUCCCCUUCAUCAUACUGAUCAUUAUCAUCAUCCUCAUCCUCAUAAUAAAUAUCAUCCUCCUCAUCAUCACUAUACUUAUCAUUAUAAUCAUCAUAAUUAUCAUUAAAAUCAUCACCCUCAUCAUCACCCUCAUCUUCAUCGUCAGCAGCUCUGUCAUUUUAAAAACACUAACCAGAGACAGCAGCUCCAGCUCUGCCCUAAUAAUCCUUUUUUUUAAUAUGAGAUGUUCUCAGAUGUUACUGUCAGCUCCCCGCUGGGAACUGCAGUCAGGAUGGACCUGUUUACAGCUGUUACCGUGGCAACAGCAUAUGGACGGGACAACCAGAUUGGCCUUGUGUGUUUGCUGAGACGAUGGUCAGGCUGCAUAUUUCUAAAAAGGACCGGCGAUGAAAAAACAUGUUUUUUUUUUCUUCUGUUUGUUUGUUGUUUUUAUUUAGAUGACGGGGAACAUUUUACCGACCAGUUUCUCCAAAAAUGAAACAAAAAUCUCCGAUCAAAGUGAACAAGACGGAGGUGGCCUCCAGCUUCAAACACAACAUGACUGCAUUUGUUGUCAGCAUUCAAAGGAAGCUAUGAAAGAAGAAAACGGAGGACCGUAGUGACUGCUCCAGGUAGACAUGUCGAGAGGCAUCUUCUUUUUAAAGUACAUAAAAAAACGAAAAGAGUUGAUUUGUUGAAUCAUCUCUCCGUACUCCAAACUCUCUUCAGUGUCUCUCGGUCUUGUUGCUCAAAGCCGUCUUUUCAUUAGUCAUGAAACUGUUGUUCAACAAACACAAAUAAAAACAGAAACUUUUAUUUGUGCCACUUCCUGUUUUCAGAGCAAAGACACUGACUGCAUCAGCCGAUCAGUUAUCACUUUUAGAUUUCACUUUUUUGUCCACCAAGGUAGGUGUGUAAAACCACCUGAAUCAAGAAUCGUCAAUAACUGGAAGAUAAACAGUCAUUAAUAGUUGAAGGAUUAAACCUGAUACCAGAUUAAUUCUUCUGAUAUAUUUGGUUAAAACGCUCUCCUGAAUUUUUAAAUCUUUCUUUUUUAGAAAAGCGGAAAUUUCCCCGGAUUCGUGACCUUAUCAGGCGAGGAAACUCACAUACUCUGGUCGACUCGCCCAGCAGCGACUUUCACUGCCAGGUUAAAUCACUGCGUGUGACAGGUGGCUGACAGGCAAAACACACAAAACAAACGGCAAAACACACACACACAUACACACACGAUGCCGAGGAAUACGUCCAACUGCAGGGACAGAUGCAAAUGGCUGGCUGCCUGGAACAGCGUCGAUGCUAACGGCUGCUACGCUCCACGGAUAGAUCUGCUGUUAGCUCCUGUGUUUGUCAAAAAGACGUCAGAACAGCUGCAGAGAAAUCAGCUCCGAAAAUCAACGUCAGCUGCAGGGGAAGGAUGCUGCCUCCUCUUUUCCACCCUACAAACAAACUAUUUCAUUCUUGAUUCAAACUAGUCUUUAUUUUUUUAAACUUUGACGACUUUACCACGGUGUUUGGUGUCGUUUUUCAGCCCCAGGUAACGCCUGUGUUGUUCCAUCAGUCUGAACGCUCUCAAACAUAUUCCCCAAGCCGUGUUUAGAAAUGUUUGGGUGACCGCAGCCUGUAUAAAGAAGUGAAAUAGCCUCCAGGUAUGAAUGCAUGUUACUUUAGAUUUUCUGAAUGAGGCGACUGGGGGUGUUUAUAAAGUGAAGUGUGCCAUAAAAGUGUAGAAGCUGCAGCACCUUCACGACAAUGUUCAGAAACGGGAAAGAAAAUAAUAGAUUUCUCAACUUUAUUGGAUUAAAACGAAAGCGUGAAAACUCACAGUUUGAACACAUGAAUCAGACAUACUUAAAGCCGUGGUGUAACAUCUACUUGCUGAUUCGUGGAGACCUUCCAUCACGCCGUCUGGGUUCGCAACUCACUUUGAGAUUUCAGACUCCUGGGGUCUCUUUUGUAAACGCUUGUUACGACCCGGGAGAAUGGUUAGGGGAAGAUGGGAAGUAACAAUAAAUUAAAACGGGCAGGAGAGACUAAAUGAAGAGUGGGAAACAGGGAAUCAGAAUAAUUGAGUAAUUUAUUUACAAUCAAAAACGAAAAACAAAAAGAUCAAACAACUAAAAGCGAGCAUGAGGCCGGUUAUAAGAAACACCACAGGCUCCUGCCACCGGAAAACCUGGACUUCAAAAAACACCAAAACGCACAAGAGUGAAACACAGUCAACAAUCGGGUGGUCUGCAAAGUUAAUCAAAGUUAGUUAAUUUCAUGAGAAAAUACGAGCGUGUCAUCCCUUCAAUAUUUCACCAUCUUUGAUUGGCUUGUUUCUUGAAAUCACAGAGGUAAAAACAGACAUUAACCCGCCGGUUAAACUCACAAAGACUUCGUCCAGUUUCAGGUCGGGUAACUGUUGCACCAUUUGCACAGAGCAUGUAAAGUGAAUGUUCAUGUAUUAAUCCAACUAUACUGGGUGGUAUAGAAACAGGAGCUCUGCAUAAUGGUUUCAACCCUUCAUUUUUUGCAGUGGUUACUUGGAAACCCACUGAGAAUGUUUUGGUCGAAUAGACGUCUAAAUGUAGACUAGACGACUGAUCUAAAAUCAGGCUACUUCACGUCUAAAAAUGAAAGUUUUUUAGACAUUUAGACUAAAUCUAAAUCUGGUCUAUCUCUAUACUACACUGUAUAUUGCUCAACAGCCAUCAUAAUUAUUUUGGUUAAGUACUUUGAGAUCGGUUUUGUUACUCACAGUUGCUUUCUGAAAUAAAUAGUUAUGGACUAAUGGGUUAAAAUGCAACGUCUAAAUCUCGUCUAAAAAUACACAGAAUCUAGACGGUUGAAAUUAGGUCUAAAAAAAACCCUCAAAUUGCUCAGUGUUAAGAUUUAAGAGCAAAGGCAGCCUCUGUAAUAUACAAUUAUUUAAGGUUUCAUAGAAACGACUGAAAGCGUGGGACGAAUAAGAAAGAAGAAACCACAUGAAAUAAUCCUUCUAUCGUCCUCCACGCCUCCCUGAGACUACAUGUUGGAUAUCAUGACCAAACACUCCGAUAUCUGUCAGCCUUUGUUUGCACCAAGAGUUGAAAUGAAAGCAGAAACAGACUUCGUAUUCUUCGUGUGCCAAGUCGAGUUCACUGAGAGAGGCACGAACGGGAACAGCUGGAGGUGACUUGAAUAAACCAUCUCCAGCGUUUCUUCCAAGAACUCGAGCGAGAUGAAACUGAAUCAGAGAUGGAGAUGAAGAAGCAGAAUCUCUUCAAGUCUUCUCGAAGUGGAUGACAGGGCGGGGACGUUCAACAUCCUCAUGAAACUAAAUCCAGAUCAUGAUGAAUGCUAUCUGCUUCUAUUGGACUCGUGACGUUGUAGGAAGAUUUGAAAUACAGCGUAGUUAAGGUCGACCUUCCAGCGCAGGACUUCUUGAAGACCCUCGAAACCUGAACAGACAUAGACCAGCUACAACGGAGAUUAAAAACCCACUUCAAUGACAAUCAUGUUUUUCUUGUUUUUUACAUGUUCAUAUAUUUAUUUUUCUGACGCUACAGGACAUAUCAUGAGGGAAAAAUAAGCGCGAAACUGCCAAACUCGGAGAAGAGAGAGGAAGAUCGCGGAGUGUGCAGAGCAGCGCUGUCUCCGCCCACGACUCAGAGGCGAAUUACUAAUGAUCUACUGAAGAAGGCUGUGUCCAAAAUGGAUCCCUAACCUUCAUAUAGGCGACUAUAUGGGGGUUAACGGCAUUUUGAGGGGUGUCCGAAACCUGAGGGAUCAAUUCCAAUGCCCCAUAUAGGCGACUCAAAAUUCACCUAUAGAGCAUUGCAAAAUGUAGUUACCAUCCGAUGGUCACUCACCGGUGGUCGGCAUCCUAUCAUGAAUUGAGUGAUGCGUCAUGCAAGCAAGAAGAGACAGAACCCGAGCUCUAUUUGUCAUUUUCAGCGUAAGUUUUUUAUCGUCACUUCACUCACAAGUUUUCGAGAAACAAUUGUUUACUGCGUGAUAAAGUCUCGUGCAACAAUAUGACGCAGCAAACAAUAUUCAGCAUGAAAAUAUAAGGCCUUUUAAAUAAAUUAUUAAUUUAUUGUUAUUUUAUUUUUUUAUUUUUUCAUUUCACGAACAUCCUGGAAAAACAAACACAUCUAUACAACAUCAAAAAAUUCAAGAGAUGUGAAAACAACAGACGCAACUUCAGACGCAGCAGUCUGAGCAGUGACGUGACAACGGUGCGUCGUGUAGUGUCUGAAAUGUUCUUUGAUUGAGCUCACGACAUAGUCAGAUAUAUAGUGACUCAGAUAACAUGAUUGUUUGGAGAAUUUUGGGGUUGGGCAUCCCUACAGUGAUUUUGGCUAAAAACUUCAGAAUCACAGUUUAAAGACCACUGAGAAAACUUUAAGUAGUGAAAAGAAAAACGAUCGGAGUAGAACUUAAAACUGUUUGUAAAUGUUUCCUUGAACCAGGCUGUAGAAAUGAACAUUUUAUUACAUUUCCACUCCUUAAAUUUGAUCUCACUGAAUCAAUCACAUCUAUACAAAGAAGCUGCAUUAGCUACCUUGAUUGUAAUUUGACAUCGCCGCCAUAUUGGUGAGGGCAUUUUGGGGCGGCAGUAGCUCAGGAGGUAGAGCGGUCGUCCAAUAACCAGAAGGUUGGCGGUUCGAUUCCCCCCUAUGCUGAGUCUGUCUGUUGUGUCUUUGGGCAAGACACUUAACCCACCUUUCUCCCAGUGUGUGUCCUCACUGGUGUAUGAUUGUCAGUGUGUUGUGCUGGUCGGAGAGGCUGUAGGCGCAGCCAUGUUUCCUUCAGUCUGCCCCAGGACAGCUGUGACUACUAAGGUAGUUUACCACCACCAGGGUGUGACUGUGCGAGCGAAUGAAUGAUGUAUCCAAUGUAAAGCACUUUGAGGGUCUCUGAUGAAGCGCUACAUGAAAUCUGAGUGUCGUUUAAUGACCGUACUGGUUUGGUGAACACACUGACCUAUCCUGUCUUGUCAAAGUUAUAAAACAUUAAACACAGAUCCGUCUGUUUUCUUCAAAAGUCUGCAGUUUUGUUUUUUUUUUCUUCCACCAAACCUCCACCAGAUGAAUCCUCUGAUAAGACGCACGCGCAGCCUCAGAGGAUGAACCGAUCCGACUUCCCUCUGCUCAGAAAGCUCCUUUCACUCAGAACUGAAAUCGUGAUCUUGAGCUGUUAAAACUGCAGAUAAACCGGCUUCAAAAGCAGCUCUGUUUCAGAGCGAAGUGAGUCACAAAUAUGUGGAUAAGAUGGCACAAGAGUCAAAUAGACGCCUGAAGGAACGAGCGGACGUGGAGAGACGAAAAAAUGUCUGCUGUGUCGAAUUAGCAUGUUGGUUUUUUGUUGUUUGUUGGAGAUAAAUGUUGAUUUACUCUCCGGGGUUCCACAGUCUGAGAAAAGCCCGGACGAGUUUUUUUUUCACAUGUGGGGUCAAAUGUUGUAAAGCUCAGUGACAGAGCACACUGUGGUCAAACACCAGCGGCUAGCAGGCAAUUUACUCCACACCAACAUUUAUUAGAGGCUAAGCUGCUGCUGCUGAUGGAGGUUUAUCUUCCAGGUUCGCUUCUGUCUCCCUGAUCCUCCGCUCAGACCUCCUCCUUCUCGUCUUUGUCUCUCCUCAUCCCUCUCUGCUAACUCCGACUCCAAAAUGCUCUUUUUUUUUUUUCUUUACUGUAUCGAACGUUUCUGAUGUCGGAUUUUUUUUGGCGUCUUUUUCUCAUUUCAGAUGUCUGCUGCUUUACAAAGCCUGUUUAUCAGAGUGAAUUGACAUUUCAUUUUCAUUUCGUAACUCAGUGAGACAGAUCCAUCCCGCUGACAUCCCUUUCUGCACACAGAAAAUGUGGUAGCAAUUUGAGGGGGCAGUUAGUGUUUGUGAUGUUGAUUGAAGUAUUAUGUCUAUUUGAGAGUUUUCUGAACCAUUCAUGCUCUUCGUCACAAUCUUCGUCUCUCGGGAGGUGGAAAAAGUACAUCCUCGUUCUCAGGGAAUGAAUCUGCUGGUAUUGAACUUGGUGUUUGAAUGACUAACAUGUACAGAAAGCUUCUGAAAGCUGUCAGGUUGUGUAUUAUCUACAACUUGAAGGCGAAUGCGACUAUUAAAAAGAGACCCCAUCUCUGAUUCUGAUAUUGAAAUGCUCAGAUUGUUAUCCGUCCAUAUAGAUGUAGACGCUCAUAUUCGAGGAGGAGAGACAGCUACUUCCUCUGAAAUGAGAAAUUGCUCUUCAAGAGUCAGUCAGCAGCGUAUUUGUUAACCGUUUAUUCACCACAAACAACUCAAACCUGCUACGGCAACAGGUUUUCUUUUGUAAAUAAUGCGUCUGCUCAAAACGCAUGCUUUUAUUUUUAAUCUCCAUGUUUCAAUCAGUGAAUAAACGCUGUGUUUUUGAACGUUCCUCUGUCUGUUGAGAAGGCAGCUCUAGUGGACACAUGAGGAACUGCAGUUUCUUUGCAUGUUUCUGCAGUUUCCUACCGGAUCCGUUUGUGAGGCGAAUUUUGUGGCGGAUUACAGACAGCGGGACUCGCAAGAUCUCACAAGAACCUGUGGAUUCAUGUUCAAUCUCACGAUAACGAGUUGUCUCUAUAAAGACAGACACAUAGACAUAUGAGCAGUAGAUUGUGUCCUUCCAGAGGAGGAAAUCUACUUCUAGACUUCUAGAAUCAGCAUCUCCUCAUCCAUGGUGUCAUCGGGGUGAAAUGACGUCUAAAAACCUUUCACUUGUUCGUCUCCGCCCGUUUGCAUGGUGUGAAAUACGAUCCUCCUGAAACACGGAGUGUUUUAUUUUGAAAAGAAGCCGGAUGUUUUAUUUUGUCUCUGUGCCCGACUUCCUUUCCAGCACGGGUUAAUCUGUGCUGAAUUUAUCCAGCAUGCUCCGGCGUCUGGAAAAAUUAGAACUCUUGCGAUCCGCAGCGGAGCGGAAAGACGCCGGUGGAAAUUGACAAAUUAACUUGAAUGGUUACGAUCAGCUACGGUCAGCGGAUACGAGCUUUUCGUAGCCGUUCCGGAUGUGGUGGAAAUUAGGGGUCAAACACACUGGAUGUGUGUUGAGCGCUCUGUGUCAGCUAUGUUCAACUAUGUUUCUGAUCGCCGCAGCAGCGCACACAGGACACGUUGCAGCAAGUAUCUGCUAAAGAUAUGCACCGAGUCUAUUUUCUCUGCUCCACGCCUCCAACAUGCGUCAAUCUACACAGAGAAGAUCGUUCUAGACAGGAUGUCAAAAACAAAAACCACACAUGUCAUCUGGUAAAUUUCAAAAUAAAACACUGUGUAUGGACUCCCGAUUGUGUAUCAGUUCGUGUAGAUGAGAAAUCCUUACUAGUUAUGGAUUUAUCGUUCAUAUAGAACAAUAUCGACUAUCCCGGAUCUAUGAGGACCACAACAGGACUUUCAGCUGCUAACUCUGUCUGAAGGUAACAGCACAGUAAAAAGGAACACACUCGUAAACCUGCACAAACCCAAACUGUAAAAUCAUGUUGCUUUUUCACGUAUAUCAGGAGCUUAACAGUCGCAGAUUAAAAUCCAAAUUAGCAGAAAAUUGACCGCAGAAAGAAAAAACAACCUGACUACGUUGUUUUCCGUUUACUGCUUCGCUCCAAACACGCUUCCAGUUGGCGAUGACGGAUCUGACGGAGCCUGGACAUUUUUCCUAUUUCCCUUCUUGCACGUCUACAUCUGUUUUCUAACAUCAAGGUUACCGAAAAGCUUUCCUCCUCGCUUUCACGACUAAAGUUCCUCCCUUCACUCGGGGGACUUCAGUGCCAUCGCCGCACUGAUCACUUGAAACAGAGGAAGGUGAGGAUGAAGACGGACUCUUCAGAUUCCUGGAGGUCAGUUUAUCUUCUCACCCGCCAAACAAGGACCGGCCCUCCAUCCCCUCUUGAAGCACACUGUUCCAGCUGCGUCCCCCUCCAUGCUUGACCCGUCUGCUCCGACGCUAAGCCAGGGUCAGAGUUCACGGCUGCAGCAGCUCUUUUGCUCUCGAAAUGUUCGGCGUUUCUUGAAGUGUAACUUUAGAAACAAUUCAAAGUUCUUUGUCGCAUUAACACACACGGUCCUUUAAUCCCACACCUCAUAUAGCUUUAUGAGCGGUUGGCAUUACCUGGGGAUGGAGUGUAAGCUCAGUGGCUGCAGAGGGAAAUCUGUGUGUGUGUGUGUGUAGAGCUGUAUGCAUGCUGUCAGAAACCCUAUUAAUCCAAGAGUGUAACUCCAGGGACAGGAGGUAAAGCUUUGUAGUACCUGAUGAAACAAAAGAAACCCCUGAACCCCCAAAGUUCAAAUGGUUUGCACUCACUCUGAGCAACUCUCUCCCAAAUGAAAAAAAAAGAAACACAUUAAAAUACGAGAAAACACGACUGCAGCAGAAUCCGAACCAACAAAUUACGACUCGAGCCUUGUUUAGGUGAGCAAAUAUUCAUCCCAUUCAUCCGAGAAGUGUAACUUGUUUGUCGGUCUCAUGCAGCAUUAAGAGGGAACAGUUGGACUACAUGGCUGUUUUAGGAAAAUAUUUGGAUUUGGCUCUUCAAUUUGGAGCCGUCGCCUCCGAUGUGGAGGAGGAGAUUUCCCAACAGUGAUCAUGUUGACACCAGAAUUUAAUUUGGACAAAGUGGGAGCCUCGGUAGAUUGCCCGACGAUGGCGCCAAAAGAUGGAGGGAACAGUUGGUGUAGUAAAUGUCUCUCCAAAUCAGUCCUGGUAAGUUAGAGAGCCAAAUGAAUGGGAGUGCUGUUAAUGUGAUAGUAGAGAUGUCUUUAUUAAAGCAUGAGCAUUAAUGCGCUGCCAUUACAAACCACUACUUACAAGCGUGAGCAGAUUUAGAGGCGUUACCUGAGGUCGAUUGAGUAAAUAUGGCGCUGCAGGAUUUCGCUCAGAGGGUGUCGAGACAGUUAGAAGAGAAGUGAAGUUCUGAAAGAAAGUCCAGUUUACAGAGUUUAGAGGAAACUGUUUAAGGUUUCAAACCUGAAAACCAAACAGUCAUUUUACACAGACCUGUUCUGAGGUAUUUAGAAAAAUUGUUUUCACUGUUUUUAAGGUUGGCGAAUGUUUGUCUUUUUCUGGAUAUUUAUUUAAAUAAUACCUGGAAAAGUGCGCAAGAAAGGACUCUACAGAAGUAUCAAACGCUUAAAAGUGUGGAGGGUACCUCAAAACGAGCUCGACACAGACUCUAAGUGUACAUUUUUUUUUUUUUUUACAUAGGUUAAUACUUUAAUACUUAAUCUUUGACACGGACCUGACUCUGUCAGAAAACUGUAUGUGAGGGCUGAAACAAAAGUCAAAAACACUGCCCUCUGUAGGCAGGGCCAGGUACUGCUUCCUGCCUUUAUAAGGCCACGUGUGGGCAAUCUUGGCAGAAUAACGGGCGCUUAAAACGGAGGUAGACCGGACAAGAGCUAAAAAGCCGGGUCAACAUAAACCAUGGGGGACGCUUGGGGAUCUUGGUGACCCUGUAACCUUUCUGCUGGACAGGUAAACCGCUUUAACAAAGUAAGACAAGUGUCUGUAACAGAAGUGUUUCUUGUCAAACGGACCUGCUGUAGCGUGUUGUAGCGCCAUCGCUAAACUGUCCUCCCUCGGGUCCUGGACUAUGUCACUUUAUCCUCGUUGUAGAAGUCCUGCAAACAUUGUGUUUGCUGGUAGUCUGUUGGCAUCUACAGUAGCACCGAUGCUUUUGACUUUCACCUUGACUGGGCCCCAUUUGUAAUGAUCUGAAGUAUUUAUCUGCAUUAUAUCUGAAUUUAACUGGAACGAUACAAGGGAGCAGGAGCGUCUGUUUGUGGGCGGGGCUUGAGGGGAAAACUGUUUGGGAGGGGUAGAGUUUACAUUCAAGAUUUCUCCUAAAAACUGGAACUAACUCAGAUCCUGACUACACCACCUUUAACUGUAGUUCACUACGACUGCCAAGUAACACCCACUUGUUUGUUGGAGUAAAAUAAGUUAAUUUGACUCAAAGAAUUUUAGUUGUAAUAUCUCGAUUCAAAGUUAUCUAUACUGAGAUACUUAAAGUACAGCUUACUCAUAUGAUAAUUUCACUUUAAUUGACACAAUGAAGUUAUUUUUCUUACUUUUCCUGAGGUCAUCGGGUUCCUAACUUCUUUAAAGUAAACUUAACUAGUUUGAGUUUAGAGUGUACCAAAAUAAAACCACUUCAGGUAAAAGUUUUGCUUGAUUGGAAAGAUGAGUGAUACCUCAAAGCCGUCCAUAUAAUAAAGAUAAAAUACCCGGACCGGACAUGUGUGGUUUACAAUCCGUCAUGUUCGGGUUCGGCUCCUCCGCUGUCAGACUUCACACCAUCCUGCCUGUGAGAAAAAGUCCAUCCCGACUCUGUUCCCCUCGAUAUUUUAAGUUAUGAGGAAAAUUGCAUCCUCAAGGGGCCGCUCAGUUCCAGCCUUAUUCUAUCUGGAUCUUAUCUCACACCACUUGAUUGAUUCGAUAUUGGAUCUGAUAUUGCAUGAAUGAGCUCAAAGAUGUAUAAGAUAUUUUGCGCUUUGAUGAGAGGCUUUAGACUUUUCUGCCAAUAAAACACCUUUGAAUUGAAAAUCAAAUCAGAGAGUGAGGGUGAGAGCGAUGUGCAGAUAUAAUCGUCUCUCUGCUUUUAUUAGCAGAUGGGUUUGCCAUCGGGCCGCACCAUUGGUUUAACCUCCUAAUCAGGUAUCGCCUCGCUCGCCCCGCUGCUGCUGCUGCUUCAAUUAAGGCCGAGAGAGACAGAGAGACAGAGGAAUAAUGAAAGAUGGCGGCGCAGAUGCAGGAAAAUGAAAGUGGCUGACAGAGACAGAUAGAUGGAGAGAUUCUCACGUAUAUGAAAGAGCUAACAGGAGAUAAAGAGCGGCGACGGAGGCCUGGAGGAGGAGAUUAUUGUUUAUAUUUUUCAUUUAGUCCCAGGUCUCAUCAUGUUUUUGUUUAUAUUCAGACUGUUUUCAGACUUCUAAACUAUAUACUUCUAAUAUUUUAUUAAAUCUCCAUCUCUGGGGUGCUGCAGUGAUGUUAUUCGAGCUGAAAUUCUUUCUUUGUUUUGUCAGUUUCACCCAGCAUGCGUCGACGCUCACCUCCCAUGACCCUGUGUCCUCGUUUGGGGACGCUACAUUUAGGUUUACCACAACUUUAUACUUAUUUCUGCGCAACUUGAACCUGUUGUUUCUGUUUCAAAACACUUUAAUGGACAUUUAUGAAUUUAAGGAAAAUAAACUGCAUCAUCUUUAAGUGGAAAAACAACUACAGGUAUGAGAUUUUUCGAAACCCCACGUCUUCAAACGCCACCUCAGCUGAGCUCUACCUGCAGGUUUUGACAUUUGGAGUCCCUACAGAAGCUCAUCAAACAUGAUGGAGACUCUCUGAAGUCCAGAUUCAGGCCUCUGUCAGGACUCGGGUUCCUCCCUGUGCAGGUUUCUAGCCGCCGCAGUGACCCGCCGUGGAAAUCCCCGUGUUCACUCUCUAAUUGCGCCUCUGUAAUGGAUCCGCCUGGGUGAGUUCGGCGCUGGCUGCGCUGUGCUGCAGGCGGAGACUCCAUCUUGGUUUAAUGGGGACUUUGUCAUUCAGGCCUGCAGCUCCCUGAUGCAAACAGCGAGUACUUAACCGGCUUGCUUUGCCUCCCUCCUGUCUUUAUUUUCUUCCUUAUUUUGCAUUCCUCGCUGCUCCCACCUGGAUUAUCCGCCCCUCGUUAUUUCCUUCUGCCUGGUUUCCACCUUCCUCCUCAUGUCUCGUGCAUUUAGAUGGUCUCUCUGUCGGUCUUACAGUCUUCCUCCGAUCUUCCCCCGAAUUAAUUGAACGUUUUCCCAGAAUUCCAUUAACGAGGUUCACUUUUUUUUUUGCUGCUAAACAGCUGACAUCCGAACCCAUCUGAUCCCCGGAGACAAUCUGUCGAUACUUAAGCUGUUGUUCGUCAAUGGAGGACAUGUGUUACACCUCUGGAAGAGAGUGGAAACUGAGGAUAGAUGGAUGAGGAGAAGAAGAAGAAGAAGAAGAAGGUGAGAAUCCAGAUGUGGGUGAAGGAGAAAGACCAGGUCCAUGGAUCCUCCUCAGACUCUUCUUUCAGGUUAGCACAUCUGCGAACGAGGCCCGGUGCGACUCCAAGCUGAAGGUUCGGAUGAACUCGGAGAAAAAGUUGAAGGCGGUGUUGUGGAGGAAGAUUAAGACGUGAGCUCAUACGCAGGUGAAGGUUUUAAAAGGAUUUGUGCAGACGCUGUAUUAGCUGCACACACACAAACAGCCAGGAGCGGCUCUGACUCCUGAGAUCAGGUUUGUUCUGUUUUUACCCUCAAUGUAUACAAAGUCCAUUUAAUCUGCCCAACAACCACCGAUGACAUUUUGAAGUCUGCGCUCAUUUUCCUCCCUGAGAGCUGCACAAACAGCCACAGGCCCCCCCACCCCCAACCGUCAACCUCCCCGCUCCUCGGCUGUUUACUAAGUUUACAUUGAUGCUAUCCCGCUCCGCUCACACCGCUGUAAUAGGACUCAAUACUUCAAGCCUCUGGCCACUCAACCAAUACACCAAAUCACUGAGUGGGAGCAGUGAUAAUAACAGCCGACGGUAAUGUGCAUGCAAGUGUAAAUGUAAGAGAGAGAGAGAGAGAGAGAGAGUUUGUUCGUUUGGGGGGGAAAUCUAUAUUUCUGUUUGGCAGAUUCAGACCAAAAACAAACCUGCUGCAGAAAUGCAUGUUCACCAGGAAGCGCCGGGUCCGACGCUCUCACAUGAUCAUUCUCAAACAUCUGUGGACAGUGUGGAAGUGAAGUUAUACAAGAACAGAUCUGAAGUACAAUCUCUGAGUUUGUGUUCUUCUCUUGAGUAUGAUUUAGAGUUUUGAAGUAUAUAUAUAUAUUUUUAUUUUCAGGCUUUUUGUGCCUUUUCUAGAACAAACAGGACAGUGGAUAGAGAAGGAGAAGAGCAGAAAGGAGCCCAGACUGUUAGCUCGAGGAUAACCAUAGACUUUAUACUCUGUGGACAACUUUGCUCCGCCUUCUGUCAUUAUACGAAUUUGAAGCCGAAUUGCUCUCGGUAUUUCAUCAAUUUUCUCCAAUUAUGCAAUAAAGUAUCAUACAUUUGGCGGAAGAGUCGCUGUGAUGACGCUCGGCUCAAACAGCUGCACAAUCUUCGUACGCCCAUAGGCUGUAUCAGGUGUCAAUCAUCGAAAACAUGAACCCCCUAAUAACUUUUAAAAACGGAGCUGUACAGAAAAAAGAGGACUUGAGCACAAACCAGUCUGACAGUAACUACAUGUCAACAUCACAACCAGGGGGGAGAAACAUUUAUAUUCUGUGUCAUUCAUUUAUAAAGUUUGUCCACAGCUCCAUAGGGAUUGCUGGAGGAGGUGGGAUUUAUGACCUAUACUGCAGCCCGUCACCAGAGGGUGCUGUUCUUGCGGUGGCUUCACCCAGUGAAGAGGUAGACGGCGUCCAUUCUAUAUACAAUCUAUGUAACUCAAGCAUAUAUGGCGGUGCACAUGGACUGUGAAGCAGUUACCGUAUUUCCACCGCAUUUCCAGAGCAGCUCCAAACCGGAAUGGCAGCAAUUUUCACGAUAACAAGUUGUCUUUAGCCACAUAGACUAACCAUAUAAGCAGUAGAUUGUGUCCUUCCAGAGGAGGACAUCUACUUCUAGACUUCUAGAAUCAGCAUCUCCUCAUCCAUGGUGUCAUCGGGGUGAAAUGACGUCUAAAAACCUUUCACUUGUUCAUCCCUACCUGUUUGCAUGGUGUGAAUUUUGUGUUUUAUUUUGAAAAGAAGCCGGAUGUUUUAUUUUGUGUCUGCGCCCGCCUUCCUUUCCAGCACGGGUUAAUCUGUGCUGAAUUUAUCCACCAUGCUCCGGCGUCCAGAAAAAAUAGAACUUGUGAUCAGCUGAGGAGUUCGGCGAUCUGCAGAGGAACAGAAAGAAGACGGUGUAAAUUGACACGUUAACUUGAGUGGUUACGAUCAGCUAUGAUCGGAGGAUACAACCUUUUAGGAGACGAUCAGGAUGAAGGUGGAAAUUACUAGUAAGCUCCAAAACACGAUGCAUUUUAAAUACAACUAACUAAACCAGCGCAUCCGACUAUCCCAACCUCUGACUCGAAGAAAACCAAACAGUUAAAUUCUGCAAUGAAAUAAGAGUUUUUGAACAUGUUUGAAUAAUUUUUUAAAACAGACAUUCAGAUAUGAAAAUGUGUCUGUCUGUCGUUUUAAGGACUCGGUCGUAUCUCACAGGAGUUACAUCUUCACUGACGAUACACUUGAGUGAGUCGGCCUUGUGGUAGCGUGUUUACCCUCACUUUUGGAUGGUUUCAGUUUUAUGGAUCAAGUCCUCGUUAUAAUAGCUGUCAUGAUAGGCUGUGAAAGUGUGAGAUUUUCUUACCUCAUCCAAACGGGUGAUUGACGGCGUGACUCUCCGACCUUAAAAAUCCAUCUGUGAGCUUAACAGUGAUAUAGAGCAGACAAACACACAGACUGAAGUGUUUUUUGUGACCUGCAGGCCUUCCUCCAAUAAAACUCUGAAUAUAAAACUCUCCAAAUGGACAGAUGAGCCGUUCCAGAUCCCAUUCUGACUGACAGUGUCGCCGCCGGCCCUCUUCUCCGUUAGCAGGAAUGCCCUCCGCUUCUGACGGCGUUUGAAAAUCUUCUCCUCAGUCGGGCAGGAAGAUGAAGGCGAAGCCGUCCUGCCCGCAGAGCCUCUCCGCCUCAGGCAUCAUGUCGGAGAAUUUGUUUUGUUUUUUCCACCUCGCUCCUCUUCUCUCUUUUUCUGCGAGUCCUUCGCCGCUUCCCGUCAGCAGAAAUAGAUACGCGCUCAGUGGGGGAUUGGGGGUGCAGAAAAACACCAGAAUAUCAAAACCAUCGGAGAUUAGAGGGGGUUUAUGGUUUGGUAAGCUUCUGAUCUGCUGCUGCCUCUUUCUCCGUGCACGUGAGUUUUCUUGUAAAAUCAAAAGAAGAAGAAAUCUUGAAAGCAGCGAUCAGCGUGAAGGGUGUCAAAAUCUACUCCCCUCUGCACAGGAAGUUACACAAACAGAAAAAAUGACACGACGACAGAGACAGCAGAACACAUCAAAACCACCUGUCAGGUACACGAUCACCAGCUACUCUCUGAUUGGUCAAACCCCCUUGACAACGGUUGUUAAUUCUGCAUAGCAACAGCAGGGACAGCCGGAUCACGCUCAUUAAUGUGCUGACCUCUGCAUGUUGACACCCAGACAGGAUUAAAAUCAAUAAUCAGUAAAUAUUGAUAACCAUUAUGUUGUCGCUGUCCGAUAAAAAAUACAUAUCUCCACUUACAGCGAUCUGGACUUUUUUCAGUACAUGCACGGUCCAUAGGGUUUCCAAAUGACUGAUGAAAAGACAUUUUAUAACAUCAUCUUUAUAACAAAGAUCUCCAUUGGGUGUCGGAAAUGUCGACAAAGCACGUAUCUGAGUUGUCAUGUCGGCAAACAGACUUCACACUGUGACAGACUCAUUACAGUCCAGAGUAACGCUACACAUCGACUGAUGCCGACCUCAAACCAUGACAGUGUUGUUUAUCUGUACGUUAGAUUUACGUUAGAGCUGAAGUUCAUCCCUAGAGGCAAAGCUGCUGUUUUCUCUCUCACACUUGUUGACUAUCGUAUCACUUAGUCGUGUUUCCACUAUCUUUUAAUUUGUUCACUGGUAUUUCAGUGAAAUCAGAACCAGAAUUUUAUUGAAAACCAAUUAACUUAGUAGUAUUAGAACUCAUAGUACAUUUGUAGUUGGUGUUUCAGAAUACCUGCAUCGAUGUGGAAAUGUAGGAUAGUCUGCUAUCAAUAGUUCAUCAACAUAGUGGGAUAUAAACCAGAUACUCGCGAUCGUCAUUGGAGCGCAUUAUUAAAAAAACACGUAUGUCCACUAUCACUCACAACGCAAAGCAUGUAAGUCUGUUUAAGAAUAUCAAACAGGUCACUGAUGAUUUUGUAAAUAUAGAUUUUGAAUUAAGGUCCUAAUUCAAUCUAAUUACAGUGUCUUGAGUUUAUUCUUUGAGGUUGUUUUUUUAAUGUUCCUGUAAAUAUAUAUAUAUAUUGGAGAUACGUGUUUUUUAUUGGACAGUGAUGCUGUGAAGGAGGGAACUGGACGAACAGCUGAUAACCUGCUGAAAACCGAGAAAAACCCUGUGACAGUUCACGAUAUCAUGUCUGAACCCUCAUAACCUUACUUUAUUCUCAUGACACUGAAACUCUAUUCAUGUAAAAUUAUCAUCUGGUAAAGCUACAACUUUAAUUUCAUGUUAUAACUCCACUAAAUAAUAUUUACCUAUAAGCACUUGUCAAAUUGGACGUUAUCGUCAUCCCAGUCUAAUGUGGUGGGAAGGAGAGUGGAUCUGCACCUACAGCUUUGUCAAAAUAUCCUUUAAACUCCCUAACCGGGACAGAACUGAGAAUAGAAGAACCAUUUAAAGAAGGAAACAAGAGAAAACCAGAGAAACAUCCCAAAGUGGGUAAGAACAGAAGGAUGAUCGGAUAUAUCAUGUAGACAUGACUGCAGCCAGAAAUAAGGUUUUUGGAUCACGCCGUCAAAUUUGCUAAAGUAGGAAUAAAAAAAACCAAAUUCGGUGAAAAGUUCGGACGACUUUUUCAUGAAUUUCCGGUCACGUCAAAAGUGACCUUCGCCUCAUUUUUGUUUGAGGGUUUGUCAGCUGCAAAGAGAGCUGAACACAGACGGACAGGUCGGCAGAAACCGUAUCCACGCGGUCAAACGUCGCCAUCACUGAAAACUUAAACGAGACUCAAACACACCGCGCUUCAUCUUCCAGAAGGUCUCGUUUCUGAGGGUCCGAACUCUCUGGGAUGGUCCUGGUGCCAUCAGAAACACGGAGCAUCUGUUGAAAUCACCUGGCCGACCUUCCACCUCUUGGCAUUCUUCUCCUCGCCCGGCCGUUCACACACUAUUAGAGCGUUUACGCCGCGGGUAGAGAGCGAGCGGCUGAACUCAUUUCACGGGUUAAUUAGAACAAAAGGAUCAGCCUUUCGCCGCGCGAGAGGCUUUCGAUUAUUGAAAGGUUGUGGCUCGCUCUCCUCCCCGCGGGCCUCCGGUGAGAGGACAGAGUAUACCGGGCUCCAUCACGCCUAAAUGCCACCUAUCAAUCACCUGAUCGCGCCUGGCCGCCAUCAUUAGCGUCCCGUGAUUGAGAGGUAAGCUUCGUAAUCAUCCUCAGGCAAAUGCAGAGUGAGGUUAUUAAUACGCUGCCUGUCUGCGGGAAGCGAAAUGACAAGUUGGGUCAACUUUAUGAAGUGAGAGAGAGCGGGUGGAGCGGAGGAGCCGAGCGCUGAUCGACAAACAACGUGACAGAGAUCAGACCCUGAUGAGGUCUCUAACAUAAAGACGAGGAGAAGGAGUGAAGAGUGUACAGUCUGCUGUCCUCCAGAAACGGGAACAUAAUGACUCAAGGUUCCCCGUCUUAUGUUCAGCAGCUCUUAUCUCAAACACUUCUGGAGUUUGGAGGCUACACAUCUCAACAAACCAACACCAAGAGUGCUGCAAGAAGGUGAUAAAAGAUUGUGUUUCAUACCUGGGGUUGACCUUAAGCGGCGCGGUAAUGAAUAUCUUGUAUCAACAGCGUGAACCGGCUCAGAGUGAGGCAGGAAAGAAGCCGGAGGCACGACUCACGACAGACGGCGAAAAUCAAAGUUCAGCUGAGAAAGAGGCGAGGGUCAAAUCCGGGAAAUCAGGCAGAACAGGAAAACAUCUGACAAGAGGCGGGCGGCAAAUCCAAGGUCUAAAGAUCAGCUGAGGUCUGUUCAGGCCACUGAAGUACCAGAUAUCAGACUGUCCGCUGCAGCGUGCACGGAAAGGUUCAGUACACGCAGCGAAAAAAGGAAACGGGAAAUAGAGACGCCAGCAGCGUGUUGUUUUCUUACAUGAGAACCGACCAGGUACUCUGAACAAGAGCCAAACUUUAAUGAGAGUCUGAUGUUCAGACGUCUGGACUGGAUUUAGCUUCAUGGUUACAGAUGAAACCAGGAGAAAUUGUUUUUAUUUGAUAAGACCGAGAGGAUAUUUACAUCUACUGUGAUGUUAUAUGGAAGAGCUAAAACCUGCAGUUCAUCAAGUGUCCACUAGAGGGUGGAUCCAAACAUGUUGUACAAACAAGAGUGAUUCCUUUGACUCCGUAUAUUUUGCACUCUUAUUUAGAGUGACCAUCCGUCGUCUUUUACUCAGACAUGUCCUCUUUUUUGGGGGCUGUCCGGAUUUGUCUCGGGGAGUUUAUAAAAUCCUUCAGAUGUCUUCAGUUUUGAGUUUGUGUCGCGUGGACUUACUGAGUUAGAAGCGCCUAAAAAACACUCGAUCCGACUGCAAAACUCUCAAAAUUUACGACUCUGUGACUCCGCCCCUUUUUGGGAAUUCAGUAUAUAGUCACCCUACUCUGACCGAGCAUGAAGUGAGUGAGUUGUGUUUUUAAUUCGUUAAUCUGAAUAAUUUUAGCACCUGCCGUGAGCCUGCUUAUUUAUUUACUUAUUUAUCCCCUUGCAUUAAUGUAUUUCUGCUCACUUUAUCUUGCUCUUUGUGUUAUUUGUUUUAUGUAUCAUUGUACAGCACUUUGACUACCCUUGUGGUUAUUUUAAAAUGUGCUAUAGAAAUAAAGUUGAUUGAUUGAUUGAUUGAAUUUGCAUGUACAAAUUCUAACGUUGCCUCAUAAGGACUCGUGUCCAGCUGCGUCUUCACGUUGACUUUACUUGCAGUCGUGUAAAUAUCCCCUCCCUGUGUGAACACAGAAGCCUUCUCCGACUGAAAACUCACACUGAGUAUCCCAACCCUCGGCACGGCUCACGGCAGAGUCUGAAAAUAGAGAUCAGCGUGUUGACGACCUUCGUGGCCUCUUGUCCAUUACUGAAACUUUGGAAAUUUAGAAGUUUUAUAUUCCGGCCUGCUAACAGCCCCGGACUAAACACCUGAGUCUGCUCAGUGUGGAGACCAUCAGCCUGCACAGCUCUGAUCCGCACAAUACGACCAUUAGACUUUCUCAGCAUCUAUUCAUUGAUCGGCUGCAGCCGAGAUAAAGGUCGGCGGUUCACGGAGCUCCGGCCAUUUCAGCACCUCGUCCUCCUCUUCUCGCUCUCCUCAGAAAAAACCAGAAGGUCUCCUGUCAGCACAACAGACUCUUUUCAAAAGCGAGUGGGAAGAGAAGUGAGAAUGUGACCCUGAUUCACACCUCCAGACUCCACACAAUCUGCACCUCCUCUGAAACUCAACAAUACCGAGAAACAUCUGCUCACUCUCCACACUUAUAAAAACACUCUCUUUAUAUUCACAGGCCUUUCAUUAGCUUUUUGUGUCUUUUUUUGUGUGUGUUUGUGUGUGUUCUCGGGCUCUCUGCAGCUCUGAAAUGACAAGACUCAAGGAAAACAUUCAGAAGUCAAAGGCAGAUAAGUGAUUCAGGUCUGUGUCUCAGUUGGCCUUUGGAGAGGAGCGAGGAUGAUUAAAUUCAGCAGAGGAGAUAAAUCCUCAUAUCCAGCACAUUAACUCCCACAGAAGUACACAAACUUCAUACAGAGAAACACAUUAUGGGGGCUGCAGAGUGUCAGCUUUAAUAAAAAGAAAUGAAUAGCGGGUCAGCGCGUCUUCAGCCUGUAACUGGAAUAUUCUGUUUUAAUAGAAAUACGAGUCCUGACCCUCCUGAAGAAGAGAGCGCUGAUGGUCUGCAGCUGUUCUCGCUGUCAUGGAGCGGACCAACACUGUUAAUAAGUGUUCUUAUACAAGGACCGCGUUUAUGUUCGCACAAACAAAGAUUAUGUCUCGCUGUGAAUUAAAACUGACCCUCCUGCUGUUGUGAGUGUGAUCGUACGGUCUUUGUGGAUCUUUAUUAUGUGUUGGAGGUUGUUGGAGUUUCAUAUCACUGGUUAUUUUUUUAGACACGAUAACAGAGAGACGUCAGCUCAGCCGAUUAAUGAGAAACUGCAGGGAGGACCGGGACGCGACUCUGCCGCCAUCAUUUUUUAGGUUUUCUAGUUUCAUGCAGAAAAUUUUCAGCAUAUUUAAAAACUGGACUUAGCGAUGGUAACAUCCCCCUUUUGCCGCAAACUCAACUUUAGAUCAACCUACCAGAGGCGGGACUUUAGCCUCCUCACAAACAGCUGCUGUGUGACCCCGUGACUCAGAUUCGCCGAUCUUGUAACCUUACUAACUUCCAAUGGGAUUCCUGCGCGAUUCAGACAUAUGCUGCGUUCCAGUUACCUCAGAAGUCGGACGUUGGAGCUGGGAAUGACGUUACAUCCCGAGUUUACGACGUUCGAGUAAACAAGUCGGAAAAAACAAGAUUGACGCCUUAUGUUAGCUGUUGUUAACAAGUGUUAGCUGUUGUUAGCUGUACCAGUUUUAAACAAAGUAUAACCCAGUAUUUGACUCUUACAAACACCAUCGCACCGUGUUCACAGUUAGACGUUGGGCAGAACAACAUAAACCACUUUUACUAAAACAAAACAGAAGUGCUAAUAAUUAACACAUUACAUUCACUGUUACUCUUUAUUGUUGAUGCUCUGCGCUGCCAUCUUGAAUUAUGACGUUGUCGUCAAGUCGAGGUUGGUGAGGAUUGUCCGACUUUCCGAGUCUGAAAUCCGACUUCAGGGCGGCGCUCCAGAUGAAUUUUUGACUCAGAACUCGGAAAUCCUGACCUCCAACUUCAACUGGAACGCAGUGUUUGGCUCGGUGUGUAUGUGGUUUCUGGUGCUUCUGUAGACAGCCCCAUGUGGACACUUGAGGAACUGCGGGUUUCAGCACUUCAGCAUCGGCUUUAUUUCUCGUGAAUGGAGGACGCUGCUGCUCUCAAAAACAGAGGUUUAAAACUGGCCUCGAAAAUGUUUAAUUCCUUUUCCAUAUCUGAUAUUUAGGACUGACAUUAACUUUACAAACGAGUCCAAAUAGAGCAGGUAAAUAUUCUUUUUAAUUGCACUUUGAGUAACUGUCUAAGAGGGUUCAUCUCUAAUAUCUUAAAGGGAUUUUGUGGUUUUAUUCAGCAGAUAUUUCACUCUGUUAGAAGGAAAUAUUGCAGACUGAUAUCUCUUGAAUACCGGUCCUUAUUGAAAUAGGACAGCGGUCAUCAGACAUGUUUGUAUCAGCUCAGUAACUUUUACUCAAUUCAGCAUCAACAUCCAGGUGUGUCGCAGUGAAGAAGUGAACAUGUGCAGCCCAGAUGUUCGUUGUUAAAGCAGAGAAAGUGCACCAAAAAAAGCCCCAAAGACCGGCUGUUUGGGGAGAGGAGGCCUGCCAGCGGACUGGCUGCAGCUCUGGCUCAUCUACACGGGUCCACACCAGGUCCAGGUGUGUCCCAUGUUGCUGAUUAACCUCCAGCAAGUCUGCAGCUCCAGAGACAGAAAGCAGAGUCAGCCGAGCAGGAGGGAACCUGCACAAAGUUAAGAGAGAAAACAGGAGAGGAAUCACAGAGGGCCACACGGGGUCAAUUGGUGUUGGCUCCUGAAACGGGUACAAAUCACACCGGAGCGUCAGAGCUGGAAGGACAUAAUAUAACGACAUGGUCGGACUCCAAGAAAGAACUAACGCAGAGGGCCUACGCUCACCUCAGAUCACACCUCCCCAUAAAAAAACACACCUCAUGUUAAAACUAGAAACACUACACAAUAUUUCUAUAAUAUAUUUCACUCUUUUCUGUUCUGACUGCUCUAUUUCUAUAUUUUAAUUGUCCCUUUUCCCUUCUUUCUCUUUGAACUGAUGUUUUUUGGAAAGCUCCUUCUGCUCCUGUACGUGAAAAUGCUCUUCGAGUAAAAUGAUUUUGAAGCUUCAGACCGGUGACAGAUCUUCUGUUUGUGCUGAAUUAGCACGAGUUAGAGGGCAAACUAAAAUCACUUCACCUCAAAUGGCUCCUAAUGUGUUUGUCUUCCUGAAAAGGUUGUUAAUUUGUGAGUCUCUCGGCUGUCACUGUGUUGGUUUCCUCCAGAUGUCUCUGCUCGGUUUCUCUCUGUCACGUCCUGCAGGUUGUCAUCGAUUUACCGGAAAAUAAGGGGAAGGAUUUCUACCCAAACAGAAUUCCCUUUGCUUCGGAUCAGUGCGACAUGUUCUGCUUGACCAGUGAAAUGUUUUCUCCGAGAUAUUACACACCCUCUGAACUUCCCAUCAGUCACAGCAGGAUGAAGUUUUCAGGCCUCAGAGACGACGGUGUGAGGCGGAGAGUGACGGUGAGUCCUGGGCCGUCACGGACAUCGAGCAGGGCUGCAGUCGCUGCUCCAGCACCUGAGGUGUGACGUCCUGGGAGUCCUGCAGCCUCGAAACACGCCAAACUGUCCGCAAACAGGCGGGAUAAAAAUAGGCUCUUUGUUUGCCAGGCUGAGCCGCACCAAAGUCUCACCGCCACAGCUGUGUGUGACUGAAGCUUUCAGCGCAGAGGCUGGGAGAACAAUUAGCAGAGAUGGUGGUGUGAUGUGGGAACAGAUGUGACUGUGAUGAUGCAAGAACGGCAAACAUUAAUAACACGCCUGAGUCUAUACUUUUCUGAGAAGUCGUCAGAUUUAAGAGUCUUCAAACCAGAACUUUUUAAGGGACUUUUUUACCGUUUAAGGUUUCAUUCUUUGUUCAUGUCACUUUGCUCACAGAUACACAAAUAAGUGCAAAUUCUUAGUCACAGUUUUACUCCUUUUUCAUUAAAGUUCUCAUGUUUAAAGAAGUCCUGCAGAGAACUUAAAAGUUUGUGUAUAUUAUCCAAAACACGUUAGAUUGCACACACUCACAGGGUUGACUUCAGUAAUGUUGGGUACAAUUUAGGGUUGCAUCUGACAAGUAAUUAUAAGGAAAUUUAACAGAUAUAUCGUCAAACUACACAAACGAUAAACCAGCGUAACAGGUAACAAGCAGACACUUAAAUGCCUAAAAACCCUGCACACCAAACCAGGUGGUAAAAACAGAAAAGAAACACACAAUCUACAAUAUUUACUCUGUACUUAAAGUACCGUCGGCACACCUAAAACUUUCUUUCUUCCACAGAGGCAUGGAUGGCCGGUCUGCCUUUUCUGAGUGUGUCUGAAAAGCCAAAAGAAAAGGAGUGAGAGCGAACAACCACCUGGUUUAAAAGUGAGUGAUUUCAUAAAUAUGGAAACUUGGAGAAACUAAAUGAUUCGGUGAUUUAAACAAUCACAAGGAGGUUGUGAUCGGCUUAUUAGUCGUCUAUAAGUGGUGAAAAAACACAGUUUGUGUGCUCCAGAUUAUCGGCGAAAUACUACAUUUCAUUUUGUCCACAGGGGGCGCCAAAGAAAACACAAAUGACAGCCAAACUACACGGAGAUUGAUUCAUUUGCAGGGUUGUCGUGAACUUUGAAUUCUACGGAGCUCGAGAGGUGACAUGAACUUUUUUUUUUUGUAUAUCUCAGGUGCGAUUUAACUGUUCCUAAAUAGACAAAAUCACUUCCUACAAGUCUGAAUAUCGCCGACGGCAAAGUCGCUGUGCUUCAGGGAUCCUGAUGAGGUUUCUCCUACUCAAAACAAAACCAACUGUGUUGAAAUUAUUAAGUAUCUCUUUGUGAGUCAAACAUGAAUGAAAGAAAAUGUUGAUAAUAUGAUAAGAGGCGUGCAGAGGAUUAUUUACAAAAUGCAUUCGUAUUUGCAAAAUACAAAUAAAACACACGUACGAGAUAUUAAAUCGCACGUGGAAUGAAGUUCAUGUCACCUCACGGGCUCUGAAGAAUUCGCCAAAGUGAAGAAGGAAACUUUUUUCCUUUCUGUUCGGUUAAAAUGUUAACGUGGUGGUCGAUGAGGAUUGGAGACAGCCUCUAGUGGACACUCAGAGAACUGCAGGUUUUUGACACUUUAAUGUUCAGAGUCAACUUUAUUUUUAAAUAUGCUCUACAUGUUAAACAUACAGCAAGGAUGAAAUUUCAGUCCUCUUAGGCCCACGGAGCAAAAGAAUAAACUAUAAGAAUAAAACUAUAAAAGAAUAAAUAUAAUAAUAAAAAACUAAUCUAAACAAAAGACGAAAAUACUCUUAAUUUACAAAAUAAAGAUAACAAUAUAAAUAGCAUAACAGUAAAAAUAGCACAACAGUAUAAAUAAAGAAGGUGAAUGUAAACAGUAUGGCAGUCCUAAAGUGGACGUAAUAAUGCAGAUAAAUGUCAGACAGUUGUAAUUAUGGUGCAAUGAUGAGCGAUAAAGUGAAAGUGUGCGGUCCUGAGGUUGGUGUGUUUGUGAGGGUCUGAGGAGGGCGAGUGCUGGAGCUCCGGAUGUUUCUACCUGUUAAGUAGAAACACUGAAAAAAAAAAAGAGUCACAGUGUUAAAAGACAAACCUAAAACCUCUAAAGAGCCUGUACAUGAGUUUCAACUUAUCCACUGUCACUUUCAUUAUUCUCUUUUUGCAAAUAAAGGUUAAGAGUUUUGUAUUUUUUAAUAGAAAAACCAUCAAAGCUCGGAGGAAUUCACAAGUACAGCCGGACUUUUCAUGAAACGAUUACUUCUAAGACUGGAUUAUCCUGUAAAUAUCUGAAGUGUCCUCUUUGUUUCUGUGACAUUUUGCUGCAGCGAGCGUCUCUGAGUGUUUGAGGCGGCUCUGAUUUAAAUGCUGGUAUUUGUUUUUCUUUAAAGCAGCAGCAGCAGCAGAGUUACAGGGCAGUGAACUAGAAAAUGACAUUUUAAAGUCAUCUGUAGCUUCUGCAGAGUGUUGUGCCCUUUCCUCAGCGGGGUAAAUAUUAACACAGCCGACGCCUCCUCCUUCUUCUUCUUCUCCUUCUUCUUCUUCUUCGUCGUCUUUAAGAAGACGAGGCGUCAAGAGAACUGAAGGAAAAUGGAGAGAGAGAGCUUAUAUCUGUUCAACUCCUUCAACCGUAACAUUUUACAUGCAGGAUUUAGCAUCAGUCAGUGUUUAUCUUGGCAGUGAUCGCAGAUAAAAAUGUUUUUAGUUUGAGUUUUUUUUCUCUUUUAUGUCCAAGAAAAAUCAAAACAUUUGAGUCAUCACUUUCACUCGUCACCAGCGUGUAGGAUGGAGGUUCGCACUCUUUGUACUUCAACUUAUGUGGUAUUUAGAUUUUUCAGUUUUAACUGGAUGAUUAAGUGUACGCUCUCCCACAAUGCAAUGCUGCCUCUGCUGAUCGACUCAGAUAAUAUAGAAGAUUGAUCCGUCUCUGAGCCAAGAAUCAAAACAGUCUUUCUGUGGUUGAUAAAGACGUGUUUGUUUUCCUUUGAUUUCUUUUCUCUGUGGGGUGGGGGACAGAUGGUCUGGGCUCAGCCCCCUCUGUCCUAAAUCUAAGAAUCACCCCUGGACAGGUGCUGAGACACUUUACACCGCACCCGGCUCUAUCGACAUUUUGCAGGAUAAAUAAUGAUGACUGGUUGUUUCUUAAUCAUUGGCAUCCAUGAUGAAAAGUAUAAAUAGAAGAAAAUAUAGAUAUUAAACAUGCAGUCAUCCUCAUGAUUCCUACCGUACAGCAGAAGACUUAGUAAAACUGUUUAAAGAAGUUUUAAAAGACUGACAGACAUCCGUUUAUUAAACACAGAGAGGUUUUUUUGGGACUGUAGGAUUAAAAAGUGGUGUUGUAGAUGUCUGUGGGUGUGACCUGUCCUCCUGUUUGUACCAUGAAAGGGUUAAAAGUCCACAGAAAUCGUGGCAGCUCUGUGAAUAUGCUUUCACUUCUUAACCACUGCGUAUGGUGACCAUACGUCCUCUUUUACCUGGACAUGUCCUCUUUUUUGGGGGCUGUCCGGCCUUGUCCGGGGACUUUAACAGGGCCCGACCGAUUUAUCAGCGAGACAAUUAAAUCGGCCAAUUUUAGCCAGUUUGAGACUAAUCAGUAAUCGGCCAAAACUCGCAGAUUUUCGCCAAUAUUUUCGGAAAUAAAAUGUGGAGAAGAUUCGGGGUUGAAAAUGUUUUUCUGAUCCGAUCAGUCGGUCUUCCUGUCGGUGUGAAGAGCAUAAUAUCUAUACUUUAGAUAUCUACACAGUACAUAUAUAUCUAUAUAUAUAUAUAUACUAUAUAUAUCAUAACUAUAUUAUUAUAUGUAAAAAUCACUGGACCCGACCCGAAAAACUCUCAAAAUGCACUACGUUCGACUCUCUGACUCCGCCCCGCAUAGUCGUGUCCUCUUUUUCGGGAUUCAGAAUAUGGUCACCCUACCGCUGCAUUGAAUAGAGUAUUUGUCGUGUUCGUUAGGUGACUGGCGAGAGUGCCCCUAGUGGUUGUUUUCAAUAUUGCAAGAAAGACUGAAGAUCUACGAAAACUUGAAACAAGGUUAAGUUUUUCGUAGACGCAAAGACAUGAAGAAAAAAAAACUUUAAAUCAAUCCUGAUGUUUGUUCCUACUAUGGAAAUUUGUAACUAAAAAUCGCAUGAAAAGUCUUGUGAGUUUUUAUCCCAGAGUUAAAAUAAGAUUUACUAUUUAUCAUGACUUGAAAUUAGACUUGACAUGAAUUAAAACCUAUGAACUGCAUUUUUAAUCCCCAUAAAAUCUCUGCUCUUCGUUGGUUUUGUCGGAGAGUCUCUUUCACGGCUGUUCAUUUCGUUUAUUGAAAAUCUUUAAAGUAGAAUACACUUCCGUGUUUUUCUUUCGCUCCCCUCUUAUUUCUUCCUCUCCGUCACCAUCUGUGUGUGUUUUUUCGUUCUUUGGAGCGUAAUCGCGCUGCCAUUUUACCGAGGACUCUCCCGGAGCCUCUGAUCCCCGGAGACCGUCCUGCUGAAAUAAAAGGUCAAAUAAAGCGUAAAGUAAACGAUAGCGGACAGGUGUUGCUGUUGUUGCGCCUCCUGCACGUGCAGCAUGUGAAGAGUCUAAUCUGAUCAGUCUGGUGUACGUUCACGUCCCGCCGAGACAAACAGGACCUGACUCCACCCGGCUGUCUCUGUCUGCUCACGCCGGAGGUCAAAACAGACAAUUUCACACAUUUAAAAAACAGGCUUUCUCAUUUCCAGCUUAAAAACACAAUUUAGCAUGGUGCUCAGGGACAACGGCUCGCCUUAUGAUCGCCACCUUCCUUCUGUCUGUCACAUGUGGUUGUUUUUGCCGCCGCUCUGCCUCCUCGCUCGGCGCUGAUUUGCCCCAUUAGUCGAGCAUAUGUGUGGAUUGUGCUGUCGAACCCAAUCAGCUGAUUUGAAGCCAGGGUCGUGUCUCUGUAGGGAGCCUUGUCCUCCUCCUCCUCCUCCUCCUGAGCCCAAAAAGAGGUGAGGAGUGACUGAGUGCAUUUUCAAUUUCAGCUCCGAUUUGGUGAACAUGAGUGACGCCAUUUUGAAGACCUUCCCGUUUAUUCUCGCACGUUUAUCCUCCUCUCCUUUGUCUCCUUAUUUGCUCCUCGUUUCGUGCUUUCCUUGAAGUCCCCUCCAGCACACACUCAUAUUUUCUUUCCACAACUUGUCUGAAAAAACACCGAACACAGGGAAGUGGACCCAAAGCAGAUGGCGAUGGCAAAACCAGAACAGUUCAAAUGAAUUUCUUGGAGGAGAGAGAAAAAAAAACAGCAAAACCCCGAGGUUUUCAGAACGGUGAAGCUGGCAACGAGUGAACCAGAGACCGUCCAACACAGACGCACAAAUCUGGGGUGUGUUCAGGCAAUCAGGAGUGAGAAAGGAAACAAGAAACGGAGACUGAAAUAUGAAACUCGAUUCUAUCAGUAAAUCAGAGGCUCGACUCUUUUGUCUCUUUCUGUUCUUUAUUUUCGUCUGAUAUUCAUCCUGAUUAAACAUUUCUCUGUUUUCACUUUAUUUCACCCACUUUUAUUUCUUACCCCGAAUUUCCACUGGAUCUGAAACGGCUCCGAUCCGGAACGGCAGCGAUUUUCAUGUCAAUUUCUACCAGAUCCAUUUCGUGGUGGAUUAUGGACAGCAGGAAUUGUGAGAACUCACAAGAACCCACGGAUUCAUGUGCAAUCGCGCGAUAAUGAGUUGUCUUUACCCACAGAAGCUAACCAUAUAAGCAGUAGAUAGUUUCCUUCCAGAGGAGGAAAUCUACUUCUAGACUUCUAGAAUCAGCAUCUCCUCAUCCACGGUGUCAUCGGGGUGAAAUGACGUCUAAAAACCUUUCACUUGUUCGUCUCCGCCCGUUUGCAUGGUGUGAAAUACGAUCCUCCUGAAACACACAGUGGAUAUUUUAUUUUGUGUCUGUGCCUGACUUCCUUUCCAGUCGAUCUGUUCUGAAUUUAUCCAAAUAGAACUCUUGCAAUCAGCUGUGGAGUCCGGCGAUCCGCAGCGGAACAGAAAGAAGACGGUGGAAAUCAACAUAUCCACCAAUCAGCUGCGAUCGGCAGAUACGUCCUUUUCGUAGCCAUGCCGGAUGCGGUGGAAAUUGCCAGUUACUACUAUUGACAUGAAGCUCCAGGGAUGUGAACAGUUUACAGACCCACCACUUGAACAGCUGACGUCAGAAUUAUGAACUGGAGUCGGGUCACGGGGUCAGCAGCCAGACCCCCUCUCCUCGGUCACUUUGUACAUCUCUUCCCAGGGACCCCACGGCCCUGUUUAUGUGGUCUACUGGUGGGAUUUCGACCACUCGCAAUGUUACUUGGCCUUGAGGUCACUACCCAAAGCUCGUGACCACAGAUGAGCGUAGGAACGUAGAUCGACCGUUACAUCGAGACCUUUGUCUUUCGGCUCACAGCGUCCAAAUCACUGCAGACGAGUUUCUGUAAAUCGUCUUUUUACUCGUUCUCUGCUACAGUCUGAUUUCUUCCUUUUCUCCGUACUUUAAUAACUGCUUCUCCCUUUUUAUUUUAGAUGCCUUAUUUAUUUAGUUUGAUUGAUUGAUUGAUUGAUUGAUUGAUGGAUUUUACCUGGUGAGAGACCCAAGUGGAGGUGCUGCGUUUCACUGCUUCAACUUGUUAACUUUCCCCGGAGUGAAAGUGUGGGAAUGCAGGAGUCCAACUUGCACAUUUCAGCACCGUGCCGCUGUGAUCAUUUUACCUCCUCCGUCUCUUCUCUCUGAGCUGACUGACGCCUCGCUGCUCGACACAGCAAUGAUUUUUUCAAAAGGUGGCCAGUUUCUGCUACAGCUUACUGUGUGGAUGUCUGCGCGCUGGUGUGUGUGUGUGUGUGUGUGCAAUUAGAGAGUGAGAGUGAGUAGAGCAUGUCAGUAGACUCUUGACAAAGUUGCCGUUGGCAGCGCAGCUCCUCAUCAUCUCCACAUCGGGAUAAAAUGAACCCAGGAGACCGGUGCCCCCGAGUUCCUCAGUAGACUUAAUUUAACAGAGUUAAAAUCAAUUUCUCUGCGCUCUCCUGGGUCAAAUUAACUAUCUCCUCGUAUGAAGAAACACCAACUACUUGACAGCUCGUCCAGAUCCUGACUGUGUCCGUCUGUCGGUCGACUGGCAAAGCGCUUUUCAUUUCUUCGCCAAUCUCCCGUUCUCACUUGGAGCGUGGGCCGUCCGCAUGGCGAGCUUCGAUCUGCCAAGAAAGUGACUGGAUGGUGACGGCGCCCAGGCUGGUCUCCAUAUCCCAGUAUGUUUCGGUUCACAGUAAUUGCUCUUAUUUGUCGAGACACGCAGCGGAAGAUGACACGGGCUGAAAUGCAACUCUGAUGUAAGAUGAGUGUUGAUUAGGAGCGGAGUUUAACAGCGAGGUCGCAGCUUUCGCUGUCGCUCCGGAGCUUUCUGCGGAGCAGUUAAGGUGUCGGUUUAUCCCACAACAGUUUGAAAGGUUUGGAAAACAAGAAUAUCGACUAAUCUGAGAGAUGAGCGGCAUCACGACGGCGUUCACUUGGCUGACGACCAAACGAAGUUCUUAACUGUUCAGCGACCUGUUUUAUCUGUUAGCUCAGAAUAGACAGAAACAAAACAAACAAAAUCUCACUGCUUUUCUGUUAAUAUUUUUCGCCCCACUUUGAACUCAAACGGCUCAAAGAUCAGAGUCGCUUUAUUCUCAAACUUAGUCUUUAUAUUUUUUUCUUGACUUGCUGAUUUAUAUCAAAGCGUCUAUCAUCACACCAUCAUUCCUGUUUCCAGAUCAGCUCCCACUGUUUGUUUUAGUUUAGUUGUUAGUGUUUCCUGUUUUAUUUUGAAGUAGUCAGUCCGUGUUUGUCAAGUCUGGUUUUCCCUCCUUCGUUAAUUUCUCACGAGUCUCACCUGGUGCUCGUUUCCCAGUGUGUGUAUACAGCUCCUGUUUCCCCCUCUGUCUUUGGUGGGUUAUUGUCGGUCCAUGUAUUAUCUGUCCAUUCAAUUAUUCCAUUCAAUCUAGUAACUGAAAAAUGAAUAAAUGAGUCACUAUUUUAUUUGUUUUUCUAUAUAACCUAAAAAUAAAAAAAUGUGUUUGUUUUUGUGUUUUCAGCUCAAAACAGCAUAAAUAAAAAAGAAGGAAACAAAAACAAAACAAUAAAUCUUAUUAACGAUUAUUGAUUUUCAGUGGGCCUGUUUUGAGCGUACAUGCAUGGAUCCUCGGUGACAGUUACCAUGGCGAAAGAUGCGACAGAGCGGUUUGAGCCCAGAAAUGUUACGUUGUAACAGAGCUGUGGUUGUCAUUGUUUCCACAGUCAUAUCUUCCUCCUUCAGCGUGACCCUCCUGGCGGCUUUGAAUCAUACGUAGGGUGCGUCCGUCUCCAUAUCGAUCCAGAAAAGUCACUAAGAAGUUAGAGUUAUCUGGACUGAUUGGAGAGCUGUGUAGCUUUUGUCUGUCCUGGGUAGCUAUGGCUCCACCUGUUGGCCAGCAAAACUCUAACACAGGAAGUACAAUCAUUGAAGGAAAACCAGGAAGUCUAUAAAAGGACCAGGAAGUUGGCGGUUCUUCCCUUUGUCUCCAGCAGACCACACAUGAGCCGACUCCUGAAGAAGACUGCAAACUGAAAACAUCAGCUGUGAGUUUUGUUCUGUGUGGCUGCUCCUUGGUUUUUUAGCAGAAAAUGGUGUUAAAACAUGUAUUUUUUUUUUACUUGCUUGUUUAAGUAUUUAGUUUAGUUUAUCCUGGUGCUUAGCCUAGCAUGUAGCCCACAGCUUAGCUGAUUUGCUUAUUGCAAAAUCAGCUAAGCUCUGGGCCACAUGUCUGGUUUAGUCAGUACCUUAGCUUAGCUUUUAGCAUUAGCAUGUGAUGUAGCAUGUAGCUAAGGCUCACACAGCUCAAUUCAUCAUGUAGCUUAGCGCUUAGCAUUAGCAAAUAGCAUUUAGCUUAGCACCAAUGUUUCAUUUGUAUUAUGAGUAAAUGUAUUAUUUUCUAUGAGAAGUUGUUUACAGCAUUUUGUUGAUCAGUGCGUUAUUAUUUCUCUUUGUUGUAGUUUUUACUCUGAAUUUAACCAGUGAUGAAUAAACAAGAUCAACUGAGACCUGACUCAAUCAUUUAAUUUUAAAUUUUUAAAAGUUUUUAGAGAUUAACUGUCAAACUGCAUAAUCACACAUGUAGGGAGGACAGUUUAACACCAAAGAUGUUUCAUUGGUUUGAAGUCUGAUUAGGAGCAGGUGGGCCGCAGGUAUAUUUGAGUUUAUAACAUGCAUUUUCGAAUUGGCCUAAUUUAUUCUGCUGUUGACCGCAGUAUUCAGUGGAUACUGUAUACUGAGUACUGUGUUCAAUAGUAGUAUGUAGUAUGACUGCAAGUCGGCUGUUAUUAUGUAGCAUGGUUGGCCCGGUUUAGCUGGUUUCCUGUAUGGAAAAGUCCAUGGUACUCUGGUAAACUGCACUGACACUACAGUCGCCCAUUCAUUUACGCACUGAAAAAAAUCUUUAAUGUGUUUUAAUUUGAUUUUUUUUAGCCCAAUACCAUCAAAACAUGUUCUGUCCAUGCAAUGACACAUCGAUCUGGUGGCGUACGGCAAAGUUAUGUUGUCAGUUACGUUGUCCUCAUUUCCUGCUUAAAUGAAAGAAGUUGCAACCCUUCAGUGUUGUUUUUGGCAGGCAUUUUAGAUUUAGUUUUAGUCUUAGUCAUUUUGACGAAAUGCUUCUUCGUUUUAGUCCCAUUUUAGUCAUUUCUAUCCUUGAUAGUUUUCGUCUAGUUUUAGUCCGACGAAAACUCAAAAGGUUUUCGUCUAGUUUUAGUCGACGUAAAGGUGCCUUUUGAGGUUCGUGGUGUUCAUUCCCGACAGUUUGAAGCAUGAGGAAGCUGUGGCUCCACAACUGUCGUCUGUCUCGUCUCCCCGUCCCGUGUUUUAUUGUCACUUUUAUUUUAUUGUCACUUGAACUGUAUCUGAAGUAGGACCAUAAAGCAUCCCUCUUUUUUCGGCCACCGCUGCUGUGCCUGCCGCUACGGUGUGUGUGUGUGUGCGCGCCUCGUCCACCUGCCGCUCUGUGUAUGUGAAUGAGUGUGUGCGCGCAGCUGUGCGCGAGCGAGGCUUUUGGUGCGUGUGUGAUUGGGGGCGUGACUGUUAGGACAAAAAAAAGCAUGUUUUGAAACUUUGUUCGUCCACCUAAUAACAAUUUAGUCUCGUCUCGUUCUCGUCUGACGAAAAUGAAUAUAAUUUUCGUCACAUUUUAGUCUUUACAGAGCUUUGGUGACGUUCGUCUUAGUCUCAUUUUCGUCAAGGAAAAAAGGGGUCUGACGUUGUCAUUUAAGUUUUCGUCCUGCCUGACGAAAACAACACUGCAACCCUUGCUAAACGUGUUAACUGAUGGCGUCUGUGUGGUGUGGUCUUAUUUCCCUUUGUCCCUUUGAUAGUUUGACAACUCCAGUAAAAACCCUCUAAUCCAAACUCCUGUCUCCUGUCAGUUUAUUUCUUGUCUGCUGAUUGAGUCCGACUGUUUUAACGUUUACUCACCUUUCUGCGUUAAAGCUUUAGACCCUCUCUAAUGCCAGCUGCCUGUCUAGCUGUGAGAUGGAAACAUGGCUGAUGGACCGCACUCAGGUGAAAAGUUUCGCCGCUCUCCGCUAUCUGCCCAGGCGCUUCGCAUUGUGGGUAACAGUAGGCGAAGCAGACUGUGAGAUUUUCCCGAAUCAGUACGUCAUCUGGGUAUUUUUUGCAUAUUGCGAAUUUUGCAUUUGCUUGCUUAUUGCGUACUGAAUUUUGGGCAAAUCAGUACGAACUGCUAAGAUAGUAGGUGAAUUCAGGAAACAGCCACGGUGUCUGACAGCGCUGUGUCUUUGUUGAUAAUUUCAACAUCAGUCACGCCAACAGGAUCUAAAAAAAAUCUAAUGUAAAUAAUUGAGAUGUGGCAGCAGGUCCGGGUUCGAACGGUCGGUGACUUCCUUUAAAAGUCUUUAGUUAAUGAGGACUGAACUCUGACUCCAGGUUUGGAGACGUGACUGCAACAAUAAACAAACUACAUUUACCACACAGGUCCGACUCACAGUCACUGAUUUGUGGCCUUUGUUGCUGUGCAGAUUCACUCUGAACACACACAAACACACACACACACACACACACACACACACACACACACACACACACACACACACACACACACACACACCAGUAAAUGCUCAUUUUAUGCUAAUAGCUUGGAAGUAUUUCCUUUGCUUUGUUCAAAGCUAAAAUGAGCUUGAAUUAAAGGUAAUUGAGGACAAAUCAACAUGCACAAUGCGUGGAGGGAGGAGAUGGCGGUGUUAAGUGGUGGGUUUGGCAAAUGUAAGGCAGGUUAAUUUCCCCAUUGCUGUUAAGUGGAGGCACACCGCUGCAUUUUAAUAAGAAUAAUUCUUCAUUGUGUGCAGGAGUCUCCGAAAAAAGCAGGUGGCUGUGUUAGAAAUGGAACCUUUUAAGUUACUGUGUAUUUUGAAGUUUAGUGUUGGUUAAAAAAACACGACGACAUUAAAGCAGAGUUUAUUAUUCCCUCUGAAAUCUUUGUGAAAAUGUAGAAACAGCCUCAAAGUCAGGACUUGUAGUAAACUCUCGCAGUUCAUUUUUCCCUCUCCUCUGAUUCACUGAGCUCUGGCAGCCUCUGAGCUCCGUGUGUCGGCCGCGACGCAGCGAUGCGAGAUAACUCGGCGUGUCACAGGAUGCCUUUUAAUAAUAGCCCCGAUGAUAAAUUACUUUAAUCAGAGGAGCGGGCUUUUCCUGUAACUUAUGAUACAGGAAGCUUGUGAAGAGAAUUGUUAUGCCAAGCCUCAUUGAGCGUCUUAAUGUGAAUCUUUACGUGUCCACAAUUAGAUUACGGCUGUGACAUGGCGGCCGGCCCGGUGCAGGCUCUCUGACGGCUUCUUCUCAGGGCGGUGGACGGAGGCAGCAGAGAGCGAAAUGAAGAAGCGUGUGUGUGUGUGUGUGUGUGUGUGUGUGUGUGUGUGUGGAGGGGGUGCAGAAGUCAGUGAACGGAUCAAUGGAAGUCAUUAUAUGGUGCUUACCGUUUGGCCAGGUCACGGUGUGAUGGAUGUGUUGUGGCAGGUAAUGGUCCUCUGCAGCCCCCGCCUCAGCAAAUGGAGAUGAUGAACUCAGAUGUGUUCGCUUGUCAACAACUCGUACCUUCGUCUGGUUCAGCAGCCGCCAGCAGGGCCUGGAACCCGCUUCACGGUUUACACGGAGGACACGAGCGGCUGAGCGACGGUUAUAAAAACAAUUAAUUUUUUUCUUUUUUAAAUGUGACUCUAAAAACGUAAAUUUAAAUGCUUCUUUGCAGGAACCACCUGAAAAUGUCCGGGUUUUUCCGAUCAGCUGUCAUCGUGAAUGUUGCAGAAAAGUUGAGCAGCUCUUCCUCGAUUUAUUUGGUGCAUAUUCUCCACAAAAGUGUUUGGUUGACAUUGUCAGAUGUUAUUGAUUGUAUUGAUUUUCACCCGACCAAACAUGUUUACGUGAUUUUCAUGAUGUUGCAUUUGUCUGAAUAUCAUUGGUCUCUGGGUAUCUUCAGCAUUUCCUUUGACAUCUUUGAAGGUAUAUUUGUUUCCCUGAUUUAAAACCUGUUUUUUCCUACAGACUCGUGUUCACAGGCUGAUUUUAGUGAUAGAGGGUAAAGUAGGUUCAGGUGGAUUUGAUAGCUGCAUGUGGGGAAUAAGGUCAGUAAGAGUGGUCCUGGAAUUUGAAUGCUAUCUUUAUUUAGCGCAGUGGUUAUGAAUAACUUUCACAAAGUUGUGAUUUUCAAAAGGAAUUCUACAAAUCUGCCAUAUUUCGGUUCUCUCUCUUGCAGCCGAGGACCCUGAAUCUUCACCAGAGAGGACUAACAUGCUCCAGGAAUGCGUGGUGAAGAAACUCAGUUUACAGUUUAUAUGUUUUUAUUUUUAUGAGUUUUUUGUUGAUUAAUGCCUAUUUGUCACAUAUCUAUAUGGUCCCCUCAUGACACUUUUUUCCCCUCCUUUUGGACAUUACACAGUUAAAAAUAAAAGAAAACUACUUUAAUUUGUCAGGUUUUGUCCUAUUUUUUUAUAUUUUGAUGACAAGUACUUUUUCUUGAGUAUAUUAUUUCAGGUAAAAAUAACCUGAUAGCGACAGUGAUGGUGUUACUUAUUUUAGCGAUGGUGUUCUAGGGUUAAUGACAAUUUUACAGAGACGAGAGGGUAGGGUGACCUUACAUCCUCUUUUACCUGGACAUCAGUGGCGGUUGCUUUAAGACUGCAAGGGAAGCUCGGCUUCCCUUAAAAUGUCACCCCCCCAAAAAAAGAAAAAGUGGUGAAAUACGUACGGCUGUGUGUACAUUUCAUUAACUAAAUACUUACUAGAAAGCCUUCAUCUUUUGUUCAGACACUGUGAUAAGAAGCUGAUAAUCACAGGUAACCGGCAUAACUUCGUUCUCAUUCAUCCUCGCAGCGCCUCAGCGCUUCAGUCGGACGCUGGGCUUCUGCUGACUUCAAUGUGGAAGCUAAAAGUGGGUUGUUCCAGCAGCGAAACUAGACGCUCAUUGGAUAAAUGCUGGGCUUUGUCCCGCCCAAUGGAAGCUAAGCUUCACUGGAGUUCUAUGGCGAGAGGGCGGUCCCGACUUUCUCCCGGACUCCAAGCUUCUGCAUUCAUGAUUGGAUGAGCUGUCUGAGGCGAAAUCCUUUUUUGAUUGACAGCUAAACAAGCGAAUCAGCGAUCUUGAAGAAUAAAACAUCUACCAGAGCAUUUUCCAAGUUAUUCAUUCUGUUGUUCUUAACUGCUCCAGAGACUUUACCGAUCCUCAGUGACUUUUGUCUUUGUUAAAAACGACUGCCGCUGUGUUUGGCGACUCUGUUCUGUUACAUACUAAUAAACAAAUACAAUUAUGAUGUAGGCCAGAAAAAUGAGCUUCCCCUCCUUGAAAGACCAGCAGCCGCCACUGCUGGACAUGUCCUCUUUUUGGGGGACUGUCCGACCUUUUCCUGGGGAGUUUUUAAAAUCCUUUAAAUGUCCAGGGCUUGGUAUGGAAGUUUUGAGUUGUUGUAGCGUGAACUAACUGAGUUAGAAGCGCGUAAAAAACACUCAACCUGACCUGAAACCCCUCAAAAUUUACUACAGAUGACUCUGCAACUCUGCCCCGCAUAUUCAUGUCCUCUUUUAGGGGAUUCAGAAUAUGAUCACCCUACAAAAAGUUAUUUAUUAGCAUUGGAAAUUUGACAUUAAAUAACUUCUUAUAGUUUUGGGUAAAAGAAAAAAACAGAUUGAUUCCACAGAUCUUUAACAAACUGUGGUUUUUGCAGGUUUUCUUAAGAGGCUGCAGAGAAAGGAAACAAACUCAGCCUUCGCUCGGGGAUGUAAAGUGAGACUGCAUUAGCAUCAUUAACCCUUCGUGGAGAAAGAAAUCCGCUCUGCUCUUUGUGUGACAUUUUCCAAGGAACGAUGCCGCACUUCUUUCAAGAUGUUGCUUGAAAUAGCAGAGAACAUAGGAUUGUGGAGCAAAAAGGAAAACAUGUUGAGCGUCUGAAGGUCGUAAACAGCUCAUAAAUGAGAAGCAGGGAACAAAGAGCGGGGUCAAAGGUGAAGUGUUCUGCACAAAGCUGCACCAGCUUCAGAUGAAAUCAUUCAGAGGAGCUCCUGAGCUGAUUUUGUAUCACAUCACACUCGGGUUCAAUAGAGCGGCGAAUAAAAGACAUUUCUGCCUCCAGCCUCCGAGCUGUGCCGUCUUCCCGCAUUUAUCCUGUAAGUCCUUCAUUGUAUCCUGAUAAAAGCCGGAGAAAUGUUACGAAACAGCUCGGCUCGCUCCGCCACCGCCGCCAUCGCUCCCACCGCGCCGCCCUCCCUGCAGGCUGAAGGAGUGACACACAGCGGGGAUGGAGAGGCCAUUUUGUCUUUUUGGAAAGGCACUUUAGCUGCAGCCGCUCUGAGUGCUUUUAUCAUUAUACGCCACUACAGUCUGGCCAUUUGUUCUGACCUUGGGAAAUGGUUUUAAAGGUCUCACCGUGUAUGUAUGUGUGCUCCAGAAAUUGCCUGGAUUGAGACGUUCCAUGAAAAUAUGUAGUGAACGGCCUCUGUCGGCCCAGGCGGGGGUGGAUAAGGGGAAAGCUAUUUGGGGGACGGGGGCACAAUCCAAUUUGUUUGUUCACACUCCAGCAGAGCCAGAUCUGAACAAUUGAUACAUUAGGACUGGUUUUAGAGAGCAAAUAUGGCAGCCUGAGAGAGAAAGAGAGGGAGAGGAGGAGAAUAUACUGCAGAGAAGUGCUCCAAGAGUAAAUUUACCUCAUGGGCCAUUGCACAGGGCGCAAUAUGAAACUAUGAUAAAAAAGAAAUUGCUUUAUUCUUUAAGUUAUCAAUAUAAUUCUGUCUCCGUGGCUGGCCCGUCUCAUUCUGGCGGCAGGAAUCUUUUGUUACCGCGAAUUUUCUGUUGCAAAAAAAAGCAGAAGAAGAAGAAAAAAAAACGCACUUGUGAGGGUUCAUUCAACAUUCAAAGAUAAAUGCGCUCCAGGAGAGCGAUGCCUCACUCAAUUUGAAAAGCCCUGGCAUGCUGUAACAUCCAAAUCCUUCAGAGUUGAACAUGUCAUCUCUGCCUGCAGUGACAAAGGAAAUAAAUUAGGAAAAUGCAAUGUCCUUAAAUCACAAUGUGGAGCUGGGCGAGAAAAAACCCAGCCUGAGCCAAUCUUAUCAGCGAGGACGACACAGUCCAGUUCUGCACAGAGAAAAGGGACAGCUGUUAUUUCCUAUUCAGCUGCAGGAUCCCCGGGCCUGAUAGCGUCUAAUAACACGCCAUAAAUUAAAUCUGCCGCAUCAGUGCGCUCACGACGGCGUCCGCUCGGAUAAAUAGUGAGGUUCGAUGUCGCAAAACGAGAUUUUGGCAAACCAUUAUGGGAGGCUGUAGUAAUCUUUUUUUCAUUUUCAUUUGUUCAUUUAAUAGGAUUAUUCAUGAGGCAAUGAUGACAGCAUGAGGAGGACGGGCCGAUGCACAAAAAGGGAACCGGUGGCUGUUUCUGAUUUUGCACAAAUCUGAAGGUAAAGCAGCAGAUUUUUUCUUUUUUGUGGAAAGAGAAUUUGAGAACAUUUAGAGGUGCAUUUCUGACAUACUUGAACACCUGCGAGCGCCGACCAAAAAUCUGAAGAAUUCACAGAGUGGUUAUCGUAAAUUGUGGAUAAAAUUCUCGGAUUUCUUGAAUAAAAACUGGCAGCAGAGAUUCGAGGUCAUUAUAUAACACUGGACUUCCUCACAAAAGACUUUUGAAAGUUGUGUUUCAUUCGCCAACUUAUAUUUGGAGGAGGAAAAAAUAUAAUCACAGCAGAUUUUAUUUUAACAUUUGUCUUCUCUAUCAGGUCGUUUGAGAUCUUUUUUAUUUUAAAGGGUUUGUCCAUAAAGCACUCCUGAGAGCUGAGAAUUUAACUCUGGUACAAAGACGUCAACUUCGAUAAGAUCUGAGCUAAAAGAACUGAAGUUAACGUUAAAAUCUGCUCAAGCUGCCGAAGAGAGCAGCUGUGCAUCCCCCGUAUCCAAAUCCAGAGCCCUCAUCCUGGACCUGACUCUGACCCCGUUUAUACGUACCCGGUUAUUUUUUAAAAUAAGACAUUAACCAUCGUUUGCGCCCUUCGUUUAGAUGCAAAUGGAGAAUUCGCCCCUGAAAACGAUGCUUUUUAAAAACUCCGUCCAGAGUGGAGAUUUUGGAAAACUCAGUUUGCAUGUAAAGAGAGAAAAACUGAGAUGUGGGUAGCUGACGGCAGACUGUGCGCCGGAAAGAAGGAAGUGACGUUGUUGUUGUUGUUUUGUGGGAUUCUGAUUGGCUAAUAUGGGCUUGAGCUUUUCGCUACACUGCCACCUACAGGUUUGGCAUGCUCUUGACAGCAUAUACACAUAACUCUUCUACUAACGUAGUGGUGUGAAUGCGUCUUUUUUUGUAAACAGAGAGGGUGAAAUGUCAGUUUAUGAAAACAGCCGGGCACGUGUAAAUGUAGUCUCAGACCUCAGCCUGAGUUUGAUUUAGAGAAAUGACUCUAAAGUUUUUCUUUCUCUUUAACAAACUUCUCUGUGUGUGGAAAAAAAGGGCUCACAAACAAACAGGUCUUGUAUUCGAGGCAGGCCUUAAUAUGAAACCUCUGAGUCUGAGCUACAAAUAGAGUCCAUGGCUUUUGUUCGUUCUAAACUUGUGCAAACCGGUUAAAAAAGACAUUAAGUAAUUCACAAAGCAUGCACAAAAUGUUAACUCCAACUCAACCAGUUCGAUCAUGAAGUACCUGUGAUGGUCUGUGUCUCAGGAGAACCAAAGGAGGCCGAUAAACGCAGAAACCAAAGCUUCAUGACAUCCUCCACAGAUCCACACCAAAGAGGAUCCAGAUCAAGUGUGAAUGACGCAUAAAUCUAAAGUCAAAACUCGUCUCGGGGGAUUAAACUUGAAGUCUGGUAGAAGCAGAUGUCAUCUCCACCCUGUUGACUUUAGUUGAAUUUUCGCUGCUUUAGAAUAAACUGUGUCUAAACUCCCCUCUGACUGUAAAUUAGUGCUGUGGAAACUGAGCCGGAGCACACAGGCACUGCUGCUGCCAAUAGCUGGAUGUUUCUAAUUACUCAAAGCCUCAUUUAACAAACCGUUCAUUAGUGACACCCACUGGUAAUAAUAAUUUAAACUUCAUAAAUAUCAUCUUUCAUAUCCUGCUGCCACAGCACUUCACAUUACUGUUGUGACUCCAGCAACUCUGAAGGUUUUCGAGAAACUUCUGAACUCUAGUUAACAUGAAAAAGUGAUUUUCACUGAUUUAAUUCGGUCACUUUGGGGAAAACGGUCUCAUUUUAAAGACAAAGUUAAAUAUCUGUUUUUGUUCAGGGAGACAAACUUCAGUUUCUGGAGUUUGGAAAGAGGAAAGUUGUCCUUAAUAGUAUAAACUCUUUAAAACAAAGGACGCAACAUCUGUCAUUUCCAAUUCUGCAUUGAAGGGCAAGUAGAGUGGUCUCCCUAUUCUUUAAAACUGAGGUCGCAGCAUCUAUUGUUUCCAGUUCUUUGUUGAAACACAAGUGGGUUGGACCUUCUACUCUUUAAAACAAAGGAUGCAGCAUCUAUGUUAUUCAAUUCUUCACAAAAAGGACAUGCCAGGGGAACCUUUACUCUUUCAAACUGAGGACACAGCAUCUAUCAUUUCCAAUUCUGCGUGGAAAGGACACGCUGGGUAGACCCUCAACCUUAAAACUGAGGAUGCAGCAUCUAUGAUUUCAAGUUCUUUGUUGAAACACAAGCGGGUUGGACCUUCUGCUCUUAAAAAAUGAGGAUACAGCUUCUAUGAUUUCCAAUUCUUCAUUGAAAGGACAAGCUAAAUGGACACAAAACUCUUUGAAACCAAGUGGCGCAUUACCUAUAAUUUCUAAUUCUUCGUUAAAGGGAAAGUCAUGUUGACUCUACCCUGCAGUAUCUAUGAUUUCCAAUUCUUUGUUAAAAGGACAAACUGUGUAACUCUUUCAUCUCUGUAAAACCAAGGAAGCAGCAUCUAUAAUUUCCAAUUCUUUGUUGUGAGGACUAGCUGGAUGGACCCUCUACUCUCUAUGACUGAGGACGCAGCAACUAUGAUUUCCAGUUCUUUGUUGAAACACAAGCCGGUCGGACCCUCUACUCGUUAAAACUAAGGAUGCAGCAUCUAUGAUUUCCAAUUCUUCAUUAAAGGGAACGGCUGGUGGACCCUCUACUCUUCCGUAUCUAUGAUUUUCAAUUCUUUGUUGUUUGGACAAGCUGGGUGGAUCUUCUACUCUUUAAACUGAGGAGGCAGCAUCUAUUAUUUCCAAUCUUUGUUGAAAGGUCAAGCUGGAAGGACCCUCUACUCUUCAGUAUCUAUGAUUUUCAAUUCUUCGUUGAAAGGACAACCUCAUUGGACCCUUUACUCUUUAAAACUAAUGAUGAAGCAUCUAUGAUUUUCAGUUCUUCGUUUAAAGUCCAGUUGUCCUUUCCAUGCGUUGAUUUCCACCCCAGAGUCCUGUCUGUCUUUAAUACCCUGAAGAUCAGGACCGUCCAGUCCUGGUUUUGGUCCUUACGUACAGAGAUUUCUCUGGUUUUGUUUUUUUCUUUCCCAGCUUUUGCGAAAUAACUUCCUUUGCAUCAAAUCUAAGACGUGUAAAUAUUCAUUUUCAGUCAACAACUCUUUUUAUUUUCAACUUCUGAUUUGCUGUCCCUGCCUUAUUUUCAUUUAAAUGCAGAGUCUGAACCAUCAUGAGCAUUUUUUCUUUACUUUUUACCCACCAUCCAAACUUUUUUCUGACUCCAGGUUGCAUUUCCACGGCAGAAUCGCUGAAUUAUGAACGUACGAAUCUGUUAGCGAUAUAAUAUCUCAUGCACAGACUCUGCGUUGUCAGACCCGGCAGACAAACCAAAGUCAGACUGGUGUAGCUCGGAGCCCCGUUUUCUUCCUCGCUCCUCUCUUUUGUCUCUAAGUAACACUCAAAAUAAAAAGCCUCUUAAUCCAUCUUCUCCUGCAUACAGCCUCUUUCCCAGGCAGCAGAAAUGGUAAAGUACAUAAGUCUGCAGCGUGGAGUCAGCCUUCUACAGAGGAACCAUCUGUCUUCAUCAUUCUCUGGGCACAAUUGAUCUGCAGCACUCUGGAAAGUAUUUAUUAUGAAAAGUCUCAUUUUUUAAGCGGCCCGUUUAAAGCAGCAGCGGCCAUAAAUCACCCCUGAAUCAGAGCGAAUCAGAGCAGCCCUCCAACUGGAAUCCAUUAUUUCUAUUAUAUCAGCUCUAAGUGGACAUAACAGCUUAAUCCAGUAUCGAUCUGAGCAUGUGCGCUGGUCAUCCCAUCCAAUCCGGCCCCGAUCUCCGAGAUGCUGCGUGACGAGCCUCGCAUCUGCUCUCACUUUAAAUAAUCACGGAGGAGAGUCUGUGAGCUAGUUCGGCUAACUCCUUCCUCAUUAGAAAGUAAUAAAUAACGCGUGUGUGUGUGUGUGUGCGUGUGUGUGCGCGUGUGUGGGGUCUAAUCCUGGCUAAUACUCUGUUUAAUACCGGAGAACUUCAGCGAGCUGGCAGUGCUGGUAAUUAAGUGAGCAGCAGUCUGUUCUGAUGGCUCUCAUACACACGGGCAUAAAUUAUUGAAGUGCCGUUAAAAUAAAUAAUAAAGUCGAUCGCAGCAUUUUGGAUGUGGGCGGGAGGUUAAAUUAUGCAUGAGCUCAAUAUUUGUAAGUGUAAUAGGAAGUAAGUGUGGUGGUUUUUAAACCGCGAGGAAAUAAAUCCCCCUCCCCAGUGCUAAUAGCCAGAUUUAAUUUAAGAGGAGAAAAAAACUCUGGAGUCAAAGUCGACGGCAGAUAUCAGAGUAAACAUACACGAAAUGAUGCCGCGGCGGUCUCCCAGGGAGUGUUUACACAACACGCCAGGAUGCCUGGUUCAGAUUUUUGAUGAUGUUUCACAGCCUGAGCUCCGACUGCUGCUGCUGCAGGAGGAGGAGGGCUGCGAUGGUACCAGGAUCAGGAGUGAGAGUUAGCCUCGGGGCUCUGGACCUGACCGCUCAGAUUUUGUAAUGUUAGCACCUUCUCGAUGUCGAAGAAAAUCUGACAUUUACAGCAUCUGAAACUAAAAUUCAUGGCAUUUAUGAUCUUCAAACAACGCUCUAAUGCUGUGUUCCAGUUGUACUCGGAAGUCAGGAUUUCUGAGCUCCGAGUCGCAAAUUCAUCUGGAACACCCCGAAGUCGGAUGCUUUUCACCAACCCUGACUUAACGACAACGUCAUAAUCCAAGAUGGCAGCGCAGUGCAUCAACAGUAAAGAGUAACAGUAAAAGAUCUCGUAAUGUUUUAUUUAUUCACACUUCUGUUUUGUUUUUGUGAAAUUGAAUAAGUGGUUUAUGUUGUACGGCCCAACGUCUAACUGUGAACACGGUGCUGUGGUGUUUGUCAGAGUAAAAUACUGUGUUAUGUGCGGUGAUGUGCUAAACUGGUAUAGCUAACAACAACUAACAACAGCUGAGAACGGCUAACAAUCGCUAAUAACAACUAAUAACAACAAACAACGGCUAACAACAGCUAACAACGGCUAACAACAGCUGACAAUGGCUAACAACAGCUAACAACAACUAACAACAGCUGAGAACGGCUAACACUCGCUAAUAACAACUAAUAACAACAAACAACGGCUAACAACAGCUAACAACGGCUAACAACAGCUGACAAUGGCUAACAACAGCUAACAACAACUAACAUAGCUGAGAACGGCUAACACUCGCUAAUAACAACUAAUAACAACAAACAACGGCUAACAACAGCUGACAAUGGCUAACAACCACCAACAAUGGCUAACCACUAACAGCAGCUAACAACAGCUGACAAUGGCUAACAUCCGCCAACAACUACUAACAAUGGCUAACAAUUGCUAACAACAACCAACAACAGCUAACAGUGGCUAAUGACUGCUUACAAUUGUAAACAACAGCUUACAACUGCUAACUGUAGGCGUCCAUCUUGUUUUUUUGACUUGUUAACAGGAACGCCGUCGACUCGGGUGUAACGUCAUUCCCAUUUCCGACAUCUGACUUCUGAGGUAACUGGAACGCAGCUUUAACAUCCGCAGCUCUGUGCAGUUUGCUCUUGUUUUGCAGGUGAUUGUAAGGAGGAGCUGUCAGCAUCUACAUCGAGCUGGGCUGUUCUCCUUUUUUAUCUGCUCAGCGCCCAAUCCUGACCAGAGUCCUGUCAACAUACUUCCUAAAAAGGUCAGUCUUGGACCUCCAUCUUUGUAGUUUCAGAGUAUUUACAGAGACCUAACACAAGCACACCUCCGACAAGCAAGCUGGCAAAGAUGGUUCAAACUCCGCCCCCCUCCCCUAAAAAACUGCACAAGUAUGUUGUUUUACAGAAUGGUGCAUCAACACUUCAAAAUAGCUUUCUUGGAUUGUUGGUGAGACUGGAAUAGACCCACAAACACGGUCCUUGUAUGUCUCCAAACCGACAUGAGCCUGGAGUCUGAGCCAACCAGACGAGCUCCGACAAACACACGAGAACGGAAAUAUCUCGUGAAAUUAAUGAGUUGUGUUUGGCAGAUAAUGGAGCGUCCAUGUUUGACAUCAUGAUUUGUUGUGUGAGGUUUUUUUUAGGAGAGAAGUUUUCAGCUUUUGGGCUCCAUCCCGUCAAACCCCAGCUGACUCUCGUGUGGAUAACUAGAGAUCAGGGUGGAACAAAGCGCUAAUGAUCAGAUCUUUAUGUUUGUGGUGAACGUGUAGGAAGAUUGUUUUUGUUGUUUUUAAUAAAGAAGAAGAGUCAGUUUCCUUCUUUUUCCACUCUCUGUGAGCUCACUGGAGUUUGAGUGGAUUCUGUCUCCAAGUGUAGACCCGUUUGUAUGACCAACAUGUAUGGACACACACAAACACUCAGGUUGAUUCUCACCAGUAAUGGCCUUCAGCCUCCCUCCUCCGUCUGGUCGAUAAAUAGGCUGAAACCGAGCGUGAAAUGAAAAGCAAGUGAACAGCGUGAAAUGGGACUAAAGUUGGGAAAAUGGACGUAUUUAUCCUUUUGUUUUUGAAGGAGGCUGGGGAAAUAAUGGCACAGUUUUUACAUAAAACCAUGCAAUCUUCACAAACAGCCCCGAUAUUACACUUAUUUUUCACGCCCUGCUCCUGUUUUAUUCCGUGUUAUAAUGGAUCAUUGUCGGUGACGGAGGUCUGCUGUUGUUUCAGUCUGAUAUGCAAAUGAGAACAACGCCGGGAAAUUACACAAACAACGAGUUAAGACGACAAUGCAGAAAUGCGCAGGCUCAGAGAGGGUCAACGUUUCCCUUCAAUGUUGAUUUUCUUUCUUGUAUUUUUGUAAUAACCAUUUCACCGACUGUUAAGGCAUGACAUGAAGCUUUAUUGACUUCAUUUAUGAUAGUGAACCGCUCCUUUUUUAGAGCCUUUGUGGUUUUUCCUGCUAAUGCAGCUUUGUGCAACUUUUUGUGGACUUUUUCAUCUUUACUGCAGACCGACUUUAACAGUAAGCACAGUAAGAAACUAUAUUAUCAAAGUUAUCUUUGCACACUUGCUUUCUGUAAAUACAGAAACAGAAAAAAACGUGAAGAACUUUCUUUCUUUCAUGGUUACAAAUAAUGAUUUCAUGACGGGUAAAUUGCAGGGUGCAGCUCUUUGAAGGGUAUCAUUAACUUGCGAAACUCUGAGAUAAAUCUCUCAAUCCUGUUACAUUUAUCUGUGUUCACAAAGCUGGGACACAUUUCUUCAGAUGUAACCGUACACCACUGACCGGAUUAUCACAGAUUAAUUUACAACGAUGUUAUAGAUGCUGAUGUGAUAUUGGACAAUGUUAAAAACAGUAAAAAUAGCAAAAAUAGAAAAAGAGUUUGUAUUGUUGACUGUUGAAAUUCAUCUAUAAAGUAUGUUAAAGAUGGUGUAGUCAGGAUCUGAGUUAGUUCCAGUUUUUUAGGAGAAAUCUUGAAUGUAAACUCUACCCCUCCCAACCAGUUUUCCCCUCAGCUCCUCCUCUCCCCUCCCUCUCUGCUCCAACAAGCCCCGCCCACAAAUGGAUAAAUACUUCAGAUCAUUACAAAUGGGGCCCAGUCAAGGUGAAAGUCAAAAGCACUGGUGCUACUGUAGAUGCCAACAGACUACCAGCAAACACAAUGUUUGCAGGACUUCUACAACUAGGAUAAAGUGACAUAGUCCAGGACCCGAGGGAGGACAGUUUAGCGAUGGUGCUACAACACGCUACAGCAGGUCCGUUUGACAAGAAACACUUCUGUUACAGACACUUGUCUUACUUUGUUAAAGCGGUUUACCUGUCCAGCAGAAAGGUUACAGGGUCACCAAGAUCCCCAAGCGUCCCCCAUCGUUUAUGUUGACCCGGCUUUUUAGCUCUUGUCCGGUCUACCUCCGUUUUAAGCGCCCGUUAUUCCUCCAGAGUCUCCGGUAUUUACUUUGUUUUCUUGCUUGUGUCGGCAGUCGUGGCCAAAGGAGGAUUCAGACAAUUUUCCGAACUUUCUGGUUGGUUUCUACUGUCCGAUAUUGUAGCACGCUAACUUUGUUUGGGCUCCUGAACGACACUGGGGAGCAGUGUCUGCCUCACAACCAAUCAGGUUAGAGGAGGUGGAGAACGGCUUUGUUUACAGUCAGAAAGAGCGGACCGCUCAAAAAUGUUCAAAUGUUGACGACACAGACAUAAGAGAACACAGAGAUAUCGAUAUAUUACCAAAUGUCAUCAAUAACUAAUAACUAUUGACUGAUAUUAAAAGCCUUUUUGUAAAUACAUCACAAAAAAAGAUGCUUUUUUUGCAGAAUCCUGCCUACCCCACCUUUAAAUAGUAAAGUGUAAGUUUAUAUCGGUAAUCUCUUGGUUUUGUCAAUAUCAGACACUCCCAGUUAUAGCCAGCAGGGGGAGCAUGUUGCUUUUCAACAGCAUAUUUCUCCCCUUGCAGCACACUGUGCAGGGGUGUAACACCAGCAAAUAUUCAGUUUGUGUUGAUUUGGCGCCCCCUGUGGACAAGCUCGUCCCUUAAUCCAGGUGCCGACACUAAAAACCCAAAACUAACAAAGUCAUCUGUUAUGAUUUACGCCUCUCCUGAACCGGAGACCUCAUUCAUUUGUCAUCCAGUAUAAAAUCCAUGACUCCAUGCAGCCAAGCCCACCCAAUGCAUCAUGGGAAAGUUCAUCUGCACAAGGUUAGCACAGAAUUGAUCUCAGACGGCGAGUAUUGUGUGUGCCCGGGUGUUCAAUAGUUUUAAAAGAAAAAAACGACAAGAGCUCAACAUGCAGGUUUAUUCUUCAAACCAAGCAUGGAGUGUGUGUUUGUUUGCAUGUCAGCGUGCAUGUGUGUGUGUACGUGUGUGUGUGUGUGUGUAUUUCGACACAAUUAAAACGUCCUCUCAGCGCCGGGUGCCAAUGCAUCACCCUGAUGACAGUGGACAGGCUGUUUGCUUUGCUGCCGCUGAUAUCGAGCUUAAUGAUGUUGUCCUUCAGUGAGGCUGCUGAGGCUGACCUGCCCAUCGCUGAGGCGUGGCAGCUGGCGUGUGUGUAAAUGCGUGUGUGUGUGUGUGUGUGUGUCAGACUGAAGCUGUGGUCAGAUGCUGAGGUGAGGCGCCGCCAGCAGGGACUCUAGAUGUCAAACAGAUAGAAUCAGAUCAUGUUGUUUGACAUGUGGAGCUGCAGGAGGUGAAGAUAGACGGUAUCACGGCUGAUCGGAAAAAUCUGAUCCUGUGGAGGUGGGGUUGGUGUUGGUGUGACUCCUCAGUGUGGAGAAAAGCCUCCAGGAGCUGCGGUGUCAUUUCGAUGAUAAAUGUGAUAGACUCGCUUCUGGGGAAACCUUUAAAGUUGGAGGAAGAGAGAUCCUGUGACUCUUAGAUUUCCAGCUCAGCGUUUCUCCGUACUUUUGCGUCACACAUUCGAGUCACCUGACAAGAACUGAGCUAAAACAGCACCCCGGGGAGAAGAACCUGAACAGCGUCCCCCUGAUUAGACCGUCUAAAGUCCGUCAGGAUUGUAAAUAUGCAGUUUAAGGUUUUCCUUGACCCCCUAAAACUCUGCUGGAUCACCAGCGAUCCCACGUGAAACCAUCAAUAUAGUUUACAGUUUCUCAGGAACUAUAUCGUUUAUCUCUACAGGAUAAAAAGUGUUCAAAAGUUUUCCCUUUUGGCGAUCUAUCGAGGGUUUCCAGAUAUUUCUACACCUGCUACAAGGUUUACAAUCCAGCCACAAAAACAGGUGUUUGAUCAGAGACGUUCACUAUCUCUAAAUGUCUUCCGGAUGACGUCUUUUUCUGUCAAACUUUCGACCAAUUACAUGGUCUCAUAUUCUUCUUCUAUUGUUCCCUUGAUGGUAGUGUCCCAUAAGAGGCGACCAAAGAUCAACAAGAGACAAGAAAGUUCCAAGAAAAAUCAGAAAUAAUGGUCCUCAGUGUUUGGAAACAAGCAAAGAAGAGAUUCUCAUCCCAGAGUGGCAAAAUAAGAAUGAAAAUAGUCAAAAACACCUGGAAGAAUGAGUGUAAAUAUGUCAAUAGUUUCUGUUGUGUGUUUGUUACAGUCCCAAUAUUUCCUCUCCUGAUAGACAAGACUUGAGAGAAUGAUGUUCAGGUGAGAAAAGGCUCGGUCACUGUAGAUUUAUGUGGUUUUUGAGCAAAGAACUGUUGGGAUCUGUUGGUUGACUUUGAUGGUUCUGGAUCUACUGUCACAUUCAUUUUACAUCAUUUUUGCAACAAUAGAAAAAAAAAAAAGGAUGUUUAUAUAUUUGCUGUGCUUAAAGGAUUGAGUUGCUACAUAGAUUUUUACAAAAACAAAAAACAGGCGGACCAAAAAUAGCAAACUAUAGCUGGGAGUUGUAAGGGUUAAAUGCAGAGGAGUGUUGGGAGUGUGCACCUCUGCAGAGAGAGUUUCAUCCUGCAGGAGCCGCCGUCCUUCCCCCUCACUCUGACAGAAACAUGAGGAACAGCAGAUUGUUGAUAAAUGUGAGCGUGUGUAAAUGUCUCCUGAUGUACAGUCAGCAUAACCGGCUCUGAAUUAUCCUCUCUUUCAUUACACUAAUGGCUCAGCGGCGUGCAGCAGAGCGGCUGCAGAGGAAGAGCGAGUCGAGGAGGAGGAGGAGGAGGAGGAAGGAAAUGAUUAUUUUCAGCGGGGUUUCACAUACAGGUGGGAAAAGGGCAAACUCUCAGCUGGUGACGUUCAUCAACCGCCGCUGUAAAGGUCACGCCAUGUCUCUCGACGUGCACCCGAACCCGAAGGCGUGUUUACCCCUGCUGGGCGCCCACCACCCCUCCUCCACAACUAUGCAUCUCCCCAUCCUCUGAUUUUAUUAGCCCCCGUGGGAGAGCGGCUGAAAAGCGUGUAAACACACAGCGCUGGUUUAAUAUCCUCAUUCGGGGGCCUGAUGAGGCUGUUUUAGUAAAAAUCAACAUUUAAACAGCUCUGACACGGCGAGCAGCGCUGACCUAUUUCACCAUCUGCUGCUUCGCUUUUGUUUGUCUGUUUUUGUCAGGAACAAUCCCGCCACUUUCCCCCCUUGAGUUUGAACCAGUCAAACUCAAACACGUCCGGGCCGAGCUGAGCGAUUAUGACUCCGCUUCUGCGGGACGUCUGCUAAUAUAUGGACGGUCCCGCCUCGCUCCACGUCAUUAAUACCUGUCCGCGGGUCCUCUGUGUGCUUACAUCAUGGCGUGCCUGCUCAGCAGAAAGCCAACAAACACAUUAAGGUGAUGAAUCGCUGAGAUCAUGGCACUGGGGGGAAAGUGGGGCAGCGGUCCGAUGUUCUGAUGUGUCACUGGAUCUCAGACGGAGCCAACCCGACCUUUGACCUCGACACAGCGGCUCAGGACAAAACUGGGAUAAUGGGAACUUUUCUGCACGCUGUGUGGGCGUUAAUAAGAUCGGGAACACGGACAAAAAGGCGUGAAGGAUUAUUAAAGACCUGGAGGACCUUUACGCCGUCAUGCUCAGGCGGUAAAACACGAAAUUAUAACCGGGUUUUAUUUAAGGUGGAGCCGCAAAGACCUGGAUUAACCUGUCUGUGAGUUUUAACAUGAAAAUACUCCUCUGUUAGAUGAUCUGCUAAUCUGACUCCAACUCUGGACUACACCGCUCAACACUGCCCCCAUGAUUUCCAGUGGUACUACACGCCUUCCAGUGUUUAUGUAUGCAAAACAAGCGAAGAGCAAAAAUGAGCCUUAAGUCUGUUUCUAAAGGUCAGAAAACAAACAAAACAAACUCACAUGUCAAAGUUCAACAGAGGUAAAUGACCGGAGCUCCGACUGUGUGUGUGUGUGUGUGUGUGUGUUUGGUCUGAGUCAUGAGUGUACGUUUUGGCACAUUUACAUGUCUGUUAAGGGGAUAUCAACUACUUUAAUCAUUUAUGUCAUUUAAAGAUGUAAAGAAGUGAAGCAGCACUCACACACAAACAACAGCAAAAAGAAAACCCCCAAAACCUGUCCAAUAAAUAAAGAUAUUUCACCUCUAAUAAAGGACCUGAACUGCUUGUAAUGAGUUAAAAAGAAACAGCAACAACAACUUAUGGUCUUAAUUUGGGAUUACAUAUAGAAUGGUGGAAAUAAAAGUUGAAGACGAGGGCAAACAAGGUGCAUCAUCAGGAGAUACUGCAGGUGCAUUCGCAGUUUCUCCUCAUGGACCUUGUUUGCCCUUGUUUUCAACUGUUAUUUUCACCAUCGUUACAGAUUCAAAAACACCUGCUGAAUUCAAAAAACACAUGAAAAAGUAAAAAAAAAAACCACAUGCAAAAGAUCAAAAACGAAAAACAAAAGUUCAAAAACCACAUGUGAAAAUUUAAAAAACACAUGCAAUACUUUGAAAACAUGCAAAGGUUUGAUAACCACAUAUAAAAGUUUGAAAAGCAAAUGCAAAAGUUCAGAAAACACAUGUAAAAAUGAAAAUGUGCUGGAAAUGAAAAAGUACUUCAAAAAGAACUAAAACAGCAACAUGAGCAGCAAACAUGCUGCGAAACCCUCCAAAGCUGAAACCAGCUCCAAAAAUGACAAAAACUGCAAAUAGACAAUAAAUAUAUUUUUGAACAGAAGUCCUCCAGGCCUGUAGGGGGCGCUGAGUGACACAACAAUAGCCAGAGCUGCAUCACUGCAGGAUGAAUUAUUAACAAAUAACAGACCUAAAGAAUAAAAAAACGGACAUGUACCUGAGUUCUGCACACAUCCACAUGUGUGACAUUUAAUCCUCAUUCUUUAUCCUCACUUGUCCCUCAGGGCCACCGUACAUUUAACCUACAGCAGUUCAUAUUUAAAUCUGUUUUUUACUGUACCUCUCCUGCUUCUCCCUUUUUUUUACUCUAGUACAGUUUUCAUUAUACAGGCAGUUGCACACAGACUGUGUUCCUCCUGAGAACAGAGCACCUUUUUAUUUUCUGUACAGCUCUCUCUCUUUCUCUCUCUCUUUCUCUCUCUCUUUUCUUUCUCUCUUUCUCUUUCGUGUCGUUUUGAAAACUUUAUCGUCAGUUAACUUUUCUUCGUACUUUUCACAGAUUUCCUCUGAUUGCUGGGCGUCAUAAAGAGGUGAAGCCGAGGGCGAAUCUCGUCUAAUCUAAAACUCAAAGUGAGUUGAUGUGACUCUGUGUUUUUCUCACCAUUCAGCACAUAGACGGGUCCGUUUUCGUACAUUAAAAUGUUUAAUUAAAAGUUUUACUCCACUUUUGGCAGGAGCUAACCCUAUUUGUGGACACUCGCUUCCUCGGCGUCAGUGUGUGUGUUGCUGUGUUUGCAUCUCCGCAGCCAACACACAAGGCUGAAAAGCUGCUGGAGAGCAGACGAUCCAACAAUCCUGAGUCAUUUAGAUCUGGAUAAAAGCCUUUUGUACACAGCCUGUUUCUCCAGAAAGCUAAUUAAAAAGCCAAACUUCAUGUCUGCUCCUCGGCACUUUGCACGACAUUGAUUACGAAUUGAAUUUAAGACAGAAAUAUGCCUUCAAGAUGUUAAGCCAGGAUGAGAACUUAGAGGAACCGUGCACUUCCAAAUUAACUAGCUACAAAGACUCUCUGUGGUGCGUUUCUGACUCCGUCUGUUUGCGCAGCUCUCCAGCGAGGUUUUGUUGGGGGAUUAGGACCUGGCUGCUCCCUCAGUCAGCAGGUGUUUUGGAGGCUGGAGCUCCUUCUGUAUUUUUAUCAUAUAGGCCGCUGCACCCAUUCAGUCUGCGGCCCCUCUGUGAUUUAGCACACGGGGCUUAGCGCGGCGAGAGGAGGAGGGGGGGGCUCGGCCUACUUUAUCAACGUUAAUUUCAAAGUCUCGACCUGCUUGCUCAGCGGAUUCAGGCGGCGGCGGCGGAUUCCUCCUCUGCUGGCCUCCUUUUUUUUUUUUCCUGCCGCCUCAGCAGCCCCGUGGACCGGAGCGCCCUCGACGAGCUCCGUAAAGCUCCGGGACUCAGCAGGCCAAGACCUGAUUUUCCACCUCGUGUGUGUGUGUGAGUGACAGCUGCCGGCUGACACGCCGGACGCAGCUGACCACUAAAUGUUUUGAUGUUUUUCAGCAGAUUUUCAGCGUCUUUGUUUGUUCGGGGAGCUGCUGUUCACGGCGGCGGAGCAGAACUGAUGAUCACGGCCGGCGAGAAACAUCCAUCGCUGUUUCUCUGCGGGGGGCGAUUUGUUCGUCGUGCUGGAGGGUUAUUGACAGCAGCUACACACACACACUCACACACACUCUCACACACACACACAGAAAGAACAUAACACGGAUCAUUUCUUUUCACUGAUGAAAAAUAUUCCUCGCUGUGGGAAACAGUCCAGGAGAAAAUGAAUGAAGUUCUACCUGAGCUGCUCCAUUAAGACGAUGAAACCAACUUCAUCUUCAUCCUCCAGGUUUCAGGAGACGCUGACUGAGCUUCAAAAUAUCUAAUGAGGUGUCACAAAGCUUACUACCUGGACCUGAUCAACCUGAUGUGUUUCUGUACAGCUCAUAAACAACUGUGCCACAAACACGACCAUCAAUCUCGCCCUGAAAUAACGGAGGUUUGGUAAACAGCGGCGGGAGUCGGAGUAGAGUUUGUUACACGAGAACUUAAAGGUUAGUCCGUUAAAGAAGCGUCUUUUUUGUGGUGUAAAUACAAAAAAGUGUUUAAUAUCAGUCAAUAGUUAUUAGUUAUUGAUGACAUUUGGUGAUACAACGAUAUCUCUGUGUUCUCUUAUGUCUGUGUCGUCAACAUUUGAACAUUUUUCUGACUGUAAACAAAGCCGUUCUCCACCUCCUCUAACCUGAUUGGUUGUGAGGCAGACGCUGCUCCCCCGUGUCGUUCAGGAGCCCAAACAAAGUUAGCGUGCUACAAUAUCGGACAGUAGAAACCAACCAGAAAGUUCGGAAAAUUGUCUGAAUCCUCCUUUGGCCACGACUGCCGACACAAGCAAGAAAACAAAGUAAAUACCGGAGACUCUGGAGGAAUAACGGGCGCUUAAAACGGAGGUAGACCGGACAAGAGCUAAAAAGCCGGGUCAACAUAAACCAUGGGGGACGCUUGGGGAUCAUUAAUCAUGAGUGAACUACACCAUUUGAACGAAUAGUGAACUGAAUGAAUAAAUAAUCUUAUGGUCUUAGAGAGUUUGCUCUUUUUUCGGAUGUGGACUCACUCAUCUUCGCUCUGAAUCCACUCAUCUGGUUGAGUGUGGGUUAGGGUGUGGGUCACUGUAUUCGGAGUCGGACUAACGUUAGCUUCCAGCUAGCUGCAACAUGUUUAGCAUUCAGGUGAUACCGGAGUCUUGUUGCAAAUUUCUUCAUUCAUUUUUUGAUCCGCUGGGUGGGACCGGAAUCACUGCUGCACUGACUCACAUUGGGGUGCGCCGUUAAAAGCGGUAUACCUAAAACUCGUCCGGUGAGAAACGUUCCGCAGUGCGAUUAAUAUGCAUAAAGGGAUAUUCGGGCGUAAAACUAAGUUAGAGUCAAACACACCGUAACACAGAGUUAGACCCCCCCUCCAGAGAUGAAUGUUGUCGACCGCUUGCUUCUCUAGUUAUACCAACUUUAGUAACGACUGCAGGAUAGCAAUACAGAGAGCCACGCCCUCAACCAAAACGCCGUCUCGGUCUGAUUGUAUUUCCAUGAAGAAAUUAUAUUCUAUUCAAUUAUUUUAUUCGAUUAGCAUUUAAAAUCCACCCACAACAGAUACAUAGUAAAUUUCAAAAGCAUCAUAAAGCUAAUCGAAAAGGUGUAGGCUGAAGCUCAUGCUUAUUUUGCCUACCCUUUUUACAAAAAACAAAAACUUUAGCAAGGCGACUCUUUAACUACAUGGUCUGAGUUACACCACAAGUCUUCUAAAGAAAAGGGAAAAAGAAAGAGAGAAAAGAUAAAUUCUCAAAAACAUGUUAGAAAAUAAAUAAACCAACAAUAUUCCGUAACAAGUAUACAAACAGACACAACCAAACCAAGAAAUGAUCAUAAAUGUUCUUCCUUGAGCUGCGUCACCCCGCUGUAGUCUGUAAAGGACUGGCCUGAGGUCUCGCUACAAACAAGCAGCUGCUGGAAGAGAGUAGGUGAGUUGUGUUUAGUCUCUUUGCUAAAGAAAUGAGUCAAAGUUAAAAAGAUGUUUGGUGUCUAGUACUAUGGCUGUGACCCUAUAUGUCCUGUUGAUGAAGUUAGGUGCUGUUCUGAGCAUUAUUUGUGGCUAUAGAGUGGCGUUUUGGUUGAGGGCGUGGCUCUCUGUAUUUCUAUCCUGCGGUCGUUACUAAAGUUGGUAUAACUAGAGAAGAAGCGGUCGGCAACAUUCAUCUCUGGAGGGGGGUCUAACUCGGUGUUACGGUGUUUGACCCUUAAUUAAUUUUACAUCAUAAUAUCCCUUUAAUAUUUUUAACAAGAUAAUAUUAAUGUAAUUAAUUAAUUAAUUGCAACAACAUGUUAAAGUCCCGACCCGACAAAAAUAUCAUGUAAUUUUUCAUGUGUGUUUUAAGUGUUAAUCACGUGAUUACAGGUUUUGUAUUUCGACCCGGUGAAAGUGUGUUAUCGUGUGUUUCUGCUCGGCUCAGGUGUUUCUUCCCUGUGCCUGCCUGCCUGCCUGGUUUCUUUUACUCGAUUUGAGCGCCCUGAUAGCUCCGGCUCUGCAGACCUGAACUAACAGAGUCCAUCAGCCUUCAGAGCCGCCGUAAUGAUAAUCAUCCGCAGAGGCAGCCACUCCAGUCCGCACACUCGUCUUCUGCCUCGCUGCUCCACAGUCACCCACUUCCUUGUGUUUCAAUUUCCUUUCAAGCGAUUCCCACUUCACCUGUACGCCCGGCUCACAUGCAUAUGGAGAACCGGAGAGGGAGAGACUGGGAGAUAGAGAAACUUCUUCUGAAACGGGAGCUUGUCAGGAGAGCCAUUGCUAGCUUCGUUGCCGUCUCCAUAACAGCGAGUCACUGGGGUCUGUUUUACACUUCAGGCGACAUCAAGCAACUUGACGGCGGAGGCGAGCGGUGGGCACUUCACCAUCUCCUGUUGCUCUGAUGUGUCUGUUUGUUCAGCGGGAAGCCAGACGGAGGCCUCCCGCCAUCAGAGGCUUUUUAUCACAGCAGAGUCGGCCCAAACGCUCGCAGGGAGCUCAGCGUUUUAACAAGUGGAUCUCUCUUAAUGCGGUGGAGGAUUCGGACUCUCUAUCCGCUGCUUCUUUCCUGGGAAAUAUAUGUGCAAAUGAUGUGCCCUGCCAGGUCAGAUUCAGUUUAUUAUGCAGGGUUUUACCCAGCUGGUGGCCGAGUCCAAACAGGGAGAUUUCCAUGAAUCCAGCUGGAGAUAUUCAUAAUAGCCAGAGGAUGAAAUUUUGAUGACCUCCCGACUAUUUCUCUUCCACCAUCACUGGAUUGUGAGUUUCCCAGGAUGUGACAAAAAGACCUUCAGCCUGUUUGAGACAUGUCCGGACUCUAACCCUGUUAUUGUAAACCAACAGAGGUGUUCUGUAACUCUGAGGAUCUGCCAAAAACAGAUCGUACAGGGCACUGAUAAAGAAGAUCUCCUUCUUGAAAUAUAUUUUGUAAUAAAAGUAACAUUUACCGGAUAAACUUUAUGUAUUUAAUCAAAAUAUUUCAACGAUAAGAUUGAAUUACUUUAUGCAAUAGUUUAAUUCUGCAGCUUGGUUUUGUUCAGGGAGCUCCCUGCAUUUCCAUGAAAUGCUAAAACCUGCAGAGUGGAGAGCGGUCCUCCUCUGUGAUUCAUGAGCAUGCAUGAAAAACUCUCUACCUUCAAGAGCAGCUUCAAAACUUUCCUUUUUCAUACAGCUCAUCGUUCUGAACCGGGUCUUACUUACGCCUCUGCAGACUUCUACAGAGUCAUUAACUCUGAACCAUCGUGUCCCAGUAGAGUCACUAAGACUCGGUCUUUUCUGGGGGUCCCUGAGAUCCUCUGUAGUGUUUGUGUCGUUCAUGAACGAUUGGUUCAAAAGAACAGAACUGUUGAGUGAACGACGUGAAUGGAAUCACUCUGAGACCUGAUUCGUUCCUUUCUCAGUUCAGUUGAGCUCAGCCGCGAGCGUGGCGUCCUGGUCGGGAGAGGAACUGCCGCCUUUGACGAGCAAAACCCACAGGCUCUGGCACGGCAAGCGAAUCAAAUACGCAACUAUAAUAAAUCAAUGAGUGUGAUUCCACAGAAUCUGUCCGAUGUCCGGCUCCACUGCAGAUUGGCUCCGGCGGCCAGAUCAGACACGCAAGGCUUCCAUUUUUGCCGGACGCCGGAGCACGGCGCAUUAAUUCAGUGCAGUGCAGCACGAGCAGCUGCAGAAUUUCUAUGCGGUUACAGAGUAAAAUAUCCGUUUAAUUUUCAAAAUAAAAUAAAAUCAGUACGUUGAGAUGUUUUUAGCUUGAUAAUAGGAGAGGCCAGGGUUGUGGGAUGUGAGGGUUUAUAUACACCGGUCGGCGGAUCUCAUUCUAUGACUCCCGGGGAAACACGUGAGAUCUCGUGAGAUCUUGCCCAGAGAUCUCGUGAGCGCAUCUCCCCUGAUGGCGUAGGUGGAUCGGAUCAGUUGGGUGCUGUAUGCUUGCGGAUCUGAUCUGCCUGCUGGUUUGGAGUGAAGCAGAGCCGUUCCAAAUCCAGUGGGAUUCCCGGGUGACUCUUUGGCUGAUUCAGUGAACAAAUCUUUUGAACGAAUCGUUUCCUUGAACGGAUCUUAAAGAUUCAGUACAGUCAACAGAACAGUUCCUCCCAUCACUAGAUCACUGCUGCAGACAUCCUGCUGUCACAGACCUGAUCUGACGGGUUCAGAGGUCAAAUUGCACGAUCUUCUCACCUGAUUGAGUCACGUUGCUGUUUCUCGCCAACAUCCUUCGCCUGUCCUGAUCGUCCUUCAGAGACACAUCAUAAAGACCAAGAUGACAACAGCUGACAGAAUCGAGUUUCUGGAGAGUACGCCGCACAUUUUCACGGCAUCCAUGAUGUUUUUGUUGGUGAUCUGAAACUUUCCAGACACACCGAUGUUUGAGGAGUUUACCAAAGAAAGAGAUGAAUAAAGUAGGAGAAAUGUUCAGACUGUGAACAUCUGGAGAAGGUGAGGAUGUUGGAGACGAGAAGUUAGUUUGUCCCUCUGGUGAAGAAACAGAAACUUUCCUGAUUCUGACCUCCGACCCCGCAGUAGAAGCGUUUCCUCCCGCGCUGAUGUUUUUAUCUCCACGCCCUGAUGAUAUCAUCACCUCUGGAUGUACGAGUGCCAUCUCAAUCACUUUUAAUUACCGGCACAACCAGACGGCGUGCGUUGACAAGCCCCGCCGCUGCCGCCACUGCCGCUGCACAACUUGUCAAUCAAAUCCCAGCGGUACGCCCGACGCCAUUUCCCUUUUUUUUCCCCCCACUGGAGAACAUUUCUCACCGCUGGCAGAUAACACGGUGGUGGCUUUCCUGCUGUUGGAAACACAAGAAACACUCGGAGGAUUUACAGUUGAUCAGCACCUCUAACACCCUGCGAUCACACUCACACACACACACACACACACACACACACACACACAGCUCGACACUUAUCUCUCCUAUCGCCCCCUGAGACUCAUCUUGUCGUUCUCAUCUUUCAGAGGAUUGUGAAGGAGUGGAGAGGCCCAGGUGACUGCAGCUGUUUUUCCUCCCAGCCCGUCUUCUGCUAAUUAGACGGAGGAGUUAUUAAUUAAAUUAGGAGCGGACGUGCUGAUUGGCUGUCCCAGGAUUUAACUCUCAGCGGAUAUCACACUUCAUCUGGCACAUCGAUGAACUUGACAAAAUGAAACUUCAAUAGCCGCGUGUCUGUGUGUGACUCUGUGUGUGUGCGAUUUUUGAUAAUUGGUCGUGUUGAAGAUCGUCGUCGUUGUUGUCAAGUCAUGUGACAUCACCUGCAGCAGGUUUCCCUUAUCAGGAGGACAGAGAGAGAGGAAGACGGCCUGUGUGUGUGUGUGAGUGUGUGUGAAGAGCACUGAAGUGCACAUUGUGGAGUGUGACCUUUGAGAGUGUGUCUGCAGGCGGGCAGGUGGAGGGGAACAUUACGGCGUGGUUUGAUUGGAGCUUCUUGGCGUUCACUCAGAGAACAUCCAGAUCUGGACUCACUGCCGGGAUCACAGAGUGUUUUUGUCUGUUGGACCGAUUUGUUCGGUUCAGAUGUUUCCGACAUCUCCGACAUGAUGUCGUUUCAUCGUUUUGUUGUUUUAUUUGAGUUUCAUCCAAAGCGUUUUACCAUUUUACCGGACCGGUGAGUUUGUGUGUAAAGACUGACGGUUGAUCGAAGUCAGUUUGUGGUCAAAGGUCAAAGAUCCCUCAGGUGGAUCCAUCAGGGUAUGAAACAUAGUCUGAAUUAUGGCGCCCCUAAAUAUUUCACAUUAUGUCGAAAUCACUAUUCGCCCUCUCAAAGAUAAAAUUAUGUUAAAAUCAAUAAAAAUAAACAAACAAUAAUAUUUAAUAACAUUUAACAUCAACAGUGUCAGUGUUCAAGAUGGAUUACCUACACCUUAGUCCUUUAUUUUAGCUCAGUAACAGAUGGAUCCAUUUUGAAGACAGAGACUCAACUACGGUGGCCGACAAGGGCCAAAGUUCUGCAACAGUCCGAGUUGUCUUCAUUAGAACAAACCUGCUGCAAAUAGAGAAAUUAAACAACUUCUAAACUACUUCUGUUCAGUUAUUGUUCUUUUGUAGGGCUGAAAGGAUUUGCUCAAAUUUUCACGUCGACAAGUUUUUGUUGUUGACGUUAUUUCAAUUACGCCGACAACAAAAAUUUUUGGGUCGAAGCGUCGUGUUAUUGUUGUUGUAGAUCAAACACCGGCGGCUUCACGCUCAUCUGUAACUGCAGUGCACUACAGGAAGUGCUGGAGGCAGAAUCGCUUACUGUUUACAUCCCACAAGGAAACAGAGAAGAAGAAGAACGCACAAAUUAUGACAGAACAAACAGACGAAGAGGCUCAAAAACUCCGACCCAAAGUUUCUGAAGUUUGGAACAUUUUACUGAAAAUUCACCAGCGAAACACGUUAAAUGUGAUCUCUAUGAAGCUGAACUCUCCUCCUAUGGUAACGCUACCACGAUGCAUGAACACCUUAAAUGUCGACACCCCAGAGCCCCUGUAUCAUCAGGUCCUGUAGAGAGAUGAGUUCACAAAUAAAGUAGAUAUUCUUAAACCACACACUCGUUUGUUAAUUAACCAUCAGCCUAAGAGACAAGUACAUAAUAUGUUUACGUCUAUUCAUUGUAUAGCAAAUACCAGCCUUUGUAACAGUGUGAAGGUUAAAGUAACUUAAGCUUAAACGCAGGUCCAAUAAAAGGUGCUAACGAAGAUAAUCAUGAAAAAAUAUUCAAUAGAUUAGUCGACAACAAAAAUAAUCGUUAGCUGCAGCCCUGAUCUAUUGUCCUCAGUGUUAUUCAGAUUCAGAUUCCUUUAUCAACCAUUGUGUAACACGCAUAAGAAUUUGCUUUGGCAAUUACAUGAGUGUGUUUCAGAUCUUUAUGUUACACAGUAUGGAGUCCAUUUAUGGUAUAGAUGUCUCUCACUACGACUUAAAACUCGACAAAGGGGAGACUGCGAAGCAUCUGCUCGAGGAUUGUACGCCAAACACUUGAGCCAGUUUUCAGAGCUGCAUAUACAAGACGAGUGCCGUCAUCGACAGACAAUAUCUAGUCCAACCCGACGCGUUUUAUUUAAAGAGUACCAGUUGCUGCAAUCCAACAGGAGAUAUAGAGUCCCUAGAACUAGAUUAAACAGACUGAGGAAGUCUUUUAUUCCUCAGUCUGUUAAAAUGUUGAAUCAUUUGGUUUAGCUGGUCGAGUCUCAUCAUCCUCUAUGCAAAUGCAAAAAUACAAAAACAAAAACUAUAGUUCAGUGUUCUGCACAUGAAAUCAAAAAUGCUGCAAAAAGCCAAAACUGCAUUAACAGCAAAAGAGCUAAAAGAAGGAUCGUGCUCCAGGCUGGGGUGUUGAUCAACAUAAUACGUUUAAAGUUUCAGGAAAGUUUUGAGGGAGAGGGUGAAAAAAGAGCGAAAUGCAGCAGCUGAGCCAAAUAAAAAAUUAAAAGACAGAGAAGAAUAAAAGCAGGAGAACAAAGAGCACGUAAGGCUCAUUUCAGCGUUUGUUUUCUGGUGUUUCAUCCACCUGAAAGUCUGCAAAGACCCAACGCAGCUGGAGGUAAACAGAGACGAAGUGCUGCCAGAGAGAGAAGAAAAGAAAGCCUGUGUGACUUUGGGCUAACAGGUAGUUUGAAAAGACCUCUGAUCCGUGUGUGCGUGGGGAGAAAUUGCAGGCAGUGACUUUGACAAAGUCACCGUAUUCACAGAUAAUUUAGCGCUGACAUUGGGCUAUGGCUCUUGAGCAGAGAAGUGGAGCGUGGAGAGGCUGAAGGUUCCUGUUUAUUUACCAUCACAGACUGUGUGUUUGUCUGCCGGCUGCUUCUCCAGCACCCAAAUUUCCCCCCUCAUGAGUCUCUUAGUGGUAACAGCUCAAAGCGUGGAGAGUCUCUCCUGCACGAUGCUGGCGAUGACAAACCGGCUGAACUCUGACAUUAACAGCUUUGUCUCCGCUCCCACUCAUGAUGGUUUCCACCCACUGACAGCCAGAGGUAGAAUGAGGUUUGUUACGUAUAUUUCUGACUUUGUCUCGUCUCUUCCUGCUGGUUUCUCUUUUCUGACUUCUUUUUUUUUUUUUUUUUAGCGUUAUCAAUUCAAGAGGUGUGAAUGAAAAUGAGGAUAUUUUUUUUAGCCGUCUUUUAACAAACUCCUACGUAAACCAUCUGAACCAAAGUGUUGUUUUCAUCAAGAGUCUGGAUAACUCAGUGUUUUGUAAACCUGAAGCUCUAAAUGAAAGGCAGGCGUGCAGAAAAUAAAGUUAUAUGCUAACCUGGAAGAGCAACAUGCGGCUGGAUUUGUAGAAAUAUUGGUGGAGAAUCAUUGUUAAUGUGACUGCAGAGAUGUUCAUUAUCAGUUCUGUAUUAGGUUUUGAACCAAAUAUGAGGUUUGCUGAAAUGAAUUCACUCAGCGUUUUCGAUGUGGACCUAAUUGUGCAUGAUCCUGAUAUUUAAUAAAGUUUACACAUGUUUUUAAACACAAUUAAAUAUAAUGUGUUUGAUUGAGUCCAAGCUCUUAUAUUGAUGUCUAACUGAUCGAGUCCAAGCUCUUUAACUCUCUGCUUCUUCUGCAAAGAUCUCCUCUUUAAUAGCAGUAUUUCCAGCUUCUUUUACAAAUAUAUAUACUCUAAAAAUGACAUAAUUUCCUCUCCUGCGCUCUAAUCAUGUCUGAGCUCUUUGACUCUCAGAUUCUCCUGCAAAGAUCACCUCUAAACAGCAGUAUUUCCAGCUUCUUUUACAAAGAUAUAUACUCUAAAAAUGACACAAUUUCCUCUCCUGUAAACUGAUCAUGUCCAAGCUCUUUAACUCUCUGCUUCUCCUGCAAAGAUCUCCUCUUUAACAGCAGUAUUUCUACCUUGUCUUGCAAAUAUAUAUACUCUAAAAUGACAUAAUUUCCUUUCCUGCGCUCUAAUCAUGUCCGAGCUCUUUAACUCUCAGAUUCUCUUGCAAAGAUAUAUAUACUCUAAAAUGACAUAAUUUCCUCUCCGGUAAACUGAUCAUGUCCACACUCUUUAACUCUCUGCUUCUCCUGCAAAGAUGUUGAACAGCAUUAUUUUCCUUAUUUCUUGUCGAUGGCAUUAUUUUAAGUCUCUUUUAAGAUUUCCUCUGUUUGUGGCAUUACUUUCAGCUAUUUUUCUGCGAAGCUCUCCUCUCAAACAGAAAUAUUUUCAUGAUCUGCCUCUCCAGGAGGGGCGGCUCCUGAAAAUGUCAAUAAUGUUUUUGGUGUUUUCAAGCUCUGGACCUUGUGUCAGCUCCUAACAAAAACAUCUUUUCAUUUGUCGAUCUGAGUCCACAGUCUCUUUGCAGAGACUUGAGUACUGUUAGUUUUAUCUCAGAGUAAUGCCUCCUCUCUAUUUUUAGGGAGCCCAGGACACUUAACAACACACUGCUUCUCAUUCUUACAAGUACUGACGACUGAACUCACUAUGAGCCCAAAACAAUCAAUGUCCAAAAAGCUCAUUAAUCACUCAAAACACAGUCUGUUUGAUGAAUUUGGUGAAUAAUUUAAGUGGCCGGUGCCCUAAAAAAUAGAUCUGUGGUCGACUUCAUUUGGAGGGUUGUCUCAGAUUGAUGCUAAAAACCUUUUAUAGGAGUCUGAGGAAAUAUAAAUACACGAUUCUCAGAACCCAACAGAAAGUAAAGGAUCUCCACCCUCACCGGGUUUUCUACCUUCAUAAGUCUGCAGUGUCUCAAAGUCAGAAAAAAUCCCCACAAGGUUAAAUCUCUGUGGAGCAGCUCGAGCGAACAUGUGACAGCCGGAUCUUUAAAAGAACAGAGAGCUGCAAGGACACACUCCGCUUCCAUUUGAUUGUGGGACACUUUAAUUUCUUCAUUCUGUGGCGGCGGCAGCGGCGGCACGACGGAGAUGAACAUCCGCUAAUCACCUGCACGUCCAUCACAUCGACCUCCUCCUCCUCCUCCUCCUCCUCCUCCCACGAUUCCCUGCACAGGAUUGAGUUUGGGCUGGGGGUGAAACUGUUGACCCCUCCACCUCCUCUCAGGUGAGAAAAAAGGAGGGAUUUUCUUUCUAUUCUGUCUCCUUCCGUCUCUUUCAUCACCUCGCUUGUAAUUAGCCGGAGCUGAGAUUUUUCUCUUUUGUCGGCGCUCUGAAAGGUGGAUAAGCGUCCUUUGUGCCUUCUCACACCUUUUUUAUUUCUUUUAACAAGUUUUUUUUUCUUUCUUUCUUUUUUUUAAGACGAACCUCAGAGCCAGCCGCUGCCGUCUCAGAAGGAAGCUGAUAACCAAGAGGGAGUUUCUACUUCUCUCUUUUGCCGCCGUCUUUAUCUCCCAGGACACAAUUAGCUGCUCUAUCGCUCAUCACCAUGCCGGUAUUUUUCCUCUCUCUCUCUCUCUCUGUCUCUCUCUCUCUCUCUGCCUUUUCUCUCUUUUUCUCUGCAUUUAAAAGACGCCGUUCUUUGUCGAGGUUCACUCUUGAAAAGUUGAAAGCACAUUUGGGUCUGCAGUGGAAGAAACACAACUGUGUGUGCAGAGAUAAAAUGGUCUCAAACUGCUUUGUUCAAAACAGAAACAGCAGCAUCCUGAAUUUAUCCAUUUAAAGAAGAUCUCACUGAAGCACAAAGACUCAAGUUAGUUUUCUGCCCCAAGUUUUAAGUCUUCUCACUCUUCACCUCCGGCUCUGCGCCGUGUUAAAGAGAACUGUCUUGGCUCCUUUUAUGCCGUACCUUCACAUCAUCGGAUUAUUUGUAGCUUCCUGAACAGCUGCCGGUUCCUCGCUUGAUCGGGUUUUCCUCAUUAACCGAACUAAUAAAAGAAUUAUGGGAUAAAUGAACUCCCUAAUGUCUGCAAAGGGGCGCCGAAUUCCCAAUUCAGUUCUGACAUCCACGGAUCCCCCAGCAUGUGAACCCUGUCAGUGGACCCAAAGGGGGUCUCCUCUCUCAGGGAGAAUCCCAGUGUGCACUUUUUCAGUUUCUAUAAGACCGAGACAUGACUGUGACAUUUAGGGAUCAGGACCAGGUCAAAACCAAGACCGAGACCAGGUCAAAACCAAGACCCAGACCAGGUCAAGAUGAAGGUUUCUAUCGGUCUGCCGUCUCUUGAUGCUUUCUCUUUAAAACCCGCGUCAUACCCCCGCUGACUGAAAAACUAAACACCAAUUUCACGCCCUGAUAUUUGCUUUUAUGAACCAUUUUCUUAUAAUGAUCAAAUUUGUGUUGCAAAAAAACACAAGAACUGGAUUUGUGUAAAAACACAUGAAUGGACUGCACAGUUACAAAAGGCUGAAGGUAUUUAAAGGGUUAAAAAGUUAAACAGAUGUGAAAACAUGUUAAAAAAGUCACUGAGACUAACCCACUGAGCAUGUUUUGGUCUAAUAGACGUCUAAAUGUAGCCUUGACGACUGGUCUAAAAUCAGCCAACCACAAUGAAGUUUUCUAGAAAUUUAGACUAAGUCUAAACCUGGGCUAUAUCUAAACUACACUGUAUAUCGCUCAAUGGCUAUCAUAAUGAUUCUGGUUAAGUUCUUGGAGAUCAGUUUUGCAACUCAUAGUUGCUUUCUGAAGUAAAUAGUUAUCAAAUAAUUAUAAAAGUGCAGCGUCUAAAUUCCACCUAAAAAUAUACAGAAUCUAGACGGUUGAAAUUUGGUCUAAAAUAAAAACUAGACGUCUGAUAGCCUCUAGUCUGAUGCUCAGUGGGAAAUAACAGCUCAUUCUAAGAAUGAGGUACAGUGUUUAAAAACGGAUCCCUCAAUGUUUUAUUUACUUUUAUGUCUUUAAAAGCAACAUGACGUUAAAUUUGAGUCUGCUCUUAUUUUCUAUGUACUUCAUCAGGCCACUAGAGGGCGCAUGGUCUCAUUUACACCGAUCUUGAUUUAAAUAACUUUUGAUUUCGAGAGAAGGUUAAAAGACUUCUUCAGAUUGAUCUCGAGUACCUCAGUACUAGUCCAGCAGCACAUUCUUGGUGUCGGAUUUGCUUUUGUGUCUCUAAAAGUUUCAGCAGGUUCAGGUUUUAAUAAACAAAGACCGUCUCAAACACCAAUAACACCACGACGGAGGACAAAAUAAACAGGAUUCAAGACUGUUAUAAACGACCAGCAGAAACAAAUCAACACAGACACGAGUUUAAACACCACAGCGAGAAAAAUUAAGACCCAUAAUAGUUAAUUAUUUUUUAUUUCUAACCUGCACACAACAUCGUCUCUUUUUACUUCAGCUCGAAGUCGAUGGACCAUCAAGAGAGCAUCAUAUGAUUCUGUGCAUUUUAGUGCUCUCAAAGUUAACAAAUUCAGCCGUACAUUUGGACCUAAUCCAUCUCACUUUAAAGAUUCAUAAUCAUCGCAAAACUAAAAUGAAAACAAUUCCAGACCCUGAAGGUGUAGUGGACCCCGGAUCACCAGCCUAAGACGAUGUGACUCGAGUUAAAUGAAACCCGAGUUUGGAGUCCGAGCAGCAGGAUGGUGACCAGUCUUCACUCAGUAAAUGUGUAAAAAAACAAGUAAAUGUAAAAAUAUAAAGUUAAAACAAUAAAAAAAGAUAUUUGAGGGAGUGGAUAUGAGCUCUUAUUCACAUGGAUGUCUGCUGAAGAAGAAACACUCAUUUUUCACCUGUUUAUCUUCACUGUUAUCCGUCACCACCUUCAGGGCAGCCGAUGAUUUCAGACGCCGAGUUUCUCCGUCUCUCCGGAUCCCUGAUUCAGUUUUUACUUUUUAAAUUUAGCUUUUUUGUUUUUGUUGUUUGUGUCUCCUCGUCUUUCUGGUUUUUCCAGUCUCUGAAUUUUGAAAUUAGCCUUUUUGACGUGGGAGCGAUGUGAGUGAUCUCCGGCCUCUCUUCUGUUUAUCCCAUUUUUUAAUCUUUUCAUGUGUUUUUAACGAUGUAAACAAACAUCCAGCCUGAUGCUCCGCGCUUCAUCUGCAGUCAGAGAGCAAACGGGCAAUUAAAAGUGAAGCUGUGAAGCUGAACGGCGUUCAUACAGAUUAAGAGACAGCACCAUGAGGAGCCAGGAUUUGCCUGUGAUAAAUGAAACUAAUAGCAGAUCCGUCAGUAAAUGAAACAAACUGUUUAAAGGGUUUUAACAAGCAGCAGUAUCUCCUGUGAGUUUGAUCGUCUGGGGCUCGUUUCUGACCAGAUUAUGAUCAAGAGUUAGCGCCAGAACCUAAAGGGGAAAUUUGGCAUCUUCAGACCUGGACCAGAUUUACCAUGUUUGAGAUUUUAAGUGAUUUGGAGGUUCAUGGAGCUGAACCGCACCAGCAGAUUGCUUCAGCUGGCAGUGGACUGUGAUAGCUGUUAGGAAAAUGUGCAUAAAGAAAAUAAGUUCUUCUCCUUGACUCCGAAAAUCUGUGGAUCCUUUUCUGCAACUUCAUCAACCACCUUUCCUCCAGAUACGACUUUUGUGAAAUGAAAAAGUCCUGUUUUUAUAUCAAAGUUUUCACCAGUUUUUAGGUCGUGCACAAACUUAAAGCACGACGUAAAAUAUUUGUCAUUACCGAUGAACAGGACGGCUUAUGUUGCAAAUCAUAAAAACAGGAAUACACUGUAUCUGAAAAACAUGCUUCCAUACAAGCUUCCAAACCAACUACGAACUUCCACUGAGCGAAGAAGCGACUUUUUUUGCCCCUGUAGCAAAUUUUGUGAACAUUUGUUGGCGAACUGUUACAUAAAUCUCACGCCAAUCAUAAAUCUUACCUUGGAUAUGUAGCGAGCCGUUGCUCUGGAUCAAUCGUCUCUCUGUAAUUUGUUCUCUCCUUCUGCAAACGUGGAGUCGGCUGAUGGAGCAGUUCUUGAGAGACUUUUUCUAAAGUAUUGUCAGAAUUUCUCAGGACACAAUUUAACCUCCUGGAUCGUUGUGUGGAGCUCCCCCGUUUCUUGUCGCACGGUCAGUAUUCGAUGUUCCCGGACACUUUGAUUCUUGUUUUUCUUUUUGUUAUUUAAUCGGCUCACAACCAUGACCAGGUCAUCAUCACUUAAGGAUGUAGUCGCCGUUGUUUCCUCCUUCUUCUCUCUCUCUGUUUUCCUGUGGCGAAUUUUUAUGCCAAUAUGCAAAUUUUAUUCGCGUCGCACCAGAUGUGUAUAGGUAAGGUCGGAGCUGAAUCUUUCACAUUUUUGUGUUGCUUUGUUAAUUUACCGGUGUGUAACGACCUUGAGUCUAUGUUCACCAAAAUGCACAGACGAGCAGUUUGGAGGAAGUAGGACGAACAGAGCCCCAUCUCAGAGUCACAAGAGCCAAACGUGAAAAUGAAAUUAGCAUAAAAAUCAAACUAAUGUAACGACACACCGAUAGGAUCAGGUAAAACAGUGGCCUUCAAAAAUUUCAAGACAUCGAAUGAAUCCUGAAAUCUUUAGAAAAGACAGAGCGAAGAAACAUCCGACAGGAACAGAGAAAACAACCGUUGUUGUUUUUCUAAUUAUUAUUUUAUAUAAUUUUUUCUUUAUUAUUAUUAUUUUAUUUUAUAUAACAUUUUGUCCCCAAACCACAUACAUUGUACUCCUUAUACUCCCAAUAUUCCUUACCGUACAUUUUGAAGAGUUGUGACUGAUACUCCCAACUUCUCUCUCAUUUGUAUUUUUGCUCUGCUUGCCUUUAUUGCUGAUGUACCAUUCACUUUUUGUUGUUGUUGUUUUUGUCUCUCGUUAUGGUCUUCGUUGGUGUUUUUUUCAAAUUUCUUGUUAUUUCUUGUAUCUAUUUUAAUUCUAAUUGCACUUUACUUCUCUGCAUGUCUUGUUAAAUGUUUGCAAUAAAAAACAAAAAAAAGAAAAAUACAACAGAAACUCCUGAAAUUGUCCAGAAACAUGUCAAGGACAUACGACGAACCCUACGCCCGGUGAAUUUUGGUGAAAACGGUGGAAGAUGAGGAUGAGAGCUGAGCUGAAGCUCGGACAUCACCUGGUCCAUAUCCCAACGACAAAUGAACAAGUGAACUGAGACCAACCUCAUCAGUGAAACCCUGGUCCGGUCUGGUCCUGACUCGGGUUUGAUUGACAGCUCCUACACCCACUCAGAAACAGACUCAUGUGUCUUUAUAAGGUCAGGUGUCAGGAAGCCCCUAAACGUGUGACCGUAGAGGAGGGCAAAACACGGCGCUCCGGUUCCAGCUGUCUGGACUAAAAGCUGGUGAAGUGCAAAGAUGCUUUAUUUGGUCAUGGCUAAAAGCAACAGGCGGGAAAGAAGUCAGUCAGUGGAGCGUUUAAGCCUUUUCAGCUCCUCUUUUGAAGGACACAAACUUCUUUUCUCGAACCGUGAGCCAUACAGUGAUGUGCUAUUUUUACUCUUUUCAGAGCACAAACAAAUAUCCACACAAAGACCCAUUUUCUAUUACAAUCACUGCGAGAGAAGAAAUAAAGAAAAGUAGGGCAUAGAUCUGCUUUUUCUCCUUUCAAUGAAAGACCUUCAUUUUUGAAGCAGUUACAGGCAGAAUCUGCUGCUCCCGUGUUCAAUCUCAUGUUUUCUGAAAACCCCAAAGUGUUGAUUUUUCGCCUUUCUAUACUCCGGCAUUACUCAUGAAUCCUGUGACUGUUUAUAAAAGGAAGCAUUUACAAUACAAAGAGGCACGGCGGCAUUGAUUUUUUUUUAAAGACUAUCCAUAUCCAUACGGGAUAAAGGAGCACUCAGGCGUUUUCUGCCUCAGAUAUGCUCUAUUGAUAACAUAUUUUCAAAACGCAGCACAAGGACCCUCCGCAGAUACAUGGUAUGUUCAAAGAAGCCUGAACGAGUCCCUGCCUGCCUCUGAAAGAGAUUCAACAAAGUCUGACAACCUCGUCGUCAUUAGUCACACUCGGAGAAAACACAGCACACUUUCCAUACUUCAAUGGAUCCUCCUCUGAUGGAGGAUUUGCUUGUUAAAAAGUUCUGUCAAAAUAGUUGUUCAUACGUGUUUUUUCCUCUUUGUUCGCCGCCGGCUUACAGGCAGUAUUUAAUGAUAGCAGAGCCGGUCAUACAUGGAGAGUCAGACUGCAGGAAUCCCUUCUUACGAUAAUGAAUCUGAGCAUGAAAAUUCAAAUCAUGCCUCACAAGGGAAUCGCAGCGGGGAUGUGCUCUGAUUCUGGCUCCGCUGGUCAAUCAUUAAAAGCACAACAGGCUUGUCUUCUGGUCAAUUUGGAAAACCACAGGAGGGUAGAGAUCAAUAAAUAUCUCUAAGUGCGAGUCCUCACCGUCCACAACCCCCCGAAGCCUUCGCUGAAGAAAGAAAUGUUGUCGUGAAGUCGACAUGGCGGCCAUCAUUUCGGUUUCCUGUUGCUCGUGCGGAGAGAUCAGGCCGGCGGGGGGCCAGUUCAGUCAAAACUUUGAUCUUAAUAGAGAUGGGUUCAACUUUUUGGACCACACAGACGUGGUCCUAAAGUGCAUGGUGGUGUAAAAGUCCAGCGUGUUCAGAACCUGGAUGUAGCCUCAGCGUUGGUCUUGUAGUUCAGCGACUGCAGAAACGAUGAAGUCGAUGGUGUUUUUUGUCAUGACCUGCUUGAGGGUGAAACCGUGAAUCAAACUAAAAAGGAAUAAGGUAGGGUGACCAUAUUCUGAAUCCCUAAAAAGAGGACACAACAAUUUUUUCGGCUGGGUUAAGUGUUAUUUAUGCGCUUUAACCCCAAAUUUCCACCACAUCUGGAACGUCAGCGAUUUUUGUCAUCUGCCAAUUCCUACCGGAUCUGUUUGUGAGGUGAAUUUUGUGGCAGAUUACGGACAGCAGGAAUCAUGAGAACUCACAAGAACCUGCAGAUUCACGUGCAAUCACACAACAAGGAGUUGCCUCCUUAUUGUGUGAUUGCACAUAGACAUAUAAGCAGUAGAUUGUGUCCUUCCAGAGGAGGAAAUCUACUUCUAGACUUCUAGAAUCAGCAUCUCCUCAUCCAUGGUGUCAUCGGGGUGAAAUGACGUCUAAAAACCUUUCACUUGUUCGUCUCCGCCAGUUUGCAUGGUGUGAAAUACGAUCCUCCUGAAACACGGAGUGUUUUAUUUUGAAAAGAAGCCGGAUCUUUUAUUUUGUGUCUGUGCCCGACUUCCUUUCCAGCACGGGUUGAAUUUAUCCGGCAUGCUCCAGCGUCUGGAAAAAAUUGAACUUUUGUGAUCAGCUGCAGAAUUUCUCCAUGUACUGGGUCACCUGACCUCUUGACUCACCUGCACAUGAAUUACACCACCAUUAAAUCACCCUACCAAGACCAGGAGACCCGAAUACGAACUUUACUUGUCGUUAAAUAAGAAUUAAAUAGACAGAACUCUUACAGAAAGGUUCCUCAACAACGUAAAGAAGUAGAUUUCUCCUUUAUCUGAGGGUAUUUCUCACUUUUUUAAAAUGACGACAUCUAAUCGUAAUUAUUAGAUACUUGAAUGAUCUCGCGGUUUCAGUGACUUCUUAUCCUCGUAGAGUUUGCUGCUCCCGACAACAACAUCAGACACAUUAUCAUCUGACUGACUGUUAUGAAAUGGUAGUACUCAGUAGAAUAAUAUCAUUUUGAACAUCUCCAACCUUUCACUUGAUGUGUUUAUUUUCCUGCAGCCUGAAACCUUCAGUGGCGGACUGAUGGCGCAGGAGCAAAAUGUCGCCUCCCUCCAGGCCCGUCUGAGUGAAUGUGCUGAGGUCUGACAUCCACCAGGUGCAUUGUGGGUUUGAUUCGACAGGGAGGCAGGUUGUUUUGUUGUUGUGAAGUGUAAGAAACAUCAAACCAGCAGAGUUACACCCGCCUGAGGGUGUGGAGCCGAUGGAAAGUGUGGACGGAGAAGUUUCGUGUUUUGUUUUUGGCAGGUAGGGGCGGCAGCGGCGUGAUUGAUUUUUGGAGAGUCAAAGGGGCGACUUUCUCUCUCAAAUACUAAGAGGAAUCUGCACUUUUAUUAUGAGGAGAAAAACACAAAUAUUUGGAGUUUGGUUUUGUAAGAAAGCUGACUUUAGUCAAUGCUUUUCUUUUCUGCUGGUGAGUUCACAUUUUGGAAACAAAAGACGCCGAAUCCUGCUGAUACAAGCAGGAUUAAGGCUGCAAACAGGAUCCAGUCCCCCCCUCUGGUGUUCAUUUUCCCACACUCACCAAAAUGAAUGAAUCAUAAUUUGGUACCAAAUGUUGUAAAUGGGAUUGACCCCUCGCCUGGAGUCUGAUAAAAUGGACAACACAGCACUCCACACUGACGCUGUGUUUACACCACAUGGGAACAAAAACACUUCUGCGAGUGAGUAACACGUAGAGUCGGUGUGAAGGUGAGAUUAGACCUGAGUUUUUUUAAACAGAUUAUACAUUUAAUUCAUGAAAACUCGUGACGUGUUCAGACUUAUUUUGUAGGAGUUGAAAAAUCUGAGCUGUAGUGAAUCACUUAACGCUCCAACAGCCAAUCAGCAUGUAGGUUCCCUGGUGACAUGGAUGCGACACUGAUGUUUGUUUUUGAUAUCGAAACAGGGAUAAGACGAAGCGACCUCGAGGAAAGUCAGUUAGACAGUUGGAGUAUCCGGUCAGUUGUGCAAACAUGACAAAUCCUCGUUGUGUAGUUAACCUAGCAUAAAUUUGUGUGUUUGGGCACUUCGAUAGACGCAAUACGGCACGCUAGUGACUCACCUACUCUCUUCCAGCAGCCGCUUGUUUGUAGUGAGACCUCGGGCCAGUCCAUUAUGGACAACAGUGGGGUGACGCAGCUCAAGGAAGAACAUUUACGAUCAGUACUUUAUAGAAAUAAGGUCUCCGUACAAACAAGCAGCUGCUGGAAGAGAGUAGGUGAGUUGUGUUUAGUCUCUUUGUUAAAGAAAUGAGUCAAAGUUAAAAAGAUGUUUGGUGUCUAGUACUAUGUCUGUGACCCUAUAUGUCCUGUUGAUGAAGUUAGGUGCUGUUCUGAGCAUUAUUUGUGGCUAUAGAGUGGCGUUUUGGUUGAGGUUUGUUUAUGGCUCCUGCGGUCGUUACAUUCAUCUCUAGACGGGUGUCUAACUCGGUGUUUAAGUGUGUUUGACCCUAAAUUAAUUUUACACCGGAAUAUCCCUUUAAGUGAGUUGAUAAUUUAACAAUGAUUCAUCGAUAGAUUUUAUUCAUUAACAACUGGGCUCAUUGAACACAACUACAGCUGAAACAAACAUGGCCGCCGCAGGGACGGUUUUUGCUUAAUGUAGCUAGCUGCUUCGAGAUCCAGUUCAUCUGUUCUGGAACCAACUUCUGUUCGACUCAUUCAUGUCAUUUUACCACGAAUCAACAACGCAUUUCACAUGGCUGUGUUUGCUGUGAAUAAAAAUCUUCCUGCUUCAGUCAGCUCGCAUCCUGAUUGGCUGUCAUUUUGAAUAAACGUAUUAUUCAUAUAUCAACAGUCGUUAGCUUGUAUGUGUUUUGGCGAACAUCGUACCCCGCUCAUGUGCUGAAGUUACUCUCCUGAAAACAGGGACACAGCAGAACAUUCUCCCAUCAUGUAUCUCUGCUGUUUCAGGUGUGCGGCUGCGAAAGAUCCCGUCGCUCUGAACUUGCGGCGUCCACCUCCAGCUGAGUAACUCUCGUUGUGAGUAAGUGACCUCAUUAUAACUCUUUUAUUUGGAGAUUCGGGCGUCUUACACGUCAUUUCAUCAUUAAACAAUAAAUCAGACCAGAUGCACGAAGCCGAGUCUCCUCAUCGCAGAACCGUCCGGUGUUUUUGCCAAUCUGUUGCUGUGGUGACGGCCAUGAUGGUUAUGAUUUACAUUCGUUAUCUCCCUCGCCAACCCUCCUCCGUCUCCCUCCUGCUCUCAUGGUGGGCGGUGUGGUUAAUACUCGUUAUGUUCGUUACAUUCAUUACAUCUGACAGCAUAAAUAGGCUGCUGUUUUGUUCUCCUGUCUGAUUUUUUUCUCCUCUCUUUCUGUCGUUGACGGCCGGUCGCUCUCCCUCGUUCCUCCCCCUGCCUCCAGAUCAGGUUUUUUUUCCCUCCUCCCUCGUCUCUCUUGCCUCUCUCUCUCUCCACCUCACUGAUGGUUGGAGCAGAGAGUCUAUUCACCAGAGAGAUGAAGCAACAGCUUUCCAGUGCAGCCCCCCCUUCCUCUUCCUCCCUCCAUCCCUCCUCUCUAAACCCCACAGACACAUUAAUCCUUCGCUCAGGCUCAGUUUACAGACACAAUAGGCCUGAAGAAUUGGACUUGAGAUAAUUGUGUUGCUAUCCCAUUUCAUCUGGAAUGGAAUUGGGUGGUGCUCACCACAAAGCUUGGAGUACCCUGCACACACACACACACACACACACACACACACACACACACAUAGGGACGGAGUAGAUUCUGGCGAGCACAGCGCUGUAAUUAUUUCCCCUCUAUUCAUAAUCAUCAUCAUGAAAAUUCACCACCACAGGCCCCGAGUCCACACUCCUGGCCCCGCCGUGUCUGUUUGAUGUGUUGUCAUGACGAUAUGGCGGCAAUAUGGUGCCUGCUCGGUGCCCGUGUUGUUGCAGGGGACUGUGGGUAAUUAACGGCCGUGACAAUAUGGCCAAACACCUGCUCUGGCAAGACCCCGUCGGUCAUCUGGGUUGGCAACCCCUCGACCUCCUGACAAACGCCAGGAGGGAGGAAACGCUCGGGUGGAAAGUCGUUAAAGUAGGAGGAUGGUGGUGUUGGAAGUGCGAGCAGGUGGAGGAAAGAUCGGCAAUCAUCCGACGAGUUUGCACAUGUCGUGGUUCUGAAAUCACAGCGAGUGAACGUGUCGAAAACAUCAGCUCAAGAAUCACUUUAAAUGUUAGUUUGUGGUUUGAACAGCCUGAUCGUCAUGACGCAGGAAUAACCUCCAUCAGGACGACAGGGCGGAGAGUUGGAAACAUGAACAGUCAACUUGAAACUAAAACACAAAAAACACCUAUUGUAUGUCCGAUUGUUUGGAUUGUGUUGUUGAAAACUCCAAAACAGCGACUUUUCAAUAAUCCACCUCAACCAUAACGGGACUUUUAGCUGUUAACGUUUCUGUGUAAAACAGCACAACAAAGAAGAACAUAGUUAUGAAAGGUGAACAGACCUAAAGAUCUGAUUAUUCUGAGUAUUUCCAUCAUCACUCCUCCUCAACAAUCCAAGUCCACAUGUAGGAUAUUCACAGGCUCAGGUAUGUCUCGAUUUUAACCGGUGUAGGUACCAGAUGUGUUCGGGCUGCCAGAUCGACUCGGGGCCUGGCGCCUAUUGAAGACGUCACACUAUGGCAAGUCCACUCGGACAAACUACGUUGCGCUCCAUUUAAUAAGUCAAAUGUGUUCAGUUUAAAGCCCCUCGCGGUUUUCUUUAUUUCUGUUUGUUUAUUCAAUUGAAAUUUUCUCUCCAUAUAAUACAAAGAAUAAUAACUUAGUGCAUUGUAAUUUUUAGAUGGCUUUAAUUUUAAAUGUGAACUUUUCUGAAGGAAAAACAAAAAAAUGUACUCAGGAUCUCCGUUUAUUAACAGACAGUUUUGCUUUUAUUCCACAUUUUCUUUGGCGACCUAAAAGAGGCGAGAAGAAGAGAAGAAGAGAAGAAGAAGUCCUGUUUGAUAAGUAGCGAUAGAUUUCUUCGUAAAAUUCGUCCAUGUUUUCUCUGAAGAACUACAAUCCCAUGAAACCUAAUCUGGCGAAAAUCGCUUCCGUAACCACAAAUAGCGUGACGUCAUCAAUAGGUUUCAGCCCGAACACAUCUGGACCGGACUACCGUCCUCGUCCCAGUUUACGAACGCCAGUAAAGACUCAAAUUACCAAAACAAGUUCUGUAUGUCCACCUCCGCUACAGUAGGUGGCGACAUUUCCAAUUUCAGCUCAUUAUGUAUCUAAACAACCCACAAAAUGUGUUAGCUAGUGGCUAACAGGAGGUAUAAAAACACAGUCGCUGCUGCAGUCUAACAUGAACUAACCUGGAAUUCUGGCUAAAUAACAAGGUGAUUAAGCCAGAAAUAUUAUUAACUAAAUGUGUAAAUUAAACAUUAAAUUUAAUUAAAAAAUUAAAAAUAAUGAGGGUGUUGGAAAUGAUGGUUGGGUGUGACUUUUAAACCAAAGCUAGCGUUGACAUUUUCAAAUCCAAACCUUGACUUUUCCUCGAAGUUCGUCUUUACUGUGUCUAAACCUGAACAAACUACAACCAGUUCAUAACGUUAACCAGGUUCGUAUCAUUGCUGCUCGUCCCAGAUCUGCUGUUUCUCAGUCAGAUGUUUCUAGAAGUCUAACCUGAUGAGGAAACAUGUUUAUUUCUGUCUUUAAGUUAAACUGUGAAUUUCUCUGUCGUCAUGACUCACCUUGGGUCAUUGUCUGGUGUUUUUUGUAUCGGUUGUAUCGCUGCAGCUUUGGUGGAUGUGAGAGUUUAUUCGGUCCUUUGUUCUGUCGGUCUUACAGUCAUCUUCAAAGAUGUUGUGAAACUCAACAACAAUGGUGGAAAGAUGUUUGGGAACUUUCAAAAUCCUCAGUCCUUUCAGAAACUCUCAAACGCUGUUAUUUUCAACACAGUUCAUCUUUUUGCUGAUGAGCCACAAGCAAACUUUGGGUUAUAAUAAACCCUUCGACACACACACACACACACACACACACACAGCUGUGCACACACAGCUCUUCCUCCCUGCCUACGCAUGCUUCACCUUUUGUCCCAUUAUCUUUUGUUCCGCGUUUGAUCUGCUGAUUACAUAAUUGCCAUUGUGUAAUCUUCUUUUUAUAAAACUGACCUGCAUAAUCAGCCUGUCUUAGACGCUGUUUCUCCCAGACCUGAUGAAGCAAAAGGAACAUUAUGUAACCGCUAUUUUCCGCCACGGGUCACUGAAAUUCACUCUGAUUAGACUUUUAAUAUUUACAGAAAAACAGACAAAAAGACUGCCAUGACAACAAAGUGAGGAGAUGAAACAUGCAGACGAUGCUUCUGGAUCAUUGGUUUUUCGUCUCUUAAUGAGCUCAAGUUUUAAUAAGUUGAAGAGUUUGAGUUUAGUCCUCAUGUCAUUCUCGGCAGCUCGGUCUGGACCGGAUGCUCCUGGUGAAAAAAUGACAAUGAUAAGUGACGUGGCGGAUUUGUGAAUGGAUUUGUGCAGAAUGCAGCUGCACCUCAUGGAAGCACGGUUCAUAAUUCAACAACACAGAAUGAGGCAUCAGUCUGCAGGACGCUCUGCCUACAUAGAAGCCUAUGCAUCUAAUGUAGGACUGCAUUCCUGUGAUUGGUCUGCUUGGUAGUUUGACGCUUAUCAGCCACGAAAUUCACCUCACAAACACAUCCGGUAGGAAUUGGCGGAUGGCAAAAAUCGCUGCUGUUCCAUAGCGUACUGUAACCCUUACAUUGGUGUCAGCUAUCAUGGCUCAGAUGGACCCAGUCUUAAGUCUGAAGUGCAACCAGAUGCUUCGAUUGGAGUUUACAGGGUUUGUUCUGAGUUCGUUCCAUUAGCACCUGGACCUUAAAGGGAAUGAGACACACUCUGAUCAGUCUGGACACACUAACCCUAAAAGACCUUUAAAUGAUCAAGAUGGUUAACACAACCUCUUUGCACCAUGAGCUUCAUGUUGUGCAAAAUGGUGCGCCGCUUAACUAGCAAAACAGGUUUCUUCAGAUGGAGACAGACAAAUCAGAUUUAAAAAAAAGACAUGAACUCCAGAAAAACUCUGUGAACAUGGUUCAAAAUUAAAGUUAACAUUAACAUCAGAAUCUGUUGAACUCCACAGAAGAUUAAAUUACAAACACAGUAUAUCUCUAAAGACACACAGACUAAGAAACUACAUUUUCAUCCUGAUCAUUUGUUUUAUAAAAAAAGAAAUAAUAAUUAAUAUGAAGAAAACCUUUAUUUCUAACCUACUGUUUCCAUUUAUUAUUCACAGUCUGAUAGUCUGAUCUUCUUUCUUACAACUGCAUGACACAACUUCAUGAUACUAUCAAAUUUUUUAUCUCUUCUUUGUUUUUUUACCUUUCUGAAUAUUUACUCAAAACUCUAAAGAGGCCAGACUGAGAGAAGUGUACCCCACCUUCCUUUACCUCUCUAUGGAGGACCGACACUUGAUAUAAGGAGGGUCAGUUUUGUGAGAAGCAAUGCUGGAAAUGAUAUUUUCAAAUGUUCCAAAUUAAAGAUUAAUGUGAAUGAAUCCUCAUGAAUCAGUCCAGUUAGAAAAUAAAUCACAUGUAUCUUUGCUCAGCUCCACAUUUUCUCUCACACUGAGUUAUUUUCCCUCUCUUUUAUCUCCUCCUUAAACUCUCUCUGUCCUCCUUUAUAUUCCUCACCCUCCGCUCUCUUUACUUCUCCUCUCUCUCUCCUCUUCUCCUCCACCUCAGCUCUCCCCCGUCCCCCUCCUGCAGCCCUUCCCCCUCCGCCCUGUAGGGGUCACUGUGGCUCUUCCCCAGCCCCCCGGCUCCCUCGGUGUGGCUGCAGCCCCUGUAGUGAAACGCCUCGCAGGCAUCAUUUUCUUGGUCAAAGUAUAAAAUGUUUUCUUGUGCAUAAUGGAAGCUGGAGAAUAUUAACGGGGCAAAUAUCUGAUUUCAUGCAAAAGAAAAUAUCUGAUGUACGCAGAGGAAUAUUAAACAUGUCUGCCGGUAUUGUAGUUUUUUGAGCGAAACAAAAAAGCUUUUCAAUCCCACAGAGAGAGCGAGAGAGAGAGAGAGAGAGAGAGAGAGAGAGAGAGAGAGAGAGAGAGAGAGAGGAGGGAGCAGGUAGCAGAGCAGAUACUCAGCAUGUUCAACCACGGCACAGUACAGACUCGCUGUUAAAGGGCCAGUUCACCCAAAUAUGAAGAACAAGAACACUCUGAGUGAGAGUAUGAGGCUUUGCAGAUGGGUUUAGCGUUUGGGUUGCACAAUACAACUCUAAUAUACUAACAUACGAGAAGCAAUGAAAAGCAGCCUGAUUUAAGAAGACGUCAGGAGUCGAAAGAAGAGAAAAAAUCAAUCCAACCACGUGUGCAAUAAACGAUGCAACGUGACAAAAACACGUCCAAACUCGACUGAAAGUGAAAUCCAAAUAAGCAACCACAAAAUCCGAACAUUGACUCAGGAGGUUUCUGUAAAUUCUGACUCCUCCUCGCAGCUCAAACACAUAAACGAUGUUUCUUCAGCUUUAAAAUGAGCCACAGGUGGAUGAUUUAUCGAAUCCAGACUUGGGCAUUUUACGGCCCUUUGGAUGUCCCUGCCCGGCCCUUUGUGAGGUCCGUCAAACAAAUCAUCAAGGUGCUAUAAAAGUGCGUUGCUUUUAUUUUGAAAACCUAGCCGUUAUUUUAUUUCUGUUUGGACGCACAUGCGUACAUCCUAGAUCUGCAUUUGUGAACAGAGAAAAGUUUAAACAUCGACAAAACACACGUGGACGCCUCAUAGUUGCUAAGUCCGCUUAUUAUAAACGACUCAAGGCUUGUUUCUCUUGUUUCUCUCAGAAGUUGCUUGUAAAACUCGUGAGUCGCGCUUUUUUGGGCUUGAUUUCAACACGUAGUUGCUCAUAUCGGCCUGUUUUCCUGUAUGUGUGAGCUCUGUAUGUCUGUUUAAUUUGAAUGAUGCUAAAUGAGUUUCUAGAAACAUAUAUUUGAAUGGAUAAUGUAUAAAUUUAGAGUUUAACUAGUAAUAUUGAUUAGGCAGGUUACCGAUAGAUAUGAUCAUAUUGAUUAUUUCAGUUUGUGUUUCUUUUUUUUACAUGUUUUAUUUUUGCACAAAAGUUAAAAAGUACAUUUUUAUGAAGUGUUAAGAUGAUAUGAGGGUACUGUUGAUUCGUAAGUACUUCAGAGGACAGAGGAGCUUUAAGAUUCAUUUAGAGGAGUAGUUAAUAUUUCUACAUGUGAGGCAUCUAUAUGUUUGUAUCGAGGUUGGAUGUUGACAAAGCUGCAGCAUCUGUAAGGUUGGAUAAACGUCUACGUUGUCUGAAGUAAAGUUUUUAUCUUGUGUUUUUGUGUUUUUAUCGUCUGUAAAGAACAGCUGUCGAUCCUUUUCUUCUCUAACCAGCAGGUUAAGAUGAUUGAGGGGUCAGCGGUCAACGCUGGUGUCAAAUAAUCAAUAAAAUAAGUGAUUGGGAAGCAUGUCAAACACGAGCGGCGUGUGUUAAUAUGCAAAACAGAUCAGACUGAGUGCACACUCUUUUUUAGGCUUGGAGAGACGCGGUUAAAGCGUUAGAAGACUGUUUAUUCUUGGUGGAAAUUCAGACAAACUCAGCUGCAGACUCACACAGUUUUACCAAACAGAAACAAAACUGAGGAAUUAGUCAGCAGUCGAUCCAGAAAGAGACAAAAACACAGGAGCGAGUGCGGUCAUGUCUUCCUGUUGUGAAAGCACAAAGCGGUUUCUGUCGAGGUGUUUGUGUUCACGUUCAUAAACCACACAGACUCUGUUUUUUUAUCUUAAUCUGCAGCAUGAUGGCAAUGACCGCACACGUCUGCUGCAGCUCUGGUUCGGUGUUGAACACGGAGUCCUGAUGCACAACAACUAAUAAUAAACAUUAGCGCUAAUGAUGCUAACAACAGAGCGCUCAUUAAAACCUGAUGUCAGCGUCCUGCAGAUGAAAGAGAACGAAGGCAGGAAAACACAAAAUGGGAGAUAUUUAUGGAGCCGCAGAAAAUGUCUUUUGUCUGGUGGAGCGAACACACACACACACACACACACACACACACACACACACACACACACACACAGAUCUCCAUUUAUCCAUCUUUGUAUUCUUCAAAAAGCAGAAGUCAAAUCCAGCAGCCUCUGACUCACUGUGAUAUAUUCUACUGUUACACUGCUUGGAAGUGUGUGUGUGUUUGAGUGAUUAUGUGUUUGUGUGUGUGCAUGUGUGUGUGCAUGUGUUCAGUCAUUGACUCACUCUCAUAUGAACCCUACGUAUAUGAAGAACAUGUAGGCUGCACAGUGUGUCAGUUGUCAAACAUUAAUGAGACCGUGUUCAGCAGACUGAAUGCAGACACCGCUGAUUUAUUCAUCCCCUCAAGUUCUUGUUUUUAGCGUCUUGAGGGCAAUCCACACCGCAGGCAUAUUGUUAAGUAUUUCUGUAACAUUACAGACGUCUCCAGGAACAUAUAUUUUUUUCCUGAUAAUGCCGACAGAAUCAGUCCUCGCCCUCUCGGAAACCUGCGAGUCUUUUUUUUUUCUUCCAGCCUCUCUUUGCUCACUGAAGUGUAGCUUCCUGUGCAGCCGUUGUGAACAUGUGAGGUAAAUCUAUAUUUAUGGAUCAAGGGCCUCAUAUAGGCUUACGGAGCUGCAGUGGAUUAGGAGAGUAAAAUAAAUGACUGUUUUUUUUUUUCCUGGAAAUUUCAGACGUCAGUCAGACGAGCGAGAACGCUCUGUGCAGGCGUUAAAAACGUAAAGCAGUUUGUCCAAAUAUAGAAUACAACCUUUUCUGUGACGGUGGAUCUAAUUUACUGUUUAUACCUAAACCUACACGAAGAAAUUCACUAUAACAUGCGCUUUGAUUUGAACCUUAUAUAGAGCAGCUUGUAGAAAAGGUUAAAGCUAACUCCCCACCAAAAUAAAAUAAUAAAAAUAGUAAUAAAGGAUUUAAUUUAAUACCAGCGAGACAUGUCUAAAAAGUUGGGACAGAGAGAAAAAAGAAAGGACGUAAAGAGACAGAAACUUUCAAUCGGAUUAACAGAUAGUACAGAGCUGUCCUGUCCUGCUAGCCUCUUGCUAAUCCAUUUUUCUGACUGUUAACCAAGAAACAACCAAGCUGACUGAGAGUUUGUCGCCACCUACUGUAGCGGAGGCAGACAUGCUUGUCAAAAGUUAAACUUUAGCCUGGAGCAGGUAAAUUAAGAAAAGGAUAAACGUUGAUUGAAAUAAUCUAAACGAGCGUGCAGUGAAGUGCAUCUUAACUUUGCGUAAAUGAUAUAGACAGAAAAGUUGUUCAGUGUUCUCAAAGUUCAUUUGUUGUACGAUAUUGUAAAAAGCCCAGUUACUGAGGCUGACUUGCAUCAGAAAGGUUGAGUUCUUUUGACGAAAUAGAGUUAAAACUUUUUCCACUUUGUAAAAAACUGCGUGAGCAAAUAGUUCAACAAUUUCGACCUUAUUACUCAGUGCUCGAUGCAGAAACGACUGCAGAUUACAGAAACUUCUUGAGUCCAUGUUCAGAUUUUGUGGUUACUUGCCGUAUUGUUCAUGUGUUGUUGUCAUGUUGCAUCGUUUAUUUCCCCUUUUCUCUGCUGAUCACGACUUAUUUAUGAAAAACCUGCCCGGAUCAGUAUGUGACCUCCUUUUUUUGUCGUCAUGUGCACGGUUUUAGCCUCACUGUAGCUAGUUUGUACCUUUCUGUCUUAAAGUGUCGGUGUGUCUUUGAAUCGAGUUCCCCAAAAACAGAGAUGUCUAAGAUUUCAUCUUCUGAAGUCCAUAAAAAUCUGAAAAAUCUCUGCAAAAAAGGAACAAGACCCAAAAUUUAUACAGCAAAAAAAAGACAUGACUCCGUGUUUCAGGAGGAUCAUAUUUCAACGCAUGGAAACGGGCGGAGACGAACAAGUGGAAGGUUUUUAGACGUCAUUUCACCCCGAUGACACCAUGGAUGAGGAGAUGCUGAUUCUAGAAGUCUAGAAGUAGAUUUCCUCCUCUGGAAGGACACAAUCUACUGCUUAUAUAGUUAGCCUCUGUGGCUAAAGACAACUCGUUUUCGCACGAUUGCACUUGAAUCUGCAGGUUCUUGUGAGUUCUCACGAUUCCUGCUGUAGGUAAUCUGCCACAGAAUUCGCCUCAUAAUCUGAUCCAGUAGGAAUUGGCGUAAAAAUCGUGGCCGUUCUGGAUCAGAGCCGUUCCGGAUGCGGUGGAAAUCCUGGGUUAGACCGAGACAGCCAAAAUCUCAGCAUAGAAGUUUACAGGAAACCCACAAAUACUGCGUCUGCGUCUGCAAAUUGAGCCAACGUAGAGUCCAAGUCUGAGUCGAGUCCAAGUCUGAGUCGAGUCCUUAUUGUUUGAGUAUAAAUACCAACUUUAACUGUACCUCACAAAAACCUGAAGCUUUUUCAGCAAGGUGUUUCGAGAUGUCACAAGACCUGCUGUGAAGUGAGUCGGUCCUCUCAACGAUCGGAGCAGAGCCGCGAGUGCACUUUGAAGAACACACCACAUCGGAGAGAGUGCAUUUUGGUUUUUGAAUUGGAAAAAGAAAGAAGUCUCUAAAAGGUUUUUUUUCUUCAAGCAAAGAAAAGCAUUUUUUAGUCAGAGUCUGAGAUUACAGUGUGUUGCAUAUCUGUCAAAAUCUGCAAAAGAAGGUGCAUAAUUUGUCUUAAAACAUCGGAGGAGUCACUUCAUGAAGGUACGUUGUUGAGAAUAGUCCAGGAUGUGGUAGAAUUUGAGUAAGAUGACUCCUCCACUCUCUUAUUCUCGCUCUCCUGAGCCGCCCUCUUCCUCUUGAGCUAAACAGAGCAUUGUGGGUAAAGACUGUGCAGGUGGCGGUGGAGCGUCCUCGAGAGGCCGAGCCGGCUGUUCGAGUCCCUGAUUACAUGUUAACACUAAUUAAAGGAAGGAGAGAAAGAGGAAGGACAAUCUGUACGGUAAUCAUUAGCAAAACGAUGGGACCAGACGACCACAUGACCCGUUUGGACUAAAGUAACCCCACUUCCUCCGUUAUAGGGGACGUGAACGCAACACGAAUUCACCCAAAAUACCACUCUUUACUACCAGCAGUUUGGAGUUGACUGAGGUGUAAACGUGCGAGAGAAAAUCCAUCCCCAUCAGCUUCAUCUUGAUAUUACAGUCGUUUCAAAACUAGAAAUCGACUUUGUGCCGUUUCAGCAGGACUACCGUGAUCGCAGGAAUUUUAGAAGUCCAUUUGAAGUCCUGGUUGACAAUCUGAGAAGCAGUUGAGGCAGAUUUGAAAAAAGCAUCCCACCCCCCACAUUCCACGAUAAACCCACCUCGAACCUGCAUCUCCCUCCCCACGACACACCCCCUCUGACAGAGCAAGAAGCCGGCCUGCAGAAGAUCCUACGCUAGCUUCAAACAGGAUUCACCAUGUCGGAUUGUUAGUGACUAGCGGCAGUAAACGCCAGCUCUGCUAGCGAGCGCCGUCUGCAGCUGCCUGGACAGCUACCGUGUUGACAUUGACUCCGCCCUUUCUUCUGUCAGCUUGCGUUUUCUUCCCACUUUUGGCGGUGGGGCGGGCAAAAGUGUUAGCUCCUGUAGCUAAGCUGCUAUGCUACUUUUAGCCGCUCAGAGCUCCGAGGAGGGCCGGGAGAGUGGGAGGGGACGAGUCGGAACUACGGGAGAGGGGUGUGUCAAAUACAGCGAGGUGAUUGGAUGGAGAGGCAGAGCAGGAGAUUGACCAAUAGGAGCUGUCCAGGAUGGAUGGCUCCCAUUGGUCAGUGUUUUUGCAGCCCUGCACCUGAUAGGAUGAACGGAUUUUUUCUGUUCUUUUUUCUGUUCACUUCGUGGAGAUCGCACUACAGGACCAUGAUCGCCAUAGAAACGAUUACCAAUCUCUCCAAUCAUCAACCACGCCUUUAAGUUCACCUAAUCAAAGGACUUGAUUUUAAAUUAAUGGUGCAGUGAAGGUUUUGUUUCAAGGUGGGACCAAGUACUUCAAACCAAGAGCCGAGGACCUGUUUCAGUUUGGUCAGUUGGGUCUGAAAUGAUGAAGAAAACAGUCUCUUUAAAUGGCGAUGAGGCGUUUUUCACUCCUUUAUAAACAAACAACCCCAACAGGAUAAUCACAUGAAAGAAAACCAGGACAACAUGAGGAGACUGAUGUGACAUUUACAGAGGCAGGUUUGGUGAGACCAUUACCAAAAUAGAAAACAGUACUUUUCUCUUUUCUUGGACAGGCUCUAAAUGCAAUCUCUGAAAUCAAACAUUUUUGAGAGGGACGGCGGUUGCAUCCGGAAUUUACGGUCACUCAGACAAAACCGGCUCAAAAAAUUGGACCACUUUUGAUGGGUCUAUUGAGAAUAAGGUCAGUCACUUUAAAACUGCGAAGACCUCUUCUCAGAAACAUUUGAGUAAAAUUACCAACAAAUGGUUUGACUUCAUGUUUCCAUCUUCAGAGAGCUGACUCAAGAAACCAUCGACGAUGAUGGGACGUGUUAGGAGUGGCGAUUUCUCGAAAGUAUCCGACUCCAAUGUCAUUUCUCAGGUUUUCGAGACUGUUUGUUUUAACCGAGUAAAAACAGCGUGAUUUCCAGAAGUAGAACAAGAGUAUGUUAAAUUUCAACAAGAGUCAAGUGAUCAUCCAGGUCAGAUCAUCUCUCUGUACAAACCGUCUCUGGGUUUAAUGCGAUCCAUCCUCGCACGGCCGCCUCUUCCUGCCUCUCUGACACGUCUGCUAAAAAGCAUGCACAGGCUGAAACAUUUCAGGGGUGGGGGGGGGGGUUUAUGUGAUUUCACAGGGUCUUUGUGCAUUCGCCCUCGCCAACGAAAGCCUCAAAAAACAGCUUUAAAAACGCAGCGCUGAGCUCCAAACGAGCUCCGAGUGGGAGGACGAGCAAGCAAAGGUGGGAAACAAUCCGCUUCCGCUCGGAGAAAUUACCACUUCACCGUGAAAACAUGCGGCUCUGGAGCCCAGUGCUGAUAAAAAAAAAAAAAGAAAUAAAUGAGAAGCAGCACUCCUCCUCCUCCUCCUCCUCCUCCUCCACCUCCUCUCCUGUUCAUUUACUCUCUCCAGGCGGAGAGUUUAUCAUCAGCCGUCCACAAAAACAUCAGUCAUGUUAAAGCGUGCUGGUAUUUCACCUUUAUGGCCGUAGCUGAGGUUCACUGUGAUAAAAAAAAAAGAGAAGAAAAAAGUGAAUUUUUCCAUUUGAUGUGUUUUUGUAGCCUGCAGCUGCUUUCAAGCCAAACACUUGAACAGGAAAUUAAAGCAAAUAUCAGCCCACGAAAAGGUCGAGGGACGUUAUAACGUAAGAGUUCAGAGUAAAUAAAGAGUUUUAAUUUCACCCUGAGCGCUGGAACGUCACAUCGCAUCGACGGUGUCAUCGUCAUCGACCGAAAUCUCUCCAAACGAAAUAUUCAGAUCAUAUUAACACAACAAUAGUGCAGGUUACAGCGAGUGAGCUUUAAAUGUUGGAGUCAGAAUCAGUGGGUGAAGUUGAUGCCGUGCCAGCUGGAGGUGAGGCUAAAAUACGCUUCAUCAUCCAUAAUGUAACAGUUCGCACUAAGCGUAGAUGUAUCAGGUUAGGUGAGAGUCGACGAAUCGCUCUGUAGUGCUGCUGUCUUAUUAUUGAGCUCAACCAGCAGAUCUGGUCUGUGGACUCCUCGGCUGGACCUCCCCCUCAAAUGUAGGAACACCAAAUCCAUCGACGUUAAACACACUGGAUUUACGCCUAAGGACUUCAGAUUUGGAGCAGCUAUUGUCAGACUUCGAGGCCCCAGAGCUCGCCACAUGUCCACGACACAAACAGUCCAAAAGUCCCAGACCUGAUCCUUUUGGUGCAGUUUACGUCACUAAAGGAUUUCAAUUUUAGGAUCACAAAGACCAACGAAAAAGACUGAUUGACAUGGGCAGGACAUACAUGAACGGUGGGAGUAGUGAAGAUACACAACAGUGGAAACUAUAACUAUAACCUCUCAUGUGUCUUUUUCACUUCCCUCGAUUCUAGACGGUAAUGUCACAUAAAUUUGGUUUUGUAAAGUCAAGUUUAUUCAAAUACAAAAAGUCAAUCAUAGUUGAAGUUGAUGCAGUUUAGAGACUAAUGAAAUAAUAAAAACCUGAUUUGAUCUGCUCUUUUCCAACCGUCUUUCUGUGCAGUGGGAUCUAGAUCUUCUUUACCUCCUGCUGACAACGCCAAAACUCUUCCGAGCUGAACAGGUCACAUUAGUUAUUUCCACUUUUAAUGGAGACGUCUGAACAAACUGUCUGAAAAACCACAAGUUUUUAAUCCCUGGACUGUUUUAAACCUGGGAAACUGAGCUGGUCACACAUCUGUGAUUCUGUUAUCUAAUUAGGACGAUCGUUAAAUUAACUUUCUGUGUUUUUCAGAGUUUCACCGUGGUUACAGGAGAAUUUGUGAAAAGUUAGUUCUGUCAGUUUGUCGUUGACUGACUCACAGUCCAGUUGUAUCUGACUUUUUUAACAGAUUUUAACACAAGAUAAACUGUUGGCAAAAGUCGAGGUCUUUGUUGUCGCAGUAAGACUUCUUCUGGACCCGCCUCUUGAGCCCACGGUGGUGAAAUAUUCGGAGUCAGUCGGUCUGGAGCGUUUCAUGACACACUGAUGAGUUUCGAGGUCUCUAAGCGACUCCUAAACCUGAUCAUUAUGGCUCUCUUUAGGUCCGGGUCUGGUUCAACACCAAUUGGAGGUUUUUCCCACUCCACCCACUCCUCAGAGCUUCGUCUUUCUACGCCUCCAAACUGAGCGAACUGUUUGCUGAAUUGUCAUCAUGAGAAUUUCCCGACUCUAAUCUGUUUUUUAAUGACCGAUCAUUCACGCCAUUCUUAAAUAAGGAGAUCAGACCUGACGUCUUUUCGGUAUUCGGUAUCAGUUUUAUCCCGAACCCUGAACCUAAAACAGGAACUUUCUCACACAUUUGGCUUUUAAACAGACCCAGAAGACCUCUGUUAACCUCAGUCCUGCUAAAUAUCAGAGCAUCAACCUGCCCAGGUGAGAUCUACGGUUAUGUAAUAUUUCAGAUCUCUAUCACAGCUGUUUUUUUUUGUGCUUUUUGAAGACUUGGAUAAAGACGCCGGCCCUGGUAUUCCCUGUAUUCAUAGAUUAGAUUUAUGUUCCCAGUGGCUGAAACUCUGACAUCCUUUUCUGGAUGAAUCCAUGAAAACAUUUCCAAGCUAAUCAUGAGCUCGGCCGGUCCAUCGAGUGUUGUCACACUGCGAGCUAUUGAGCCUUCAACCCUUUUAACACCCGAGCUGAAAGAAAACCAGGGGUGGGGAUCAAACCUGCGGCCUGCUGGGUUCAGACACUCUUCCUCUCCCUGAGCCUGAACAUUUAUGAACAUCAGAGGAGCCCUCAUCGACCCCGGAGGAGGAGGCUGGAAAUGAGUCAAAGAAGACAGAGAAGGGAGGACGGAGCGCAGGAGGGUCUCGAACAGGGCGUGACGAACACAGAGGCAGAGGAAAGCAGUCAGUCAGUUAAUAAACAGGCAGGAAACCGUCGUGUCGGGCUUUUAAUCGGUCAGUCAGUGAAGCAGAGGAUCGAUGGAGCAGUCGCUCUGUUGCUGACUGGUUACUGACUGGAUGUUGUGAAGCUCAGCAGGUCGAUCUCUGCAAUCGAUGCCGAAAACAAGCAGAGACACAACCUGCUGUGUGCGAGUCUGUGUCUGUGUGUGUGUGUGUGUGUGUGUGUAGGAGAAAAGCUUUUUGUCUUUGAACACCAAACAAACUAAACUGCACACACAGGUACAAGGAAAGGAUUGUCUCUGGAAACUAUUUCAUAAAAUACAGUUUAUGGAUCAUUUCUGGUGUUGGUCUGCAGCGCUGAGAACCGUCUAUAACCACAGCCUGCCGAGAAAAAAACAACAAAUUAAAAUAAAAAGUGCCUCUUCAACCAGAAGGUAAGAACCAGCAAAACAACAAAGACUGAAUCAUUUUAAAGAAGUUCAGACCGCACCUUUUGGACAGUAGUGUCUUAAUCCAUCACACAGCUCAUCCCUUUAAGGGUUUUCUCCAUUUUUUCUCUAUAGUGAUGUAAAUUUUGACCUCUUAAGUUUAAAAAAGGAAGUGUGAGACUGGAAGACCAACCUGGGCUGAGUCCAAAACCAGUCGCUCACUUUAUAGUGUCAAUCAGACCGUUAGAGUCCAGAACUGAGUCCAGAAUCUGGACUUUGGUGUUUUUAGUUUGAGGUCGGACAGAAAUCUUAACUUUUCUGGCUUAUGCAGAUGUAGCUAGAUGUGUCGUAUCGAGCUUUCGGAACAGCAGUGUUAGCUACGAUGAUGGUUGGGCUUCUGGAUGUUCUGCUAACGUAACAUCACAGCAGUCUGAAACGAUCAAAGAGAUGAAGGUGAGGUGUCUCAUCCUUAUGAACAGUUUCGUGCCUCAGAGAAAUCUUACACCGGCUACACUCACAAUAAGCGUGCGUAAUGUUGUGUUGACUUUAGAUGCUUUUAAAUGAUCAACCUGUGUAAUUUGUGGGUAUUCGAACACCUGGAUGUUCUGUGUGUAUUUGUAAAGACUUAUUGCUCCGUUUCUGCGCCACAAUCCAGCCGACGGGAGUUUCCAAACAUGGAAAUUAAUGCAACAAAGUUCAGGGUCUUCACGCCAUUUCAGUCUGUUUACAUCAAACAUGGUCGAGGUCUCUUCGCCUCGAGGAUUUGUUGUGUUUUCAAAUUUUUUACGAAAUAACCGAACCUCCUCGCUUACUCUUUUCCCCUAACUCCUGUUUCUACGAUAAAUACACGUUAAAACGUACAGUUCAGUCAGCGUAGAAGAUUUGCUUGCUCUAUUCCCAUGUCAGAAUCGAGUCGACGGGAGUUCCCAAACACUUGAAUUCAUGUAAGAAAGUUUGGGGUCUCUUCACGCCAUUUCAGUCUGUUUACAUCGAACAUGGUCGAGGUCUCUUCGCCGUGAGGAUUUGUUGUGUUUUCACUUUUUUUUACGAAUUAAUCAAACCUCCUCGCACACUUUUUUUCCUGACUCCAGUUUCUAUGAUAAAAACAAGUAAAAUGUAAAGUUUAGUUCGCCGUGCAGCAUCAGCAUCAGUUUGUCCUCCAUUUUUCAGAUGAAUGGACCUCCACCAAGUAUCUCAAUAUUUAUUAACAACCAUCGCAUGUUUGAUUAGCUUCAGUUCAGGUUUAUAAACUCACAAAAUCCUGAUUCAAAUGAGCGAGGAACUUUACGAUCAAACUCUCUCCAAAGUAAGCGGAGAAACUUUCAGUGUGAGUCCUGUUUGACACUGAAAUAUUAUUUUUAAUCUCGAUUAUCCAAACAGUUUUUACCAAAAUACCCUCAGAGAAAAGGAGAUCCUAAGUGCUCGCUUUGAUUGGUUGAUUUCAUGACCACCCCUCAACACUCCGCGUCUAAAAAAUUAAUGAAUUCAAUUCAGAGCGAAAACAAACAAGAGGGCCGACCUCGGAGUCCUCGGGGGGCGCCGGAGAAGUAAAUAAAUGUGCCAGUUAACAAAAAGAGGCCUGGUGCUCUUCAGUCUGACAAAGAAAGGCAGAAGGUUUGUGAAGCUCGUCUGCACUCAGUUUGCCAACAGUGAAGUGUUGUCUCUUUUCCCUCUCCAGCCUUCAUCAUCCUCUCCCCAUUCAGCACCACACCUCGCUGUGAGGAGACUCAUUCCCCUCGUCCCCCGCUGCCUGCAAAAAUUGGCCCAGGGGACUAACAGAGGAGGAGGAGGAGGAGGAGGUGCGUAGGAGAGAGUGGAGAAGAGCUUUUGACACACAAAGAUCCAGUUCAGAAGAAACCGUCCUCUGGAGGAGAGUCAGAGCGUCCGCUGGUUUCACGUCUGUUAUCCUGAUGAUGAAUGUCGCCCCGUGACGUCUACGAUAAAGACUCUGUGAAACACAUUCAUCCACAUAAAACACCGAACAGAAAAACCUUUACUAUGACGAGUCCCUCUGGACGAAGUCGUGACACGAUCAAAAUAAACAUGAAGUCGUGUUCCUCUUUCAUUGAGUUUAUUAGGAUUAGGAUUAGGAUUAUCUGUAUUUCUCAGCCAAGUAUUUCUCUCACAACUGGGAUUACAGUUUAUAUCUAGGGUGACCAAAUUCUGAAUCCCCCAAAAGAGGGCGAGAUUACGUGGGGGCAGAGUCUCAGGGUCAUGCGUUGUAAACUUUGAGAGUUUUUUAGGUCAGGUCGAGUGUUUUUUUUAUGUGCUUCUAACUCAAAACUUCUGGACAUACCCGGGUAAAAGAGGACGUACGGUCACCCUAAUAUAUCCCGCCUGGCCUGGAAACACCUCGGGAUCCUGGAGGAGGACCUGGAAAGUGUUGCCGGGGCAACAGGUCUGGAUCAACUUACUUAGAAGAAAAUGGAUAAACGUCAACAUCAGUCAGUUUUAGUGAUGGGAACUACGGCUCUUUUUAGAUCAUUCGGCUCAGCUCACCAAGAAGAAUCGUCUCUUUCGGCUCCCAAACGGCUCUUCAUUUUAUCACUUAUACGUUUUCUAAUCCAGUAUAAUCUAGCGUUGUUUGGCCUCUCAUAUGUACGUAUGUGUUACAUCCUUUGUACUGAAGUAUUCACAAUGAAAAUGACAUUUGCUAAUAUCAGUAAAUUGCUGAAGCCAAAUGUUUUCAUUGUAUUUACAGACCCUUGUAACUCUGAAUCCACCCAAUGAAUACACCGACUUGCUCGUAGAACCAUUCAGCUACAUAAAGCAGAUAGAAAUCCCGUCAUUCUGAGAGAAAUAAAAAGAUAGAAAUCCCGUCAUUCACGUUAAAGAGCUGGCUCUUUGAACCGGUUCGUUUGCGACCGACACAUCACUAAUCAGUACGUUGUUUCGUCUUUGCAGUCGUUAAAGUACGAACAAUUCAAACUUCACCAUCUUGAGCUCCACAUGGUUCACAAAUGUGAUGACAGCAUCAAAUCGAAGUGUAAAGUCCAUCUGUGUCAUACACCAUUUCUGAUUUGCGUUGCUUUUAAAGUUGCAUAGUGUAUCUUUAAGUUUUUGCUAUUUUUAAUAUCACUAAAGCUGUUAUCCUCUCUUCCCUUUAAUCAGACUACUUUAAUGUACUAAAUGGAAAAAAAAAAAACAAUAAUCUGUUUUCUAAAAUGAUUUAUUUCCUUCUGGGCAGAGGACUAUUUUCACUAAACUCUGACCAUCUGCUGAAUGAAAAAUCCUCUUCAGAAAGCAGGACAUGGAGCGCUGAUCACUUCCAGUCGAUUUAAAUAUUAUCACAGCAGACGUUCAGUCACUCUAAACAUUAAAUAAACGUAACUGGAAAGGAUAUCAUCAGGUUUCUGUGUCAUUUUACCUGCGAUCACUUGAAUUCCUCCCACAAAUACAGCUUUACAUGUCUGUUAAACAACAACACACCAACCUGGCAGCUCUGUAAAUGACUGACCAGCGGGCGAGGAAAUCGAUCCGGAGAUCUAAGGUGGUGCGGUCCACGUGAGCAACUUCAACCGGAGCCAAUCUGAGACACUUAGGAAACACAGUCAGAGAGAGAGAGAAAACACAGAGACACUCCAAUCUACUCUGCUGCGCUCGGUCGCCCGAUUGAUCAAUGACUCAGAACUGAUCAGAGGAAACUCGCCCUAUUGGACUGAUCUCCACUGAAUCAAAGUUCUCGCUUGGACGUGGGUCGGGACCCUCACAGGGGUGUCUCAGCGUGAGCCAGCACCAACACACAAACAUAAACACACACUCCUCUUCCUCAGGGGGAUGAAAAAUAUCCCACGUCAGCCGGUGGAGAAGGCUGAGCUGGAAGACCAGGAUCCAGGGUCAGGAGAGGUGAACGCUGAUCUCUGUCUCAGCUCAAUCCAGAGGGAUAGACCAGGUACCGGAAACCGGGGCUCUGUUUCUGUGUUUGGAGUGGAUUCAAAGUCCUGUAACUACGCCAAAGUCUGUCCAUGAAAGUUCUUCUUCCUGUCAGGGACAGAUUCAGAUUAUUGUUCUUUAGUGUCUGAAAACUUUAGACGCAGGAUCAUCACAGAGACGAACCUUCAAGUCAGGGAGCGUAGAGUUUUAUCCACAUCAGAAAUAAGUGUUUCUGAGACAGGCACAUUUUCUACACAGUUAAUAGAAACUUCUGUCACUGGUUUUUACCUGUUAUUCUUUGAAUUUUUAUUCUCAAGACUUAUCAGGACCAUAAAUGAUGCUUUAAGUUUCUAAUGAUCAGGGAGCAGGUCUCAGGAUUUCGCUCCAGAGUGUCUUGUUUCUUUAGUAAAGUUUAAACAGGUGUCCCAAUGGAAUUACUAACCCUAAAAAACUCUUUGUUUACUUUUUAAAUGAGGCUCUAUGUAAACUGACCCAGAUUUGACGAUGGCCUCAAGUGGACACUUAAGGGAACUGCAGCUUUUGGGACUUAAAUAUGACUAGGCCUGGAGUUUGAAGUUUUUUUCUUAAGUUACACAAUUAUUAUUAUUAUUAUUAUUAUUAUUAUUAUUAUUAUUAUUUUUAUUUUUUUACUAUUAUUACCAUUUUACCAUUUUUACCACUAUUUUAAGUAUUCUUAUUGCUAUUAUAUUAUUUUAUUACUACUAUUAUUAUUGUUAUUUAUAUUUUUUAUUUUUUUACUAUUAUUACUAUUUUACUGCUAUUAUUUUUAUUCCAAUUUUUAUUUUUGUAACUAUUAUUAUUAUUAUUAUUAUUAUUAUUAUUUGUUUUAAUUUUUAUAUUUAUUUAUAUUUUAUUUUUUUGUAUUAUUAUUGCUUCUUUUUUCUUCUUCCCACUUUAGUUGUGGGGCAAUUAAGUUCAGAAAUUGCUCUUUUUUUUUCUUUAAACCAUGUUAUUUUAUUUCCUAAAGUGUCCGAAGACUUCAGUUUGACAGUACCGGAGUGUUGGCCCUGAAAAACAGUGUCAAAGUGUCUUGUUCUCAACAUUAAGACCUUCUUCUGUUUGGAUCCUGUAUGUAAAUCUGUGUGAGUCUUUGUUUAUGACACAUGCACAUGUCCUCUGUCAGCUGUUUGUAUGUUACCACACUGUCGGAGACAUCGACUCUGCGUUAGUUGCGUUAACUGUCAGCUCCGGCUGAAGUUUUCAGACUUUCCUGCUGAUGAGUCGGCGUUGUUUUGUUUGUGCUUGUGAUUGACAGAGGGUAAAAAACUGCUGUAAGAGCAGGAAAUAAAGUCCUCUAACAUCAUUUUAGUCUGUCUGACUUCUAACGUGCAGAACUGAAUAUGCCUGAGAGGUUUUAAAAACGUCCCCCUCGACCUCCGAGCAGGUAAAAACUGAAAACUGAAACAUAGAAAAUGACGCCGGGAGUGUCUGUUUAAUUGGCUGCGGAUCACAGAUCUGCAAUCACCAUCCAUCUGCUCCAUCUGAUCUCUGUUCACUUCAAGCACACACACACACACACACACACACACACACACACACACACACACACACACUCUCUGUUGGAGUUCAUUAAAAUAUUUUGAGGGUUUCGUGGUCACACAUUAACAACACAAUGCAUCUGUGUAAGUCAGGACUUAACCAUCCUCCUUAUUAAGUCGCACACUGAAGAGAUGACACACACACACACACACACACACACACACACACACACACACACACACACACACACACACACACCAGGUGUUCAGAGUAAAAAACACUGCAGCCUCUAUUUCUUCCUGCAGUUUGAACCUACAGCAACUAUCAGUGUUUUUAAAGUGAUUCUGAGUCCAUGCGGUGAUUUCCACUAUAGAGUCACGUCUGUUUUAAUGCAGCGUUACCUGAGGUCCAGCAGAUCACCUGUCCAGUAUCAGUUAAAUAAUGAAAUCCUCACAUUUUCUGUCAUUUCAGACUCAGGGAUGUUAUCUUUGACAGAUUCGUCUCUCUCUCUGGACGCCAUUUUUCUAACCUCUUACAAAUUAACCUCAUAAGUCAGGAGUUGUGCAUCAGUUUACCAAAUCAACAACGAUAAAUAUCAGUUUUAACAUUCAAUAUGGCGUCUUUUCACCAUUUUCAGUCAUUUUCACUCAAAGGAUUUCAGGACGAUCAGAUUCAUCCUGGUGAAAAGACAGUAAAAUAACGUCCGAGUCGACGGUGGAUUAGAGUCUGUAAAAAUAAAGAAAUACUGGAUGAAGUUUGUUCCAGAGAGUCAGACUGCAGACUUUGCUUACCUUGAGUACAGCUGGUAUGUACAGGAUGAAGAUGAGAACAGCUGCUCUGUAAAUGCAGCUCUCUGUUUUCCUGUCUGGUCUCUGAUGCGUCUGAUAAACUUGUCCAUCCUCCAUUUCUGUGAAGAAGUUGGAGUUUGAUAUUCUGCGGUCGCCUCUCUGUGUGGAUUCAGUUUUAAAGUCACAUGUUUCACUUCCUCUUUGUCUCCUUUAUCUCCUCCACGUUGAGGAUUUGUCCGUCUAAAUCCUCGGACCGCUCCGACUCUCUUUCAGCUCCCCCCCUCUCCUCUUUAUCCCAUCCCCAAUCUUCCUGAUAUCUCCCCCGCUCUGACCUCUGACCUUUAACCUCGCACCGUACGCUGUGAAACUUCUCUCAGUCUAGACAGAGAAUCACAGCGACUAUCAAGUUCUCUCCGACUAAAUCUUUUUCAGCUCCUCUGAGAAACAGAGGCGAAGAAGUCGGACGAGACGGAGCCGAAAGAGUCAGAGUUUUCCUUUUUUUUUUUAACAUUGAAAUUCUCAGACUGAGAAAAAGCUCUUCAAAGUGUUCACAACAACCCUAUCAUCACUUCAGAGGAGGAGAAGAAGAAUCUCCAUCUCAAGCAGGCGUUUGCUCAGGCUGAUAACUUCGAUCUGACAGUGUUUUCUUAAAACAAGAGGGAAAAUAAAAGCGGCGCGUUGGGAGAUUGUUUCACUUCUUUCCAAUGCAAAUCCACUCUUUUCAAAUAUUUCUGAGGAUAAUGAGUCAUUAUCUCAUUUCCUCUGUUCAUUUUGUUUCCAGCUUUAAUAUUGUGACAUUUAAUUCUUGCAAAGUCUUAAAGCAGCAUCAGAUAAAAGCAGAUUUAUCUCGUACACUGGCUGUGUUUUCUUAUUUUAAUCUUUUGAGCCUCGGUUUUUCCCCCUCGGGUUUCACUUUGAGCGUCUGAAAAAUUCACAAGAAGCAUCGUCUGAAAGUGUCACGUUUUAUCUCGAUCUGUUUGUUCCAUUUUUCUUCCUGUCGUUAUUUCGUGGCAUCAUUAUGUAUAUUUUUCAGUUUCUAACUUUUCUUUACUCGUGUGUGUGUGUGUGUGCAAACUGAACAGCUCAGAGAAAACAGAGGAGGGUGUUGAUGACAAAUGUGUGUCAGACACAGUUCAUGGUUUGGUUUGGAGAGAAUCUGAAUUUCUUGCAGAAAACUCACAGUCUUUCUGGAUCCAUUUAGGCCGAAGUUGAGUUCAUGAGGAGAUGAUCAUCGACUGGAGCUUGUCUGAAUGAGACAAUCGAAUCCCAACACGUUAUCCAGGUGUGUCAGUCCAACUAUGAACAGGUCAGUCUUAGGUCCGGAUGUGCAGAUCCUGACGGUUUCAGGUGAAGAGGAGGACGGCAGCCCUGCAGCAGCAGCAGACGGUCAAAGUUCUGCAGGUACUUUGACUUGAUUUGAUGCACAAUGAAGAUGUUCUCAAUAUCAAACAGAAUAAUUGGCUGUAACAGAGUCCUGUGGCUGGUUUGCUUUGGUGUCACUCUCAAACUAACAUCAUAGACUCAGCUUCACCAAGAGUCCCUUGGUGUGUUGGGUGAUUUUGGGGUCUCUACAGUAUGACAGUGGAGUUAUUGACUUUUGUUUGCAGCGUCUUGCUCUUUUAGCGUAAUUUGCAGAAUGGCUUGUUCUUGUAAUUCUUGGGAUUCUUGUAGCUGGUAGUCUGCACUAUUACGAUAUGAAAGAGGCAUCAUUUGUGUUUAGACAACGUUUUGUCUUAGAGUUGUUGAUCCUGGAAGUCCGAAUCUGUGAAAAUCUUUCUAGCUUUACCGCUUUUACCACUGCUGUCAUUUAUAAGCUUUCCGGUGCACGACACACAAAAAUGAGCACCUGGCUCUUUCAGUUUUCAGCGCUAGCUACCGUAAGGCUUUCCAUCUUUUUCAGCCUCCUCCACCGAAGCCCAGCUUCCAAUAUCGCCGUUUCUUCUCAAGCAUUGAUGUACCUGACAUCCAUCGUUUCAAAUUUUCCAUUCGCUACUCACUAAUGUGUCUUUUUCUUCUUCUUCGUCUUCUCCAGCAGGAUGUAUGCUAUCCAGCGUAAUGCUGUCCUCUACUGGUCAUAUUCAGAUCUAACUGACUAGGGUUUUUUUUUUUUUUUUGACAUUUUUUUAGGGAAAAAAUCCCAAGCCGGAUAUUUGGCACCGUGCCGAAGGUCUUCAAGCCCUGCCCUUGUGACUCUGUUCUUGCAGUCUACAGAAACAGACUUCUGUGCUGCAACUGCCGUGUCUUGCUCACACCUUCGCCAUUUAGAAGGGAGAAAAAUCGCAUCUGAGUGGAAAUUUUUGGGGGGGGCAGAACAAACAUCUUGGGAGGGGUCACCAACCGGGAGGGGAUGAGUUAUCGCCAUCGAUGAGGUCAUGGAUGGCGAGAGUUUCAAUCCGCCCGUCUAGGCAGACAUUUUCUGAAAGUUGGAACAAGCAAGAAAAAAAGAGGAUCGAAUUUUCUGAUUUAUGGGGCGGUUUGUAGACAUGCAGGGGAUGCAGGAUACUGUUAGAAAACCAAGUGAAUUUUGUAUAAUAUGGGCCCUUAAACACAGAAACACCUCCUCCACAGCCAGUUUUAGUUCACUUAAUAAGUCAGAUAUCCUACAAGCAUCAAAAACCCGAGACAAAUAGGAAGUGGAAUUUGUUUGGAGCUUCCUCACAGUUGGAUCUGACUCACCUGUCCAAUCAGAAAACCUUCAUGUGGCUCAAUUCUUACAGCGAAUCAAAAACAACCUGUUUUAUUAUUAUUAUUUUUACAGUCUUACCUGAAUGUUAAAUUGGCUCUGAACUAUUCAAACCAAAAAAAACUGAAGUCACAUCGGAGGAUUCACACUCGGAUUUCUUCCAAUCGUUGGUGUGUUGAAGGAAUUUCACAUCUUAUUUGAAAUAAUCCCAACCUGUAUGAGCAGCGGCCCAGUAAUCCAGUAAACUCUCCAUCCACACACACACACACACACACACACACACACACCACCUCCACCCGAAUCUCCUCUCACACCAACACACACACUCAUACACACACCCAUAAUAACACACCAGCAUUGCUAAGCCUGGCCGUGAAAUGGGAUUCUCAGGGAUGAGAGCUGCUCUUUGUGAUCACAGAGGGGGAUCUGCCACACACACACACACACACACACACACACACACACACACACACACACACUGGUUCUGUGUGAGUGUGCGUGUGUGUCUCUUUAUGUUGAGAAACACACAAACAAACACACACACACACACACACACAUCCGAAAAAUGAGACAAACACUUCUUUUUUCUCUGAAGGCUCUCUGGAAUGGAUGUUGUGGGACUCUACUGUUUCUAUGGCAACUGCAGCCCAUUUACUCCCCAUGGUUUGAAUGUGUGUGUGAGUGUGUGUGCGCUCUUGCACUGCGCGCGCACAUGCCCUCAACACUGUGAUUUAUUCAGACACACAUUCUUCAUACAUAUGCUUCUUUUCUGUUUGAAUGCAUAUUAUUUUUGUCCGUGUGUGUGUGUGUGUGUGUGUGUGUGUGUGUGUGUGUGUGUGUGUGUGUGUGUGUGUGUGUGUGUGUGUGUCAGCAGCAGCUGACCCGCUCUGAUGGAUGGGAGUCACGGUGUCGCCGGUGGCUGAUGAUCAGAAACAAGCAGAGCCAGCAUGGCGGCAUCUGCUGUCCCCCGUCUCUCUUUCUCUGGAGGAACAAAUGUAAACAAACGUGUUUCUGAUCUGAACGUUUAGAUGCAGCGGACGAAUCUGUACAUGUGCAUGACUCAGGAAUUAGCAGCAGAGAUGAUUUGGAAAUUAGCAAAUUGGCCUGGAUUAGAAUCUGAAGUCUCGUCAUGGUCAAGAAGUGUGCAACAGGAGGAGGAAGGAGGCGAUAAAACUGACUAACGACAGCAAAACUAAACGCUCUGUUUCUUUAACACACUGUUCAAACUAUUAGACAGCUACAGGAGGAGGAGAGAGGAGGAGCAGGAGGAGGCAGGUGUAUCUGUGUGCAUCUGUGUGCCUGAAAAGCCAAGGGACAGGUUGAACACAGCAAAGAAGAGGCUGUACCGAUCAUGAGUGUACCCACGAGCUCAUGAGUUAACAACAGGAUGACCAUAUCCUGAAUCCUCAAAAAGAGACGACUACACGAAGGGCCGAGUCACAGAGUCACGUGUAGUUAAUUUGAAGAGUUUUUCGGGUCAGAGCGAGUGUCUUUUAAGCGUUUCUAACUCACUAAGUCAACGCGACACAAACUCAAAACCCCGAACACUUAAAGGAUUUUAUUAACUCCAGAGCCAGACAGGCCCAAAAUAAGAGGACGUACGGUCACCCGAGUUAACAAAAAAGUGGAGACACCUUUCUGAGUCUAAAUAAAACAAACUUCAGUUUUAAGGUCCUUACAUACCAGGAAUGACGCAAAUAUAUCAAACACAUCAACUGUGAUGCGAUUUUGCGAGUUUCUGGGGGAAAAAGACGCGUCCCGGGUGGAAGUGAGAAGACUGACACAACAGCAGACUGAGUGUUUUUCAGUUCUGAUCAGACUCUAGUGUUGAGACGUCUGUCUGUCAUGAUAGCAUGUACUGAGUCGGUGCCAGUACCAGAUAAGAACAUUAAACUAUAAUCCAUAAAGGUAAGGUAACAACUGAGACCUAAUGGUGCUGUGACAGAAAAUACAUAUGGUAUGUUGUAUCUGAACAGGUUAGCUUACGAGCUAAAGUUACGUUAGCACAGAUGAAAGUUCAAACAAAGACGUUUAUCAAACUGUUAAAGCUCACAAACCAUCGUCAGAUGAGAAAUCCGACGCUAUGACUCUCCACAAGUCGUCCUUCAGGUCGUUAUCUUUGUAAUGUUUGUGUUUUUUAUCAAAUAGCACUUCGUUCUCCGACACGUAAACAAUCAGCCGGUCGGCCAUGUUGGAUAUACCGGUGAAUCGGACGUCGCAACAACAUGAAAUCUGAUUGGUCAGAAGUGGACACACAAUGUGCGACACUUUAGAAAAAUCGACCGUGAUCCAAAAAAAUAAAUGCCUCAAUAUCGCACGACAGGAAAACGUGGCUGAUGUGAACGCUUGAAUUGACAGGAUACGGGUUUGAAAACAAAAUAGACGUCUGAAAUAAUCGCAUGAAAAAAACGCUCCCGAUGUGUAAGGACCUUUAGUCAUCAGGAUGGUGUUGGUGAGUUUUAUUAAUGGCAUCAAAUGUGUAAAAGACUUAAAAAAACACGUACACUGACUUUAAUUCACCCUCUCACAGAGUUCUCUUUUUGUACGUCACAAACUUCUAAAGUGGAAAGUGGCGCCGACGAAAUCAUGUUGCGGCUUUCAUAAAACACGAUUCACUGAGUAAAUUCACUGAAAUACUUUCCACAGGUGCUAAAAAGUAAAUGUUUUUUUGAGGUAUUUGAUGAAAAAUUCUUGAUUAAUGAUUCCCGCCGCACUAAAUUCGACCCUCAGGUUUUCAGUAUCGAAGCUCACAAGGAUUUUUUCCUUUGGAUGUCUACUGAAGGUUUCAACCUCCUUCUGUUAAUGUCCGGGUGAUUCAUGUCCAUUAGACUCCUAACGCGUCGUAUUUAUGAAUUCAAUUAGCCAAGGGCUCAAAAUAUCCCCUGUGCGUCACUACCUCCCAAAACAACUUAUCUGUAAAAGGAUAUUGAUUAGAAGAAAAACAGACUUACUGUAUCCUCCGCUGGUUUUUUUUCAUCACGAGCUGUUUCACGACAAAGUCCGACAUCUUUACCGAACACGAGAGAGAGAGAGAAAGAGAGAGAGGAGCUGCGGUUUUCUCUCUCUGCUCCUUUCUUUUCUUUAGCUUGUGGCUUUUGUGGCUGAGAAGGUCAACAGAUGAUAAACUCUUCUAAAACACUGGAACACACAAAGUCCUUCCACCUCCAAUAUCUUUAAAGUGGAUCGCCUUCAAAUUAGAGGGUGGAGGAAAUGUCACAGCGCGCACACACUCUCUCUGUCUCUCGGGCGGCUCUUGUGUGGUUUAUAGUGCACUACUUCAAAGGUUAUUCUCUGACCUUAUUCAGGCUCAUAUCUAAGGAAAUAAAAUAGACGGCAACUCUGCUCUCUCUGCCGAAUGCUCUUUUCGCAGAGACACGAGGCGUCUGCUCCUGCCAGUCCUCUGCUUUCUGCUCGACUCCUUUUCCUGGAAGAAUAAAUGAAAGAAAAGCCGAAGGACUGGAAACUCAAACUCAACCUGCUUCAUUUCUCGGGGUUAGUGUCGUAACGAAAUAAAGAAAUAAAUAAAAAAAGGAGAUUUUCAGAGCUGCUCGGAGAAACAGUUUCUGGUGUGCAGUAAAAGCAGAGACAGCAGGUCUGAGCCGGCGUGUAGAAGCUUAUGUUGUUCAUUUGUUGUUUAGGGUCUUUGCGCAGAAACGCUGCAACUGAAGCAGAUGGUUCGAUCUUAUGUGCCGUAUGAAUAAAUACAUGAAAAUUCAAAGGGAACAUUAUUCUCCUUCUUCAUAUAUACGGUGGUGGAAGAAUAGUUAUUUCUCUAAUUCAGCCUCUGCGCGUCAAGAAUGCUCGAAAGAGCUGCAGCCAAACAAAGUUGAUUUUGGAUUUCCUUUUCUGACGCUCCAACGAGCCGAAAAGUGUCUCCCUGAAACUUUAACAUCAUUAUCUUGAGAAAAUCAGAUUUGUUUUUGUGCAGUCAGCGAAAAAAAAAAACAAUCGCACAAGAAAGAUCAGGCACAUCCUGAACGACUCCAACGAUGAGAAUCCAGUCAUGCACGCCAUGCAGAUUUACAAAAUUCAUGUAUUUUCAUGGACAGCAGUGAACAUCAACAUUUCGAUGUGUCUAUAACCUGCAAUCUGCACACGAACCAGAAGGGGGGGAUCCUGCUGACUCUGAGGAGAUGUAAAUCUUUACCGUUAAAUUUCCACUGCAUGCGGAAUGGCAGCGAUUUUCGCCGUCCACAAAAUCCUACUGGGUGUGUUUCUGAGGCAAAUUUCGUGGCGAAUGUCGGACAGCAGGACGAGAACCCGCGAAUUCACACACAAUCGUGCGAUAAUGAGUUAUUGUCUCUAUAAAGACAGACACAGAACUAUAGAAGCAGUAGAUUGUGUCCUUCCAGAGGAGGAAAUCCACUCUGUCCAGACCAGCAGAUCAGACACUUGAAAUGACGUCUAAAACCUUUCACUUGUUCGUCUCCGCCCGUUUGCAUGGUGUGAAAUACGAUCCUCCUGAAACACGGAGGCCCUCGUUUAUCAAUCUUCAAUCUUGCACAGAUCUGAGCGCAGGAUUCAUAGUACGAUAGGACACACGUGAGAUUUAAGGAAGGGUUCGUAUCUGACCAAUCCCAGCAUACAUUAAUGGGGUCUUGAUAAAUGCGGCGGCUGAAAUCGAUCCUCAUUAACAUGUUUACGCCCUUAAAUAUUCAUGGUUCAGAAGCCUCGCCCACUGAGGUCAAACAUGAAAGAGGAGAAAUAUUAGAAAGAUGUGAAACUUUUCCGAGAUGAAAGUGGAUAUCCUCGCGUCUGUGGUGGAAACUGACAAGGAUUUUCUCUUUGGAAGAAUCAAAACUGGUCUAAAAGCAGUCCAGAAAACUCCUGUCUGGAGCAGGAUUAUGGUGGCGGUGAACAGCGCUGCCGCCGUAUAGCGGACAGUGGCUGAAGUUUGAAUAAAUCAUGAGGGAAGGCCUUUUCUCCACCGUUCUGCAUAUGAUGGAAUUUAAGGGUACGUUUUUAAGUCCCCUCAUUACAUCUCACUGGUUUGUAGAUUGUGGUCCAGUUUUGGUGGGAAACAACAAACAGGGUUUGGCUAAAGACCGGUGAUUGAAAAGUCUGAACUCGUGCACUACUGUAGAAAACAGUUCCACCCCUCACACAUCGCUAUACGUCAUCUUGUUCUUGUUUUGGGGUCCGAGGUCUGCCGUCGUAUUUUAGUUUUUGGUUAUUAAAGUUUUGAGAAAGUUGCUUUUUUAAUUUACAGAAAGAAUCCCAACGCAGAUGUAGCCAACGUUUUUAUUUCCACGCUUAUUUGGCUUCUGCAGCCGGCCCCCUCAAGUGGACAGUCUGGGAACUGCAGUUUUUGGCACUUUGGUUUCAUUUCUCUUUAAUUUCUGCUUUAAACCAGGUUGUGGUUCCACUUGGUCUAAUGACAUCCUCAGCCCGUCCUUCUGGACUUCAGCACUGACCUGUUAUAUCACUGGGUGAAUGAAUAUGUAGUUACUGGGGGGGUAAACACUCAUGUGUUAAAUCCAUGUCGAUAUUUCCAUGAUGGUGUGAGACAGACCUGAUUCAGAGCUAAAUCCUGCUGCAGUGUCUGAUAUUGAUUUCCAUUUGUUUCCUCCAGUCGACUAAUAAGCGCACAUAUGAAAAUAAUCAGGCCUGAGUGAUGGAAAUUAAACAUAAUUCACUCUCUGUUUGGAGCUCGCCGAGUUAUAAUUACACAACCUAAAGCUUUAACAGGCGCCAAAUGCAUGUCAGUUUGAUUGACAGGUGUUACCGCUAAGCUCCGGUGUUUACUGUUUGAGUAAUAAUAAAAAAAAACAUGGAUGUAAUGUCAUUUAAAGGUAGGGUUAGUCGGUUUGCUGCGGGUGGUCAGUGCGAGCCCAUUAACGCCGGGAGAAAUGAAAUUCAACGAGAGGCUGUUGGAUCAGAUUAAGACCUGACAAGAGGGGGAUUUCGCUCUGAUCUGGCAACCUGUGGAUCGAUAACAACGGCUCACACUGACAGGCGGGCCGGUUGAAGGGACUUCUCAUUUUCUUUCUUGCAUCACUUUCUCGCCGUGCCCUUCCUGAGCUGUUUGUCCGGGCCUCACUCUGUAAUCAGCGUCAGCGUUUGUCAGCGGCCGGAUGGCGAUUUGACAUUUCAGAACAAAGCUGGGCGCCAGCAGGGAGGGUUAGUGACAGAGAAACAGCGGGGCGGGCGAUCAGAAGAGAAGCAAAAAGGUGCUAAUGAGCAUGUUGGAAGCUCGCAGGUGGUUUUUAGUGAUGACAAAGUGGCUUUCACCUGUCUGCUCUGCUGCCAUCUCACGUAGCAUCGCACAUCACAGCAGAGCUCCAUUAGAUAACAGCGCGGUGAAGGACGGAAAACGGGAGCGAAAGAAAAUAGAAAAAGAGAGGAGGGGGUGGUGAGAUGAGUGGAGAAUACAAAAGAGACAAAAGGAGAGAGAGAGUGUCAGCUGUCAGUCACCGUGUUCACACACUCGAUAGGUUUGAAAGAUCAUCCCGGGUCAAGGUGGAGAGAUAGUACACUCUCCUUCUUCUUCAACACAGUCGUACUGGAGAUUCUCCUCUGCAAGACGUGACAUUAAAGAAACCGUCUGAUGUUUAAAUGUGAAAUCAGAUUAAGGUGGUCUUUACACGAGGACGACUUCGUAAGACACCGGUAAAAUAAACUAUUGAUCUGGUGAUAUUGACACAUGGAGACGCGUAUUUGUCCAUGACUCUGCAUCUUUGUUGAAAACGGGUCUGCAGGUGGAUAUCUGGGUAUUCGUCCUCAUGCCAUAGUUAGUGUAAAUAGAUAAGUCCUCAUAGCACCCCUCCUCCUCCCCGCCCCCCAACCCACGUCGUCAUACACACAGCAACAACGACAACAAUGGCGGUAGCUGCGGUGAUUUUGUUCUUGUUCCAGCAACUACAAAUAUUUCUACGACUUUUAUACCAACAUUUAGAACAGCAACAAGUGCUCAUGCAGAGACGCAGCGUGUUACGAGUGCACAACUUGUUGUCGUGGAAUCCACUUCGGAGCAGAACCAGACGGGCAACCCGAACCUGAUUUUGCCUGGAUUUUGCAUUGUCAUGUAAAUGCACUAAGCCUUUGUACAAUACGAUGUGAAAACAGCGAUACAUGUUUUGGUGCCGACGCCAAGACAAUACAGGGCCGUCCUCGUGUGAGGAGGGCCUAAGAGAUGGAAACCUUCAUGUUUAAUACGAUGGAUGUGCAAAAGUGCAGGACAUGGCCCUCAAAAAUCAGGGUUAGAUUUGUGCAAAGAUCGAAGUUAUUCAGAAAACUCGCUGGAGGCAGAAAAAGUCGAAUAAUUCACUCUUAACCAUUAAUGACAGCGAGUUAAUUUGAUGGUACAGGUUACAUUAAGCAUUGAUCAAAACUGUGCGAUGCAACACUGCAAUAUUUACAAAAACAAAGACUGAAAAAAAAGGAAGCUUUAUGUGAGUCACACUGAAGAAGACUUUAUAUGAGACUUAAUGUGUGGAGCUUACAGCAACAUAAUUAAAACAGGGAUUCAUAACGACCAGGAGACGUCAGACUGCUGUCAGGGAGACAGAAAAACAGACGUCUCUGUCUCUCAUCACGCACAGAGGGGCGCAGAGCGAGGGCAGAUCACACAUUAGUUCAUUGAUUUAAGAUGCUGAUGUGUUAAAAAAAGACCAAAUUAAAAUAAUCAGCCUGAGCAGAGAGAAGAGUGUGUGAGAAACAGACAAACAGAAAUCAAGAUAACAUUAAAAAUCAUAAAUAUAUAUCUGAUCAGAUUCUGUGAUCAAACCGAAGUCAAACCUGCAAUGGGUUCGAACUCACCUCCUCACUCUUAUGUUAGCCUCCUGUUGUGUUAACCAGUGAUCUCUAGAUGUCAGUGUGCAGAUAAUGUUACCUCAGAAUCACAGCAGAAUGUAACUAAUGAUACAGAAGAUACAACCACAAAUAAACUUCCAGAAAUUUCACAUCUUGUUCCAUUAAAGAUGUUGUAGUCAGGAUCUGAGUUAGUUCCAGUUUUUAGGAGAAAUCUUGAAUGUGAACUCUACCCCUCCCAACCAGUUUUCCCCUCAGCUCCUCCCCUCCUUCAAGCCCCGCCCACAAACAGACGCUCCUGCUCGCUCGUAUCGUUCCAAUUAAAUUCAGAUAUAAUGCAGAUAAAUACUUCAGAUCAUUACAAAUGGGGCCCAGUCAAGGUGAAAGUCAAAAGCAUUGGUGCUACUGUAGAUGCCAACAGACUACCAGCAAACACAAUGUUUGCAGGACUUCUACAACGAGGAUAAAGUGACAUAGUCCAGGACCCGAGGGAGGACAGUUUAGCGAUGGCGCUACAACACGCUACAGCAGGUCCGUUUGACAAGAAACACUUCUGUUACAGACACUUGUCUUACUUUGUUAAAGCGGUUUACCUGUCCAGCAGAAAGGUUACAGGGUCACCAAGAUCCCCAAGCGUCCCCCAUCGUUUAUGUUGACCCGGCUUUUUAGCUCUUGUCCGGUCUACCUCCGUUUUAAGCGCCCGUUAUUCCUCCAGAGUCUCCGCUAUUUACUUUGUUUUCUUGCUUGUGUCGGCAGUCGUGGCCAAAGGAGGAUUCAGACAAUUUUCCGAACUUUCUGGUUGGUUUCUACUGUCCGAUAUUGUAGCACGCUAACUUUGUUUGGGCUCCUGAACGACACGGGGGAGCAGCGUCUGCCUCACAACCAAUCAGGUUAGAGGAGGUGGAGAACGGCUUUGUUUACAGACAUAAGAGAACACAGAGAUAUCGAUAUAUUACCAAAUUGUCAUCAAUAACUAAUAACUAUUGACUGAUAUUAAAGGAUUUUUUUGUAAAUACACCACAAAAAAGAUGCUUCUUUAACAGAUUCCUGUCUACCCCACCUUUAACUCAGACCUGUGCUCAUGUUUGUGAUGUUUGUGACAGUACGGCGAUCAGAAGAAACCGUUUUUUGUGUUCAUCCACGUGUCGUGGAUCCAAACACAAAUCCAGACCCAGGGUGUCAGCUCAGGUGUAAAUAGGGACGCUGCUGCUGCUGCUGCUGCUGUAGGUCCCCUGUGCUCAUGGUACAGCUGCUUCUUGUUUGCGUUUCCAGCAGCUUCAUUACGCUGAUCACAUCUCACUUCUUCUUCUGUGGAACAACACGCAAACAAAAAGGGCUGACGGGAGCCGGGGGAAGUGAAAAUUAGCCCGUCCUGAGGUGUAAACUCCUACUGAUUACCGGUGCAUUGUUUCAAUCAGAUAAUCAGGCUUCUGCUAACACACACACUCUCACACACACACAGAGGUGAGGACUGACUAGCUGGCAGUUUUUUGUCACUAAUAACGGUUCAGUGGUGAGAGGUCCAGGAGAGGAGGUGAAGACUGACACUCGAACCGUCCCUCCUUCUUUUUUUUCCGCUGGCAGCUCUCAUCUGCCAUGUUGGAAGGAGCGCUGCCAUCACUUGGCACCUUAUUUAUUUUAAUUAUUUUGAUUCCCCGCUCUCCAUCUUUGGCAUCCCUGGCUCGGGGAAUCGCUGAUGGCUGACACUCAUUUGUCAAUCUCACCGCGGCCGCCUGCCAAUUAUAAAAUGAAAAGUUUUGGCGAGGCCAUUAGAGGCGGCUCUGGCUGCUUCAGCGGGUGUUAACAGGCGCGUGCGGCGCGUCGCUGCCUCCCCCUGCUCUCUCUCUCUCUCUUCUCUGAGCCCGACGCUCUCAGCCCCGGCUAUCAGGUGAGCGUUUGCUCCUCCUGUUUGAUGUCCCGCUCGCUACACCCGGAUUCAGAAACGCCAAGAUCUCAUUUUCGCCCCCUUGUAUUGCGCAGAUUUCUCAACAAACUCAGCAGGAAAUAGCGAGCCACAGCCCUUCAAAGUAAAACUAAUCAGUCAGGGAAGAGCGGCUGAUUUUGCUGAUUUUAACGUGUGUGGUUCGAGACAAGUUUUGACAAGAAGCUUCUCCCUGGAAAAUCUCCUAACCUGCUGCAUCACCUAUUCCACAGAUUUUCGCUCAUUUAAUACGAAUCACAUCUACUUUGCAUUCAUACUGACACGGACGGAGAAAGCUUUUAGGGGCCCCUGAGGCGAAAACGAGCUGCUAAGCUCCUCUUAACCCCACUUCCUCCUCUUCCUCUCCCCUGAGCGUUAUUACAGUACACCUGUGCAGGAAUAUUACAUGAUGUCAGGUUAACUAUGCAAAGAUAUUAUUUCGUUAACACAUCCUGAGCCGAAACUCCAGGAACAAUUCAGCCAGGUCAGUGGAAAUACAUCGCUGCACUUUUAGUCCAAAUCCAGGAGGCCAGAGUUUGGAUGUGAUUUUAAACUUGGUGAUAAAAUAUUUAGCAAAAAAAAAGACGAAAAUAUAUGAGCUAUUGAUACGCGCUCCGGGAGAACUUCCAGAAACUUUUUAGGAGCUCAGAGAUGAACCUGUUCACGCCCUCACAGUGGGAGGCCUUUCUAGUCAAUGGGGGGUGUGGGUGGGAUCUCAGGAGGUCAAACAGAAGCUGCGGUGCUUCCUCGCCGCUCUUCAGGGUUCAAAAUGGCGUUUUAUGGAGUAAUGGUUCCCACUGAGACGGACUGCUGAGCGGCUCUACAGCAUUUUUCAGCCAAGAUGCAAAAUCGGACAGAACACCGAAACAAUGUCAGGGAAAUAUAAUCAGAAGACACUGUUCCACAAACGGUGCACUGAUUGAUUUGAACUCUUUCAGCUCAUUGUUUUCGUUACACAUCUCUGAAAUAUUCUGCACACAAAUGCACCGCAGGAUCAGGAUUUUGUGACUCCUUAUUUUGCAAAAAGGAAACGUACAGGAUGUUAUUUUAGAUGAAUGCAGUGAAACUUGAGUGCAUGCUCAAAAACGAUUAAAGUCGGGGUGGAAAUCCCAGCGGUUUACACAGCUCUCCCACCGGGUAAUUUCAGGACAUUAUUAUUAACUUUCAUGUCUUUGCUUGUCCUGAAGGAUCUCCAGGUAUUCCAGGCCAGAUAGGACAUAUAAUCCUGUCAGUGAGGUCUGGGUCUUCUUUGGGAACUGGGGUACCUCUAAGGGAGGAGUCCAGAAGGUAUGACUUGUCAUGGUGUAGCUCAAGUGCCAUGAAAAAUACAGGAAGGAGAAGAAAGUUGUCUGUGAACUUUAGAUUUUAAUGCAAUUAAAGAAAUAUCUGAAAAUAUAGAGUUUAUGUGUUCCUGUCAACGAGAAUCACAGACAGAAUCAGCAAGAAGGGACAACCCUGACAAAGACCAAUGAGGACAUGUCUGAGUUAGUUCUGGGUAAACAGACACAGCUUUCAUUUUAGUCAUACAAUAUACUAAUGCCCUCUUAAAGGGAUAUUCUGUCGUAAAAUUAAUUCAGGGUCAAACACACCGUAACACCGAGUUAGACCCCCCUCCAGAGAUGAAUGUUGCCGACCGCUUGCUUCUCUAGUUAUACCAACUUUAGUAACGACCGCAGGAUAGAAAUACACACCGAUUGUUUGUAGAGAGACCUCAGGCCAGUCCAUUACGGACUACAGCGGGGUGCCUCAGCUCAAGGAAGAACAUUUAUGAUCAUUUCUUCAUGGAAAUACAAUCAGACUGAGACGCUAAGGCAGAAGAACUACCGCGUCUGCAGUGAAAAUGAUUAAUAUGAUGAUUAUUACUUCAAGGAAAUGAUAAAGAAAUGAUGAUAAAUGUUCUUCCUUGAGCUGCGUCACCCCGCUGCAGUCCGUAAUGGACUCACCCGCAAUCGGCUGCUGGAAGAGAGUAGGUGAGUUUUGCUGAAGAAAUGAGUCAAAGUUAAAAAGAUGUUUGGUGUCUAGUACUAUGUCUGUGACCCUAUUUGUCCUGUUGAUGAAGUAAGGUGCUGUUCUGAGCAUUAUUUGUGGCUAUAGAGUGGAGUUUUGGUUGAGGGCGUAGCUCUCCGUAUUGCUAUCCUGCGGUCGUUACUAAAGUUGGUAUAACUAGAGAAGCAAGCGGUCGACAACAUUCAUCUCUGGAGGGGGGGGUCUAACUCGGUGUUACGGUGUCUUUGACCCUAACUUGAUUUUGCGCCGGAAUAUCCCUUUAACCUUGUACCCCUCACGAGAACUGUACCGCCCCCAUGACCCCAAACGAAGAGCAGAGGCUGUUUCAUCACGAGGUCUAAACCCCUCUAUUUUACUUGGUUGGUGUUGCGCACCAAUCUGUAUCAAAUGACUCCCAAACACCCGUUCAGUGAGGACUGACUGUAUCGUUUACAGAAAACGGAGUGCGUGCAGAAACGCUGCUGUGCCUUUAAAUCCUCUCUGACAGAUGCAGCUUUGAACUCUGAUAAACACACAGUCUGCAGGAGACACAGAAUAACAGUUUGUGGAGAAAACACUAUUCACUCUGUUGCUAAAGUCGAGCUUGUUAAUUAAAAGAGAAGCUUGUCUGAAGGAUUAACGACAAGCUCUGCUGUUCAUUUCAGAGCCCGCCGCAUCACACACCUGCACUGAUGGAUUAUGGGUAAGCACUUUUGUUUGUAGGUUGCAUUUUUGUGAUGAGACGUUUGAUCCGGCAAAAGUGUCAAGUCAGGCAGAAAAGCAGCCUAACAAGACGCCCGCUUUCCUCUGGGUAUAAAAACACAGGUUCUCUGUUGUUUCCCUGCAAACGCUCGGCCUCCUUUCAUCAGCAUAUUUUAACAGUCGUACAGUAAAGAACAAAAAGGAGACAAAUUGGGGUUCGGGAACGACCAGAGACAGCAGCAUUUCUCUUGAAUUAGCAAAGCUCCGAGCUUAACAGCGCUGUCUCUGCAGCAGGAAGGUUUUCCCACAAAGCAGCGCCGCUCUCUCCGCUUCCUCGCAGAAUAAUUGGAGGGAAAACGAAGCGCGGCUUUGAGCGGAUGUUCCCUUUGUUUUAAGCGCUGGCUGUAAAUAUACACAUUCAUACACUCUGUAUUAAUGUCACAGCUGUAGUGAUCACAGAGCAGUUAGUUCCUACCAGCAGCUGUCAGAGGUCAUUAACAGACAGAGUGUGUGUGUGUGUGUGUGUGUGUGUGUGUGUGUGUGUGUGUGUGUGUGUGUGUGUGUGUGUGUGUGUGUGUGUGUGUGUGUGUGUUGUGUGGAUCGAUAGCAGGGUGAUGCUGAGCUGCAGAAGACAUGCUGGCUAAUUAAGGCCUCUCAGACUGGUCUGCUCACCGUUGGAUAAUAAAGUUUAAACAAAUGUAAAUUAACGUGAGCAUGUGCAAACUCUGCAGGACUUUAAAGGGACAUUACGCGGAAUUGGGCGUUUAUUUACACAAAGAAAAAAAAUGAUAACCCAGAAGUUUGUAUAAAUUAGUUUAUAUUGAAUAAAAUGCGAUAAUCGUUCAUUUCUGAUAUUUAGAAAAAGACUUUUUUAUUAUCAAAGCAUCAGCUUCUCGUACCGGAGGCUGUCAUGUUGCAGAACAUAAUGAGUUUAUGCUCUUACCCUUCCUCCUGUAUUCAGUUUCACUACACACCCACUAUGUUACCAGGUCGGUUUCGAUCUGUGUCUUAAAUCAGCUGCAAAUUAUCACAAACUUUAUAAAUUAAUGACACAGAAUAUGAAUGUUAUAUUCUAAUAAUAUAUAAUAUUUAUAUGUAAAAGUUAUAAGGGGGUUCAUGUUUUCUAUGAUUGACACCUGAUACAGCCUAUUGGUGUUCAGGGAUUGCGUAGCUCACCUGGGAAAGCCAAGCGACUCUCGGCGACUCUCCCACCGAACGCGCAGAAUGCUACUGCGCAGCGCUGGUUUCAGGAAAUGAAGAAAAAUCCUGGAAAUACAGAGAGCUUUUUGGCUUCAAAUCCGUAUACAGGCGGGAUGCGGAACCAAGUUAUCCAUAGUAUAUACAGUCUAUGGUUUAUGCUCUUACCCUUUCUCCUGUAUGGGUAGUUUUCACUCACAUCUGAUUGAAAUCAAUCGGAUUAAGUGAAUCUGAUUCCAUCUGUAUAUCAUGCAACUUUAAGUAAAGAACAAUUCGCUAUCAUCCAGUUUGGUUCUCAUCUCUAGGUGACCUUGUUCGGCUUCAUUAUCCAUGAAAAUAUUGAUUAUAAUAUUUUUUGUAGUGGGGCUCUGGGCCUUUCUUCUUCAGUAUACCCCUCACACAGACAUCUAUACUGAGUUGAUCUCACAUGUCUGGACAUGCCCAAUGUUGUUUUUUUGUGCAAGGAGAAACAAAAUGAGAAUUUCCUAAAUCUCACAUGAUUGGAAGAUGAUCUGACUGUCAGUAGCCCCGUUUAUAUGGGUAGUUUUCCUCAAUCUGAUUGAAAUCAAUCGGAUUAAGUGAAUCUGAUUCCAUCUGUAUACAUGAACUUUAAGUAAAGAGAUCCACGUUCAGUCCGCGUUUGCAUGGCCCCAGCUGAAUCCAAUUGUAUUGUUUUUUUUACAUGCGCAAAAGGUCACUCUGCCACUACCUGCAAAUGUGUAAGAGAAGAAAAGGCGCACUUCCUGCUUCCUGUUUACCUGUAGAAAGAUAGAUCCGCGUCGUGUUUUGUUGGGGACGCUUAUUGUGUUGUGGUUACAUUUAUUUGCGGCUCUGAAGUCACAACAGUUAAUAGUCCUGAAGCGUCAUGUUUGUUUUCAUUUGGGCGCACUCUGCGUACGUCACUACGUGCCUCUUACAUACUACAGAGCGCCUGCGCAGACCGGACAAGCCUCUCUGUAAACCCAAUCCGCUCCACUCAGCCGUAUAUAUGGAGCAUGGAGCGGAUUAUCAAUCGGUGUAGACUACUUCUUAACAAUCCGAGCCGAAAUACAAUCAGAUCCGGGACAUUUUGAAUCUGAUUGUAAAUAGGAUUUUUGGACCCAUGUAAACGGGGCUAGUGUGGUGCCUGUCAGUGCACAUAUGAUUUCAGUUUUGGCUCUAAUUAUUGUUUUAUAAUACAACCGGGACAACAGCGACCCUAACAUGACAAGUGCCAUAAUUUCUACCAGAGCAUUUUAUGAUUUAGUGAAUAGAUGUUUUUUAAUUGUGUUGAAAUAGAGGUUCCUGACUCAACGUCAAAAAGGCUCAAUGCAAAAAAAUAAAAUAAAAAUGAUAAUUUAUGGGUUCUUUAACACAGGAGGAGGGUUAAUAUUAUGACUUUACUGAGCCGUAGUUCUUGUAGCAUUCUGCCUCUAAACUUGCAGCACUAAACUGUCCUUAAAUAUUUGCCUUUAUACGACAUGCUGGACGGCAGAGGAGUGUUUUUGUCGAACAGACCGCCGUUCCUCAGGAAAAUUCGUCGACUCAACUUUAACAUUAUUUUAAUAACAAACACCCUGAACUCAUCCAGAAAGCUGUUUUUUUUCUCUCUUUUUUCGUCUCUGACCUUCAGCAGCUUCAUGAUUGAGUGAGCGAUCGGACGGAUGCCGGCUCACAGGAGGAGUUCAGGACAAACAGAUUGAUUCGCUCUCUGAAAACACUGAUGGAUCACUGAGAGGACAGACAGCUGUCAGUCUUUUGGAGACACUGUUGCCUGCGGUUCCCGAACUUCGACUUAUUUUCACUGUUAAGUACCCUCAACCCAAACUGACUCAAUCAUCGGGCAGAAUUCAUUCUUCAGCCGUCCCUCGGCUCGAAUCAUCUCUGAGCUCCGUCUGUGUUUUGUAACUUCUCCACACUUCCUGCAGAUUAUUUAACCUGCAGCACUUUCAUCACAAUCAGGUCCAAGAAUAAUCUGAGAUUGUAUGCAGACACCUGUUUGGAUUACCUUUCUAACACCAGCUGUCUUGCGUGACUCCAUGGUAACCUGUGUUAAUGUAUAAGUCUGUCUCAUAGGCAUUAAUUUAUCCAGUAUUCUGCACAUCUUUUCAUCUCUUUGGUGAGAUGUUUGAAGGUUCCUGUGGAGGACAGCUUUGAAAGUGUUUCUUUUUGCUGCGUUUGUUGCAGAGAAAGGCCACUGUCCCAUAAAAGAGAAAAUAUUUUUUAAUCAGAAACACUAAUUAAUAAAAUACUUCAGUAUUCUGCAACAAAGCGCGGUUCAAAAUGUUUUCAUGAAUGUUGGAGCAAAAACAUCUGAGAAAACCUCAAAUGAUGGAAAUACCUUCAGCUAAAAUGACUUCAUGUUUUGAUUAAGAUCCAAAAAAUAUGCAAAAAAAAAAAAAAAAAAGGGGAUUUAUACUAUCAAUAUUGAAUCUUUGGUGGAGGGUCUUUUGGCAUUUUCUGAUUUAAAAUAGCCUCUCUCAUCAUCUCAUCAACAUUUUACUUUUAAUACACAAAUAAGAAAAGCGGUUCUGUUGUCAGUGUCAGAACCAAACGGGCUUUCCCGCUCUCGUCAGAGCAGCUGCUUCCACUUUGUUUUCCAAAGUGAAAUCCAGCACAACGGUUCGAUAAAUCUAAUGUAAAAAUCCAAGCAGGUGGAAACACCUAGCUGCAAAUUAAAAGUCAAAGAGCAACAGUAGCUGCAGGCUGUGUUUAAAGCUGUCUGUUUGUGUUUUUAAAUCUGAUUAGCAAGUCAGGACCUGAAAAUGAGACACUUCGGUGUCUUCACCCCAGCGUGAUGCCGCUUUGAUUGUUUUCAUGAGGAAAGUGGAGCCUAAAAAUCCAAUAAUCUGACAGAGAGCGACCCAAAUCUGACUUAAAGGGGGCGCCAAAGUCUGAUUCCCUUUUAUUUUCAGCUUUUAAACAUUUCUGAUCUCUGAUACAGCUCAGACAGAGAAGACAUGCUCGCUCCUGACUGGCUGUGACGGGGACUUCUUCUGUGUUUGUCAUCAUUCACCUGUUUACUUGCACUCAUUUGCGGUUUGACAGGAGCCCCUCGUCUCUACGGAAACCUGUCACAUCCAAUCAGAAGAAGCAAGGAGGCUGAACGACAGGUGACGAACAUGGAGGAAGCAUUCAGAGAGGAAAGGAUUCACUGAAAAAUAAGAGACGUCAGGACGGAGUGAAGGAGCGCCGCAAGAUGGACAGCAGGGUGGCAGUAUUAUUGUUUGUUCAGCUUACACUCUCAACACGUCAUGUAGACCGUAUUUCUGAUCUUUUUGUGUCCUUUUAUCGAUCUGAAAACAUCACCAUCUUAGAUUUUUUUUAAUGUGAUGGCUUCAUAAUUUUCUUUGCUCUCAAUUUUGGAGCAUGUCAGAUAAAUCUCACUCACUGAAGAGGAAACACUCCCCAGAUUUUUUGUUAAUUCCACUGCGUCAAAACCACAAAACUCCAGAGAUUCCUGUUAAAAUAAUUUUGCAGGAUUCUAGGGCGUUCAGUGUAAAGUGAUGAAAAGUGCAGUUCCCAAGGUGUCCACUUGAGACUGGCUUGAUGCAGCAGAAAGAUUUAGUUUAGUUAGGCGAAGACCUUGUUUUUUCCCAACAAUAUAAAACCUUCUUCUUGAUGACUUAAAGGGAUAUUCUGCGGAAAAUUAAAUAAGGGUCAAACAGAUCAUAACACCGAGUUAGACACCCCCUCCAGAGAUGAAUGUUGCCGAUUGUUUGCGUCUCUAGUUAUACCAACUUUAGUAACGACCGCAUGAUAGCAAUACACAGCGGUCUGGGGAGCCAUAAACAAACCUCAACCAAAACGCCACUCUAGCUAGACCUCAGGCCAGUCCAUUACGGACUACAGCGGGGUGAUGCAGCUCAAGGAAGAACAUUUAUGAUCAUUUCUUUAUCGUUUCCUUGAAGUAAUAAUCAUAAAUGUUCUUCCUUGAGCUGCGUCACUCCGCUGUAGUCCGUAAUGGACUGACCUGAGGUCUCGCUACAAACAAGCGUCUGCUGGAAGAGAGUAGGUGAGUUGUGUUUAGUCUCUUUGCUAAAGAAAUGAGUCAAAGUUAAAAAGAUGUUUGGUGUCUAGUACUAUGUCUGUGACCCUAUAUGUCCUGUUGAUGAAGUUAGGUGCUGUUCUGAGCAUUAUUUGUGGCUAUAGAGUGGCGUUUUGGUUGAGUGCGGGGCUCUCUGUAUUGCUAUCCUGCAGUCGUUACUAAAGUUGGUAUAACUAGAGAAGCAAGCGGUCGACAACAUUCAUCUCUGGAGGGGGGGUCUAACUCGGUGUUACGUGUGUUUGACCCUAAAUUAAUUUUACGCCGGAAUAUCCGUUUGAAUCCAAGUGAUGUACCUAAAUGGCCACAUACGUGUGAGUUACUGAAGUUGGAGACACAUGAUCACAUGAUGAGCUGGCCACUGUCUGCAACAUGCAGAAGAAAUGUGUUAUUUAAACAAAAGUCAAAGAGGAAG